rnacentral:lncRNA from 1 species
AUAGCAUUUGAACUGUUACGUGCAAUUCACAGUUCAUGUUAGGACAUGAUUAGGCUUAGCUAAAUUAGCUCCCGAUUAUGAUUUGUUGGUCACCCACCCAUGAAUUGCGCAAUCCUUUAGGUUAUAAUAAGGUUCAGACAGGACGUGUUGAAUAUGCAUAUAGAUGUUGGUCGCAUGAUAUUUAGGGUGGUUUCAUGGUCUGAUCCACCAUGAGGUUGUCCGCUCACAGCUAGGGGUGGCUGAUGUUAGGUUGGUGCCUAUAAGACCACAGGGUUUACUAGAUAUCUUCAGUUCGACAGACGCGUCAUGAACCUCAAAGCGACCAGUGCUCAUAGUAGCUCAAUAUUGAAUAAUUUGGGCAGAUGCUUCUAUUCGGUGUUAGGCGUAUGUAAGUUGUGCUUCUAACGGAGGAGUUAGCCAUGGGCUUGGAGGAAAUUACAUCAAAGGCGUGAUGGAUAGACCACUAUGAGCGUGGCUAAUAGUGGGUAACUUCUGUGACAUAGUAACGACCACAUGCAUGAUUAGUCAUUGGCCACGGGCAUAAGGGGAUGUGUACCACAUGUGUGGUCAUAUGUACACCAAAGGUGUGGUGAUGUUAGUAACGGGCGUGGUCAGAUGUAUACCACGAGCAUAACCGAGGAUACAGCACUGGCGUGGCAUGUCUGCCAGAGUGAGUGCCACAAAUACCUUCGUAAACCUCUUCGAGUAUGUGUCGGGCCCCUUUUGCGUUCACACACCGGAAAAGGGUAAUACCAUGGUUUCGUUUGUAGAGGGUGGACCAAUUGAUAUAGAAUUCUAGGGCGAGUCUCUCUUAUGUCUUUUUGAAGUUUUUGUUAUACUCCUGGUGGGUAUUCCUUGCUUUGUAUAUAAGUUUUUAUGUCAUGGUACCAAGGUUUAUCGUCCGACUCUUCUUUCACGUUAGCACGUGAGAGGGAUCAUCUUAUGUUUUAUCUGAAUUUGAGGAAUGGAGUCAAGCUUUCACAAUGCGUAUAUCGAGGAUAGGAUAGCCAGAGCAUCAACGAUAUGUUUGUGGUAAGGGAUAAUCUUUCGGAUGUGUUCCAACUUGGUGUUAUUGAAGCUUUCCAUCAUUUUCAUGAUGAGUUUAUGGUAAGGGAAAAGAUUUUCGUUUCUUGUCUCCCACUCUCCUCUUAGUUUGUAGAUGACGAGUGAAGAAUCUAUGUAUACCUUCAAGUUCUUAAUCCCCAUCUUUAUGGAUGAUCGGAUACCAAGCGAGCAUGCCUCGUACUUUUUUUUAUAAAAACAUGCCUCGUACUCAGAGACGUUGUUGGUGCAAUAAAAGGUCAAAUUAGUUGUAAUGGGGUACAUUUUCCCUUUAGGAGAUAGGAACACUACACCUAUACCGUAUCCAAAGGCAAUAGAUGCCUCGCCAAAUUUCAUAAUCCAAGGUCAUUCUUCACCCUCGAUGUCUUCGUCUUCAUCAUCAUUCAAAACAGUAUCGUCGGGGAAUUCCAAUACUAAUGGGUUUUAGUUUGAUAUAGGAUGGUCCGCCUAGGUUGUCAGCGAUCAGAUUUCCCUUGGUUUCUUUCUUUGUCGUAUACAGGAUGUCUUACUCGGUUAGUUAGACCGGCACUUUGCUAAACGACCAGUGAGAGUGGGCUUCUCAAAGAUGUGCUUCAUGGGGUCGACUUUUGAGACAAGGUAUGUGGUGUAGUACAACUUCUAGCGUCUCAACCUUUUAAUCAUUCAUGUUAAUGCUCCACAUUUCCUUUGUAGGUCCGAGUAUCGAGAUUCAUAGUCGGUGAACUUCUUGAUGGUAUAAUACAUGGUGUGUUCCUUCUUUCCUGAUAAGUCUCUUUCGGCUAGCAUAGGCCCUAGUGAGUUCUCAAACACCUUUAAGUAAAAAAGUAGCAUUCUCCCGGGUGUGGGAGGGACUAAUACCGUUGGGCUUUGGAAAGUAUUCCUUAAUAUUUUCAAAUGCCAACUGGCAAUUAUCAUUCCACUUUACUGGUUGGUUAUCUCUGAGAAGUUUGAGUAUAGGCUAGCACGUCGGGGUUAGAUGCGAGAUGAAGCAACCAAUGUAAUUUAAUCUUCCUAAGAACCCACGUGCUUAUUUCAGCGUUUGAGGCAGCGAAAUCUUGAUGAUGGAUUAUAUUGGGUCCACCUUAAUUUCUCUCUCGCUUACUAUGAAUAUGAGAAGUUUCCCUCACAUGAUCCUGAAGGUUCAUUUCUCAGGGUUCGGCCUUAGUUCUUGUUUCUUUAACCUUUUGAACAUUUUCAGGAGCACUUCUUUGUGAUCUUCAUAACUUUUGGACUUGGUGAUCAUUUCAUGACUUUAUGUAUCAUAUCAUGAAAACAGUGACAAUUCCCCUUCAAUAGGUACGUCGCCCUGAAAAUAUAGCUAAACGACCCCUAAAGUGUUGUAAAUGUUGUCUUUUCUCUAUCCUUGGGGCACAUCUUUAUCCAAUUGUAGCCGGAGAAGCCAUCAAUGAAUGACAACAUUUGGUGUCUUGCCGUAUUAUCUACUAGCAUGUCAAUGUGGGGUAGAGAAAAGUUAUCUUUUGGGCUUGCUCUAUUUAGAUCUUAAUAGUUGACACAUUUGCACCUUUCCAUUUAUUUGGGAGAUGAGUACUAUGUUAGCCACCCAUUCCAAAUAUCAAAAUACUUGGAUAAACCCGCCACAUACUGCUUCUGCACUUCCUCGUUGAUUUUGAGAAGCCACUCCAUUUUCAUGCUUCCAAGUUUUCGCUUCCCGUGUUUUCACCCCUCCAUGGUUGGCAAGCAAUGUGUAACAAUACUUUUGUCUAGACCCGGCAUAUUCUGGUAUCAUCAUGCAAAGAUCUCUUGAUAUUCUAUUAACAGCUCUAUUAGCUCCGCUAGAAAGCCUGCAGACUCCUUUCCUCUUAUUCCAAAAUCCAAUCUAUAUCUUACUGCAUCUCUUUCUCGUUCUCUUCUUCAUCCCCGAUUUCCAUUUCGCAAAUUGGGUUAUCAAAGUUAGUUUAGAUAUCAUGAUAAUAGUUAUUUCUCCUACCCGUAUCUGUUACCCAGUUAAAGUUUGCGUGGAGAAGUUAAUAAGAGGAUAAAGGAAUGCAGUUUUAACACUAAGUGAUGGAAAGAACAUGAUUUUUAUUUAGGGUGUUUUAUGUAGAACACUGAUUUUCAAGUAGAAACUCAAAUACAAACACACGAAGGGAAAUUCUUAAAUCAAAAUGCAUGAAGACUUUUAUUAUUUUAAAAUGUGCUCGUGUUUAUUACUUUCCAUGCGGCCCCGGGAGUUUGAUGGUCGUCCAGUUGUUCAGGUCUUCACCCAGUUGUAGCUGUCACAGAAGAUCCUAUUACUGAUCCUUGUCGAGAUCAAUUGUGUUGAUAUUGAAAUUAUAGAGAGCCAUCCUUGAGUCUUUUUAGGUGGAAGGAUCGCUCUUUGUCUGGUUAAUAACCCCAGCGCUAAAAAAGGUAUGGGAGAUGGGUGGGAAGGCCAUCACCCUCUUUCCUAAGCUCUGUUGGUGGGUCAUUUUUCCAUUGAUGAAUCUACCGUGAGUGGGUGUAUAUCCCAAUCCCUCUUGACCCUUAUUUUUCUUUAGUUGCACUGGUUCUUUCAAUAGAAUUCCCACUUUGAUGGGUCCAAAUGACGAGUGAGACAUUGGACCGCCAUAAGACUAACAUGGGAAAGUGAUAUUUGACCUUUCCAUAAUCAGGACCGUGCCUACUAACCCAUCUAUAGUUAGGACAGCGGCUACUAACCCAUCUAUUAUAUCCAUAGUAGUAUUAUAGUGAACAUGCACUUGACUCAAUAUUUUGAGCAGGGCCAGUCGGUGAGUCUUUGAAGAUGUUAUCAUAUCUAGCUGGGAGACUCAUGCGAGGGUUUUUUUAAGUUGUUUCAUGACUUCGUAUUCGAUGUGCUUCAUCAUACCCUUAAGAACUCAUGGGCGGUGUCGCGGAGGUCUCUCAUCCAAGAACACAUUCUGUUGGUGCUCUACCCUAUCCCGCUUGAGGAAGGGGGUUUGGCGCGCUGGCGUCACAAGGUUGUAGCACUUGGUGGAGUCGCCAUCGAUCAGAAGAACAUUUAGGGUGAAUGUAACAUCCUGCCCGUCCUUCCAAAUCAAUGUGGCUUGGGACACAAUUUUGACUUGAUCUAUGAAAUUGAGAAUUGUGGGUACGGGGUGAUGUUACGAUUUAUGGUUGUCGGGUUGACCCCAUGUUGACUGGUUUUUACUCGGUUUGACCGAUUAUUUACUCUUAUGUCGUGAUUGGUUGAUGAAAAUAAGGGAUUUAUGAAGUGUUAUCGAACGGAACAUUUAGGUCUUUUUAACAUGUCUUCUCAUGUUUUAUUAGGCUUUCAGGUAUCCGUUGGAUAGAAGACGACAAAAAUAAUCCAACGGGACCAAUCGGAGCUCAAUCGGAUGUCGGUCGAGGGAGAUACUAGCAAAAGAAAGAAAAUUACCCAGGCUGGAAUCAGGGCCACACGGCAUGUGGAGGCCAUGUGGGUGUGCUGACAAAUGAUAUUUAUGCCCAAUUUUGAGGAGAGAGGUGGCAUUCUUUGGCUUACACACAUUUUCAAUCAUCCACUACUCUCCCAAGAAUCCUAGUCCAAAAAGCACCAUCCAUCCACCAAUUAUUUGAGGCCAUUAAAGACCAUUUGGAGCUCUUGAAGAUCUAGGAUUGGAGAUCAAGCAUUGUUAGAGGUUGAAGCAAGGAUUUGCAUUCAUGAUCACCUCCUCCAUUCUUGUAGAUUAUGGUGAUUAUUGUAUUCCUUCCUCUUUGUUAGUUUCAUCAUGAGUGGCUAAGCGAUUAGAAUUGUUCGAUUAGAGUGUUUGUAAGUGCUAGGAUGAUCCCCUCAUGAUGAGGGGUUGGACAUGUUCGGAUUCUAGUUAUGAUUAUGGUUGUGCUUGGAUUAUGGAGCUAUUCAAUCUAUCUUACGCCAUGGCUUGAUUUAGGUCAAAUUAACUCUUUCCUUUGCUUAAUUGUGAAUGAAUUGAGUUAGAUUGUAAUCCAAGAUUCAAGCAAGGUGUAUGUGGAACAAGACACACCCCAAUUUAACCUUUAGUGCUUCUUUAGGGACAUUUCAUCGAACACUAGAGUGCAUUCUAUAAAUCAUCUAAGUAGUGACAAACUUGAGUGAUUGGGAUGUUUGGGGUGUCAAUUGGUGAUUAGCACCCAUUCCUAGGUGAUUGUGGUGUCCUUAAGGAUUUCUAAGUACCAACGUAUUUCAUCGAACACCUUCUGUUCACUACUAUUUUUGCUUGAUCUCUUGUGAAUUAGUAGUGGUAUUCCAUUGUAAGACUUUAUUCUGAAUUUCUUCACAUGCCUAGAGACUAAUCGUACCAUAAAUAGUGUCCAUUAUGUCUGAAGUCCUCUAAUGAGUCAAAUUUGAGUAUUUCCAACACUCGACGUCUAGCAACCUUACUCUCUUCGUUUGAUCUUUAUACUCUUUUGCAACAUUUAAUCUCUUUAAUCGCUUUGCAUACUUUGCAGUGAUUGGAUAGUAAACCUAGUUAGUAACUUAGAAAAACCCUUUUACAAACUUUCUUUGGCUUAAACCGUGAACGAAGUGUUGAGUAGAGAUUUGUGAACAGACCUCGUGGGAUACGACACUCGUGUCAGUUAGGAUUUGGGUUUCAUAGCCUCUGUUCUAUCCUAUCAAAUUUUUGACGCUGUUGCCGGGGAAUGUUCACACCUUUAAAAGACAGCAUUCACCCUCUCCAAUUUACUUCGUGCUCCCCUUGUUUUGGUAUAUCCCCCUGUCUGUGUAUUACUUUGGUUUGCUCGUUUUGGUGUGUAGGACUCUCUUGUACAUCCUCAUUGUAUACUAGACAUUUAAAUAUAAAUAGAUGUGCACCAAGGUGGCUCCUAGGGACUCCACCUCACCCUCUAUCACGCAUAGCGACUCCAUCCCGUUUUCCAUCAGUUGCAUCAUCAUCUACACUUCCAUCAAUCCUAGAAUCUUCUACACCAACAUCUUUACAGGCUUCACUAGUUGACUUGAGCUCCAAAGCAGAACUAGAGUCGUUGAGAACAUGUUCGAAAUGGCUCCACCACCACCUAGAACUCUUGAGGGAACUUCAUCAAGUGUCCUUCGUCCACGAGUCGACAACCGCCAAAAUUCCAAUACAUUCAAAUGGUGCAACAAAAUGUCUAUCAUGGCCAUGAAAAUGGAUGUCCGAGUAGCCCCCUUCGAAGCUUCUUAGAGAUUGUGGACCUCACGAAGUCCAACAAUGUCCCUCAAGAGGCCACCAACUUCGACUCUUUCUUUUCUCACUCCAAAGUUAGGUGAAUCAAUGGCUAGAUAACCAACCCAACAACACCUUGCAAACUUGGGACGAAUUGGCGAAGACUUUCUCGGAAGAGUUCUUCCCCCCUACAAGACGGAUGAGAUUAGGGGAAGGAUCUCUCACUUCCAACAAAUUAAUGGUGAGCCUUUCUUUGAAGCAUGGGAUCGAUUUCAAGACGGAUGAGAUUAGGGGAAGGAUCUCUCACUUCCAACAAAUUAAUGGUGAGCCUUUCUUUGAAGCAUGGGAUCGAUUUCAAGACGGAUGAGAUUAAGGGAAGGCUUUACCCAUGCCCUCACCAUAACUUUGGAGAGUGACAACUUGCGGAGACAUUUGCUAGAGGGCUUACUUAUGAGGAUACGAAGAUGAUCAACCAAGCGACGAAAGGAGAUUUAAGAUCAUUCCUCCUCGAGCGUUGCCUUCAAAUCUUCAGAAAGAUGACCGUGAUGACAAAGAGUUGGUCAAGGCCACAAUGUCUUAAAGACAUCAAAGCGAUGACCUGGGAUGCUUAUAUCUCCACCAACACUACUGCUCCCAAAACUCUCAAGGAUAUGCCCAAACUUUGAGAGAAGGAUGAAGAGCAACCAGGCCACUUAAUUGUAUCAAGGAUGGAUACAAUGGAUGCUCUGCUUUUUCCUUAGCUCAAGCAAUUGCCAAGCCUCAAGAAGUACAAGCACUUCUUCCCAAGCCGACAAUCAAGCCUCCUAUCGCACAAAUCUUUGUAUCCAAGAGUUGUGGCAGUGAAGGGCAUGAUGCUUCGACUUGCUAAUCUUUUGCUCCCAACUUUGCACUGAAAGAGGAUUGCAUUGAAGAAGUGGACUAUGUACAAGGAAGCUACCACAGAGGCAACCAAAGUGGAUCAACCACAGAAGGCGAACAAGAAAGAGAUCAACCACAGACAACAAGAAGAUGAUGCGGUGGUGAUGUUGAUGUCUGGUAGAACCUUCCAAUUAUGUAUUAUUCAAUUCAGUUGUUGAUGGUCAUCCGAGUAGUAUUUUUACUGAGCAAACAUACUGGGCAUUGGAGCUGGCUAUUGGCUAAUGUAGACGCAAGAAACAUUCUCUAAACCCUCAGCAAGUAAUGUAGACGUAGUCCCUUUCUCCAGUAUUUCUCUGUGUUUCAAUGAUGUAAGAAGUUAAAACUCUUAACAUUUUAAUACACCAGCCGCGUAAGAUAUUAUUUUCUAGUUAACCAAAGUCUGUAUAGAAUAUUACCUUAUAUUGAUAAGGAAACAUCCUAAAUUCUUACUAUUUAUUAAAUGAUUAAAAUACCUCAAUCAGAGAACUUUAAAAUAAAGAAAAUAAAAUAAUAAAAUAAAAAUCUUUAAAACAAGAGGAACUUAAGAAGAAUCUCGAACACUAAUUCUUACGAUUCACUCUCCUAUAAUAACUUUCAAAUAUCUUGGUGGGUGGUUCGGGGUCAGUCUUUCGUGCUCUAAUCUUAACAAUCAAUAAUUAUUAAAAGCGUUAGCCAACAUAUUAUACAAUUUCAUCUAAUCAUUUAGAGCUAUUUUCAUCUCUAGAACUAUUCCACCGUUAUUAAGGUUCUCUAACUUCUACUAACUUCUACUAACUUCAUACAUUUAGGAUAUCAUGAUCUGAAAUCAUUUACUAACUCAAAACUAACUAGUCUUAAUAUCCAUUUGACGGACUACUCUAAUGGCCCAAUAUUUAAUCGUAGGAGUCCCUAGUGGCCCAAUUAUAAGUAUUGGAUUUAUAUUGGUCUGAGACCAUAAGCUGCCAAUAUGGAUCAGAGGUCUAAUAAGAGAGGUAUAUAUUACUAGAUCAUCUAUUAAUCAUCUAGACUUAGAGUAGCUCUUGUUGUUCGCUAGUUAUCUAAUCACAUCAUACUCUAGUUUAAUCAUAUAGGCACGUCAUAUGAGCAUCAUAACUGAACAUAAGAAAAUAAGGACACAUAUAGAUUCAUAAGUACUAACUGAGUAACCAUAUUACAUAAAGUAGUCCUAUUUAUGUAAUCCUAUCAUAAGUAAGAGUUUAACACGAUAAGUACUUAAUCAUCAACAAGGAGUCUUUAAUCAUCAACAAGGAAUCAUCAACAAAGAAUCGUCAACAAGAAAUCAUCAACAACUAAUCAUCAUGAAAGAUUGAAACUAAAGUCAAUCAUGUUAGGUGCAUUAUGAAUCAUGGAAUUAUAGUUCUUGUAACUUGUCAUAUCAUCAACAUCAUUGAGGAAGUCAAUUUACAAGACUCUGAUUCAUGCACUAUCAUUGACAUUAUCUAAGGUAUCUUAUUCCUCGUGGGGCGUCCCCCAACUCAACCAACUAACCCACCGCCCUAGCGCGGAGGUCUGGGAGUACAUAUCCAUCAGACGGUAUCAUAAAUCAUAGAAGGAAAACUGUGACCGUAAAUCAUAGUGGGUAUAUGCCCAAAUCAUAGGGGCAACUGUGGCCCGAAACAUAAGGGGCGGUGGUCUAACUAGUAAGUUUCAUGUUUUAAAUCCACCUAUUACACAUCUAAGUGAAGUGUUCAUGUUUCUUAUCACUGGUUAUGUCUAAACUUAUCAUCGUCUAACAUUAAUAUUAGUCUAACCUUAUCAUAGUGUUAACAUUAUCAUUAGUCUAACCUUAUAGUUAUAUAGGAGGUAUAACUUGUACAACAUCAAAGUAAUAACAUGUCACAAAUAAACACUCAAGCAUGGAAUCAUGGCAUAAACUAAAAUGCAUCAAAUUAACUAACUUAAUCUACCCCCUUAAACCAACCCACCUCAUUGGCGAGCUGACGUCUCAGAAAUAUAUCCGAGAUGAUUCCCUUUGCUGCCACGAAACCACAACCUCAUACGGUGCUUCGUUCUGAGCUCAAACGACCAAGUUAUUCUCUGUUUACUUCUUUGCAACUUGUUGAAACUUGAACGGCAGAAUUUUCAUUUCCCUGUCUAACUUGGCAAACUUCAGAAUCAGUUCCCCAACUUCUGGUCCUUGCAGUUCACUCCAUAUCAUACAGAGAACUACAAUCCAGUCAUCCUAAUUUCCAGGAAGAACAGUUCAGUCUAACACCCCAACUUUACAGGUAUUGCAAAUUGGUCACUUAUCUUCCAUAAUUCGCUAGGUGAUCACUCUUCCCUAACCUCUGCAUCUGCGAUUACAGAGGAUGUCGCCGAUGACCCGAUUCAAUCCGUCGAGCUUUCCACGAAUCUUGGAAUCCGCUUCUUCUCCUCGCCUUUGACUCUACCGCCAGCCGCUUCGCAUGGGAGAGAAGGCUUCUCCCUCGAUCUAUCUUUGUCAGAUCGAUUCCUCCGCCAGACACCCAACAUCGGCUCUUGUUGAUGCUCAGACUCCAUCCAUCCUUGAUCCAAGGUGGUCGCCCGAUUGGUGGUUCGUUGCCGAUCCGACGAGGGAACGACACCAUCCCUCAUGGGCCCUCUCUCGUUCCAGUCGCCACCAAUGUCAGCCUCUCCCUCUCCUCUCACCGAUCGAUCUCAGGCCACCAAGGAAGCUCGCCAACAUCGCCUCCUGGAUUGCCUUCCCCAAACGAGAAGCCGACUUACCUGCGUGGUCACCAUCAACUCCUCUCGUCGGAUCUGCCACACUAGGGUUCCCUCCCAGCACGAAACACUCUCAAGCUUAAAUAGUUACAGAGGCUCACAUGUCGUUCGAUCCAUCCAACCGCCCAAUGCCCAUCACGUCAUCAUAAUUUCAAUUGUGUAUUAGGCCCACAACCGAAAUCCAAAACCAAACAAACAACAUCAUCUACUUUCUCUUGGACAAAUCAGGCCUCACUUCUCACCGUAGAAUCUAUCCAACCGUCCAGAUUCCUCCAGACCCCCAACUAAUAGACUAAUGGCUUCAUUCCAUCUCCGAUUAUCUAACCAACCGAUAAUAGCACCGCACCUCAUAGGUCUCCGGAACUCGCACAACUCAACAGCCAAACUCCUCGAAUAAAACAAUUAAUUCAACACCAAACCUUCUAUUCCAUUCUUCGAGUAGGAUUUCUAUCAAACCGAAAAUUCUAACUAGUAGCCUACAACCGAUUUAUCCAAUUUAAUGUACCAUGUACUAAUGAGUUGGACACUUCUAAUAAUUCACAAUUAGGCUAACAUUAAUUUAGUAACAGGAUCGUAUCCAAACAUGGAAUUUACAUUAUUGUACUUUUGCCAAUUUAGUGUUUUACCCUCCAUUUCAAUUUUAGGGAAGCGCAAAACCGCUUUUUAACAAUAAUAAUGGGGUCAUUUUUGGAAAUAAAAAGUAUGAUUAAUUUAAAAAUUAUAUUGACCGUCAAGUUGAAACCUAAAUUAUAUAAAUUGGCCAUUAAGACUUAGGAGCCUCUAAAACAUGCGGCACAUCCAAUAAACACAAAGAAGAAGUAAAAUGCGAUUGCAGGUUACGUGCAUCGAGAUGCUAGGUUUCUAUUCGAUGUUAUAAAAUAGUCACUAAGUAAAUACUAAUAAGUAAUGAAUCAAAAAUACUAUGCAAUUAUUAAUAUUCUCUAACAUAAUACUCGAUAAUUACUAACAUUAUCUAACACUAGGCAAUUAUUAAUAUUCUCUAACUAUGCAAUUAUGGUAAUGAUACCAACCUCAUUAUCGCAUAUAUCACCGACGCGAUGUCAUUUGCGGUGGCCCCAAAGUAGUUUUACAUCGAUUGGCUCAGGGUCGACGCACGGGGAUAUUGGUCCAUACAAGUAAUCCAUCCUACAACAAAACAAAAUAUUAAUAAAAAACAAAACUAAAAAAUUACAAAUUAAAAAAUAAAAUUAUAGAAUUACCGAUUAGUUGGUUGCAGAACGAGGACUCGUUAUCGGUACAGAAAAAUCAAGAAAGGAAGGAAUGAGAAAUAGUGGAUUGGUGUGGAAUGAAAGAGGAGGAGAGGGUGAUAUUUAUAGAACAACUGGAGGCAUACUAGAACGUGCGAUGCACUGUGCCUCCAACGGUUAUAUUGAAACGGUCAUCUAACGAUCGUUACAAUAUAGCCGUUGAUUCCACCUUAAAACGCUUCACACAUCCUAAGACACGCCGCGAGUUGUAGAGGGUACUAGUGAUCAUUUUGUAUAAUUUAAAUUUUAAUUUAACUAUCUACAUAAUUUUUGAUUUAUUCAUGUCUAAAAAAAAUCCCCAUUUUCUAAGCCUUAUCUCAUCUCUUUCCUGCUCGUAUAAAAAAUUUCAUUAUUUUAUUUUUAGAAAAUUGGCCCCUUGUAUUUUAAUUUUACCAAAUUGGUGAUUAGCCCCUUUAUGACAAAAUUGCCCACGUCCCCUCUUACAUUAUUGCUAAUUAACCAACCAUAUUUUCUGUUAUGGUUUCGGUUAGUUUACUAUUAAAACCUAACAAAUCAGCAUGCCAUAUCACUAAGUCCGUUUAUAUCAUCAUGUUUAUGUUGAGACCAUCCAUUAUGGUGAGCUAAAUAGCUAAAAAUGCUAUUAUUUAGUUCCAAGUAGCUUCACAAUGGGAGAGCUAAAUAUCCAAAAAGUAAAAAAAGCUAAAAUAGUUGGUAAAAAAUAAUUGGGUCAAAUAGCUAAGACUAUCUACAUCAAUACAAUUCAUCUCCAUCUAUAAAAGUGAUCCACAUUUUCACAUCAUUAACUUUUGCAAUUUCACAUUCUAUAUUUUCAUAUCAUUUUCAUCCAUACAAUUCAAUUCCAAUUGCAAAAAUGAGACCAAUAUAUAUAUUAUUUAUAUUUUCUUCAAAUUAAUUCGAAUGUUAACAAAAAGUGGACCCAAAUGAAUUUUAAAAUAUUGUAUGAAUGGUGUAGCCCCAAAUAAAAUUAUCACUUGACUUAUAACAAAUGUAAAUUUGCAUUUAAAAGUUACAUUUUUUCAUCUAUGAUAUUUUCAAUUGAAUUAUAAAAAUUUAACACAUAAAUUCCAUAUCAUUUUAUAAAUAAAUAAAAUCUCAUUAAUGGGAUGCUUUAAUAGUCAAAUUUCACACUACCUGGCAGACCCAUAGUAAUGGAAGGCGUAUGGAAUUAAAAACAUAUUAGGAAAGAGAGUGACAAACAAUGCCCAAUGAUAAAUCAAUAAUCCGGCGAGUGGAAGACAUGCGGACUUGCUGCUGCUGAGAUUCCUUGAAUAAUUAUUCAUCAGUACAAUCCAGCUGGCACAAUUUGAUUGGCUUCUUUGUGUUGUUGUGAUAAAUGGUUUUGCUGUUCUUUGUUAAAAAAGGGAAUUGCCUUCAUUAUUUCACAUAACCAUCCGUCAUGUUUGUUCACGAACAUUAAUAUUAUUUUUUGACAUUCAUUCAUAAAUUUAAAAUUUAAAGUGCCUUAAUUAUGGAUAUAAUUUAACGAGAAAUUGAAAUAUUUGAAUUUUAUCUUAGAUCUAUUUUCUUGCAACUCAAGGAUAUAUGCAAAAUAAAUAUCAUAGCCCAUCAAGUGGUAAAAUUAUCACAUGAGACCAAUUUAUGGUGAACCAACACAAAUAUGACCAAGAUUACUACUUCAAAACCGAGUAGUUCUUGUGUUUGAAUAAAGGUCGAUUAAAAUUGACAUAGAGUCACAUAGUGAUCUUACUACCAUCCUGGCAUUGAUAGCCAUGUUAUAUCCAUAUAACUUUUUGUUGGAUAUAAUUAGUAUAUCAUUGAUGAUAUACGAAAAUCAUGUUCGAGAGAGAUGCACAAUUGGCAAGUUAGUGGUAAUCUUCCACAUCUUUCAUCAAAGACUUGAUGUCUUAAAACUUUUCAUUUCUCUUGGGAAUUUGAAUUUGCCUCAAAUUGAAAUUUUUUUUUUUAGCCAAUCAUUUCUAUCUGUGCAUGCAUUUUGGCUAAUGAUCCUCAUUUUCAACUAUCAUAUUUAGCGUUGCACUAUACGCAAAUAUUUCGUCGACGUUGACUUCAUUGGGGUUCCAAUAUUUUCCAUCCAAGAUAUAGAUAAUUGAGAUAUAUAUUCAUAUCUUUCAGGUACCUGAUACUCUUCUUGAGCACAUUAUUUGUUUCUCUUGGUGGCUUUGUUUAAAUAAUCUUAACCUCAAUUUGACCAUCUUGAUAUAUAGCUCCAUUCCACUUUUGAGGAUUUUUUCUUUGGAACCGAGUGGUCUAUCACGCCUUUGCGGGUUUUAGACUCAUUUGUGAUGUCAGAUUGCCCAAUAUUGGCAUUAUUGUUAUUGGAGCAUUUUGAGUUGGCACAUGAAAACUUUACUCUCGUUGGGUCAGUAAAGUGUCUGGCAGAUAAUGAAUUAUAUAUUUUUGAACUUCAAGCUCAUAUUGCUUAGUGCGAGGAUCAAAAUAAUAUGAUCAUUCAUCUAAUCUCUUGGCCAACUUUUGUUUUGUCCCCCUAAUGUUGGGAAGUUUAAAUAUAAACCUCCAAACGAGUCAUCAAAAUACUCCCGACAACGAUGUGAUACUUUACCAUCGAUGAACUCGUAAUCAAAAUUCAAUCUUCAUUGAGAACCCAUCCUAAUAAAUGGUGGUGGAGCAAUUCAGAUGUGUAUAUCACAUCCAUAUAUCCAAUGAUGGGAAGUAUAAGGUUUUGACCCAAAAACCACAUAUAAUGGAGGAAUUCAUAAUAAUUUCUUGGCGUAAUGCGAAUUUGUGUUGUUCAUGUAAAUGACAUGUUCACAAUAAUAUAAAUGGAAAAUGUUCGUCUUAAUGACACAUUUUCGUUAUUGGAUAAUCAUGAAAAUAUGCUCAUAACCAAAUGGUUGAGCUAGUAAUCUCCCAAAUUAAAGUUUGUCAUGAUAUACACAUGUGACUAUCUAAUUGAUGCAUCAAUUAAAAUAAUUGGCUCACAUGUUGGGUGUAUUGAUCCCCAAAUAUCACCUUUGUUUUGUUGUGUGGAGGAGAAAUGAUCUUACUUUAGUUGAUGAUUAUCCAACAAUCUACUCUAUUUGAGAAUAAGCAACCAAAAACUGAGUUAUGUUGCGUUGGAGAUUUACCCAACAAUGGGUAACGGAAAGGUCAAAAUGCUUUCCUAGAAACGAAACAUUGUUGACAGAACAGAAAACCGUUCGUGUUCCCAGGAAGUAGGGGAGUCACAAGGACUACUUAAAUCCAUAUAACCUUAGGAAUCAUUUCUUUAGAAUACCCAAGUUGAGACCAUCAUGCACAACAAUGUUCAAGAGAACAUACUCUUUAGAUUAUGGAAUCAUCAAAAUUGACCAUAGAGGUACUUAUCGAUUCCCAUCAUGAUUGAACCUGGAUGGUCUCACCGGUUAUGCCAAAUAAUAGUUGUCAGGACUAGUAAACUUUUGUUUUACAUUGACAUAUAUCUCAAUCAUGGUAACAUAUGCGUAGUACGAAUUGGAGGAAAAUAUUCAUAUUCUAUUUUAUUGAUGGUCACAAGAGAUAGGAACAAUAAUGUGGUCUAUGACCAUGCAAAAGGUUUUCGCUCAUGCAUGAACAAUAUAAUAUCUCGAUCUAGAGUUUGAAAUAAAAUAUAAUAGCUCGAUCCAGAGCUUGAGAGAAAUGUUGUACUACACCAUAUAUCUUGGUGCACUAUCGAUGUGAUAUAUAUCACAAUUAAUUAUGGUGAUUCGCAUCAUAAAAUACUCAUUUUUGUCAUAAGAAUGGUACAUGGUUUAAAUGAUAAAUAGAGAUAUUUCUCAAUCAUCUAUGUCACCAAUUAAUUGAUCAAUAAUUCUCGUAUAACCACAAUUGUUAUGUCUAUCCGAAUAAAAUGGUUCCUUAUGUGAACAAUGAUAAUAUGUUGUCACUUAUGCUUUCAGGAACAAUGUAACAAAAUAAAAGUGUCUUUGCAGAUCGUAUGAUGUUACUUGUGCUUUCAAGAAUAAUGUAACACAUGUGUCUUUCCACAAUCACUUUGAGGGCUAAAUUAGUAUCAGUUGGAUAUGAUCAUCAAAAUAAAACUGACAGUUGUACCACCAAUCAUAGGAUUAAAAUUGUUCAACAUCAAUUCACAACUCUCUUCCACGCGAGAAGAUAAAUUUCACAAAUUUCUUUCCCAUGACCAUAAUAAGAGGUAUUGUCCUCCACAAUAGUGUAUUGUCGUAUCGCCUUCGUGGGAAUAUAUGUAUUGUCACAAAGGACAUGAUAUAAUCAUNNNNNNNNNNNNNNNNNNNNNNNNNNNNNNNNNNNNNNNNNNNNNNNNNNNNNNNNNNNNNNNNNNNNNNNNNNNNNNNNNNNNNNNNNNNNNNNNNNNNNNNNNNNNNNNNNNNNNNNNNNNNNNNNNNNNNNNNNNNNNNNNNNNNNNNNNNNNNNNNNNNNNNNNNNNNNNNNNNNNNNNNNNNNNNNNNNNNNNNNNNNNNNNNNNNNNNNNNNNNNNNNNNNNNNNNNNNNNNNNNNNNNNNNNNNNNNNNNNNNNNNNNNNNNNNNNNNNNNNNNNNNNNNNNNNNNNNNNNNNNNNNNNNNNNNNNNNNNNNNNNNNNNNNNNNNNNNNNNNNNNNNNNNNNNNNNNNNNNNNNNNNNNNNNNNNNNNNNNNNNNNNNNNNNNNNNNNNNNNNNNNNNNNNNNNNNNNNNNNNNNNNNNNNNNNNNNNNNNNNNNNNNNNNNNNNNNNNNNNNNNNNNNNNNNNNNNNNNNNNNNNNNNNNNNNNNNNNNNNNNNNNNNNNNNNNNNNNNNNNNNNNNNNNNNNNNNNNNNNNNNNNNNNNNNNNNNNNNNNNNNNNNNNNNNNNNNNNNNNNNNNNNNNNNNNNNNNNNNNNNNNNNNNNNNNNNNNNNNNNNNNNNNNNNNNNNNNNNNNNNNNNNNNNNNNNNNNNNNNNNNNNNNNNNNNNNNNNNNNNNNNNNNNNNNNNNNNNNNNNNNNNNNNNNNNNNNNNNNNNNNNNNNNNNNNNNNNNNNNNNNNNNNNNNNNNNNNNNNNNNNNNNNNNNNNNNNNNNNNNNNNNNNNNNNNNNNNNNNNNNNNNNNNNNNNNNNNNNNNNNNNNNNNNNNNNNNNNNNNNNNNNNNNNNNNNNNNNNNNNNNNNNNNNNNNNNNNNNNNNNNNNNNNNNNNNNNNNNNNNNNNNNNNNNNNNNNNNNNNNNNNNNNNNNNNNNNNNNNNNNNNNNNNNNNNNNNNNNNNNNNNNNNNNNNNNNNNNNNNNNNNNNNNNNNNNNNNNNNNNNNNNNNNNNNNNNNNNNNNNNNNNNNNNNNNNNNNNNNNNNNNNNNNNNNNNNNNNNNNNNNNNNNNNNNNNNNNNNNNNNNNNNNNNNNNNNNNNNNNNNNNNNNNNNNNNNNNNNNNNNNNNNNNNNNNNNNNNNNNNNNNNNNNNNNNNNNNNNNNNNNNNNNNNNNNNNNNNNNNNNNNNNNNNNNNNNNNNNNNNNNNNNNNNNNNNNNNNNNNNNNNNNNNNNNNNNNNNNNNNNNNNNNNNNNNNNNNNNNNNNNNNNNNNNNNNNNNNNNNNNNNNNNNNNNNNNNNNNNNNNNNNNNNNNNNNNNNNNNNNNNNNNNNNNNNNNNNNNNNNNNNNNNNNNNNNNNNNNNNNNNNNNNNNNNNNNNNNNNNNNNNNNNNNNNNNNNNNNNNNNNNNNNNNNNNNNNNNNNNNNNNNNNNNNNNNNNNNNNNNNNNNNNNNNNNNNNNNNNNNNNNNNNNNNNNNNNNNNNNNNNNNNNNNNNNNNNNNNNNNNNNNNNNNNNNNNNNNNNNNNNNNNNNNNNNNNNNNNNNNNNNNNNNNNNNNNNNNNNNNNNNNNNNNNNNNNNNNNNNNNNNNNNNNNNNNNNNNNNNNNNNNNNNNNNNNNNNNNNNNNNNNNNNNNNNNNNNNNNNNNNNNNNNNNNNNNNNNNNNNNNNNNNNNNNNNNNNNNNNNNNNNNNNNNNNNNNNNNNNNNNNNNNNNNNNNNNNNNNNNNNNNNNNNNNNNNNNNNNNNNNNNNNNNNNNNNNNNNNNNNNNNNNNNNNNNNNNGUUAAAUUUGAGUGGGAAUUUGACUUUUUUAGGUUCAACUUUUCUAAAGUUAAAACGCUAAAUUUGAGUAAAUUUUUUUCCCCACCGCUAGUAUAGUUUCAUUCCUGAUCACGGACACCUGUGUAGGAACCACCUAUGAUCUCUUCACUUUCUUUAUGGUUCUGAAUACAACUAUAUUCACACCAUCUUCCUGCUCUUCACCCAAAUUCGACAAUGAUAUCAGCAAUACUUUGUUAUUUUAUUUAUGUCAUUAAUAAAUAAGUUUAUAAUUAAGCUGAUUAGGAUGUUGACUAAAAUGAUGACCCCAACUGCCACGUCAGUGUUGGACAGAAUUAUUGACGAAAUUGGACGGAAAAUAUAAUGGAAGGAUACGAUUGGUUAAUUGGCAGGACUGUAAGGGAANNNNNNNNNNNNNNNNNNNNNNNNNNNNNNNNNNNNNNNNNNNNNNNNNNNNNNNNNNNNNNNNNNNNNNNNNNNNNNNNNNNNNNNNNNNNNAUCCAUUUAUUUAAUUGAUGGUUUGUCAUUAGGUCCGCUCAAAUUCACAACAGUUCAAGCACAUGUAAUUCAUUUUUCUUCUUUCCUUUUAUAAAUGAAUUUUAGUUCAACAUUAAAAUGAAUUAUAUAAGUUCAAAAUUAAAAUGGUCCUGUUUUUUAAGGCCCUUGGUUUUUACUUUUUGGCUACUUCUUUUUGGUUGGCCCAAGUCAUCUAGAGUGAACAAUGAUUGAUUGUUAGCGUAUGUAGUUGUAUGGGUUUUGAGCCCAACUCGAGCCUAUGUUAUUUUGUUGUCUUUUCUUGAAACAACGUUACUUAAUUAUAUAAAUAGUCCAUCAAUUGUCUCCCUAUAUACAGGUGAUACCAGAGAACGAGAUCGACGAGCAAAGUUUGUGAGAAACCGUGCUCCUAUAUUUUCUAACCCACUCAACCCUGAAUAUAGGUCUACUAUUAAGGAUGUGUUGGCAUCGCUCCAUUAUCGGGCCAAACUCCAUGCUACCAUGUCCCAACGUUACUUCUUGGUAAUCUGUCUCAAUGAUGGCCUUUUCAUAGCCCAUGUCUCGUAUCCAUUCGAAGCUAUCCUUCACUGCAUGCGCUUCUUCUUCCCCGCUCUUGUUAACCUUGUUGCCUUCUACAUGAGGAAAUGUAUUAAACCACCUGACUCAUCGCAAACCGCUAGUCUUACGCCAUGGUUUCUAUCCUGAUGGAACAGGGGAAUGUCAACAUUGCAGUUGACGUACCCCACCGGUGGUGGGUGCCAUUAAGGACAAGCUGUGGGUUGAGGUUGUUGUGGUCGCUUCUCCUCCGUCCAAUAAUUCACCCAUUCCAACAAGUCAUCCAAAGCAUGUCGUAUAAUCACCUCUGGUGACUAGCCUCCCCAUUCCAUACUCGCUCGUUCCUUUCCCGCCAGACUACCUUGAAUCUGUAAAUUCGCGUUGGAUUGCAACAUUUGGAAAACCCAUCCCCGUACAUCAUCCACUUGCAUGCAUACCGAAUGGACCCACUGCCACAUUCCCAACAAGGUCUACCAAUUUCACACUCGAAGAGCAAGUUAUCGAGAUCCUCACCCAUUUUCAAACAACAGUCGCAAGUAUCCAGUACUAUGACUGCUUGCUUGCCAGACGCACUCUAGUUGGCACCACAUCACGAGCCACCCGCUAAAUUAUGAAAUUACUCGAAUGAUUUAAGUGGUUACGUUAUGUCAUGUCAUUCAUGUGACUAUGUUAUGUUAUGCUAUGUUAUUCAUGUGAUCCGGAUAAUUGUAUGCCAAUAUCAUUGUGAUUAAGUGGUUACCUUAUGCUAUGUUAGUAUGUAAUGGUUAAGUGCCUAUCUUAUGUUAGGUUAUGUCAGGUUAUGAUAUCUCUUGAUGAUGUGCAAGUUACAACUUUCAACUACAUUAAAGCAUGUCAUGUUCCCCAACAUUAGUGUCCACGUUAUGUCCAUCAUAUUCAUGUUAUGAUUAACUGCUUAUGUUGUUGCUUGAUGAUGUGCAAGUUUGCCCUUUUAAACUAUGUUAACUCAUUUCAUGUUCUCCAAGAUCAGUGUUGUGAAACCCCAUCCUAAGAGUCCUGAUCGAACCACUAGUUCAACCAAUGAGGAGUCCUACUCGGGUUUCAACUUGAAACACACUGAACUCUAGGCUACUAAUAAAAACAUUUAAAACAAUAUCCUCUGAUAUCAAAACACCGACAAGCUCUCUCCCCACCGUGAGCUCCAGUACCUGUGACUGAACACACAAAUAUGCCAAGGAAAACAAGCUAAGUCUAAUGGGGUCAGUGAUAAGCAUUGAGUGGCUAAAUUAGACUGGCGUAAAACUAUGACUAUACUGAGAAGAUAGGGAAAGAAAGUAUAACUAAUCCCUGAAUCUAGUAAUGUGACCUUGUGGUCCUAUAGGCAACAUCCUAUCAAUAGUCACCCCUAGCUAGUAGUUGAUAGCCUAUGGUGGAUCAGACCAUGAAACCACCCCGUAGAUACAGUGCGAGUAACAUCAGUAGGCAUACUAGACACGCCCUGCAUGACCGUAUGUCACCACAACUUUAAUUGGACUCAAGGCCCACACCUUAAGUUCAUGUCCAAUUAGAGUGGAAGUCCUCACCCUUCACUUGAAUAGUUCAAUUCCUAUCCAUAGCCAUACGAUCAAUCUAACGAUCUAGAAAUCUCCAAGUCCAUAACUAACAAUUCACAGACUUAACUCUUCCUCCGAUUGACUUAGUCAACCCGGUAACUACCCCGAGCCUUACAAACCCUUAAUACUUGGUCAACUGUGAACUCAACUCCUCAAAUUAAUUAAAUUAAUUCAUUUUCCAACUUCCGACUUCUACUCAACGAGUAAAUUUUGAAUCAAACCGAAAUCAAACCAAAAAUUGGGGUGUCACAACUCUCCCCUCCUACAAAAGAUUUCUUCCCGAAAACCGAACGUCACCCCACUGAGCGGGAAGGAUUCGGCGCAAUAGUGUUCAACUAUGGCGCUUGCACUCCUACUUGGUAGCAAACGACCUUGAUGUGUCGUCCUUCUCAAGUACUCAACCAGUCCACUCCUCGAAAAUGACCCAGGGUCAAAUCAAAGUCUAACCACAACCUUGUCCUCGAAGACCGACAGUGACACCUUUAAAGAAAUGAGUCAACCCAUGGGCAAUACUCAUCAUCCUCUGGACCUUCAUUUCUUUUCCACUUCUUGUUCCCCUAACUCUCCUUCCUCCUGACUAGAACAUCCAAAGCUCGCACCUCGCUCAUGACCUCUCAGCCCUGAAAUGCUCAUUCCUUAACUGAUUUCCUUUGAAAUCUGAACACACCUUCCCCUUCCUAGAUGAUACUUGGCCCUUGGUAGUCACCAUCUGGCGGAAGGACUUCCCUUAACCUACCGAGCAUCAGCUUUGCACUUUCAGUAUCCUUACGAUCUUUUUGCACCCUAAGCAUUGUUUCUAGCUCGUCAACCCGCACUACCAUGUCCCAGACAUAGAAGUACAUAGACCAGUCCUUGCCAUGCUGCUUUGAAGAUGCAGCUAGUCGAGCAGCAAGCUCAACCUCGCAACUUUGAUCUUGAUGCUUAUACUACUAUUCCCCAUUUUCUUACUGAUAGGUAAUACUAAUCAUAUAGUACUACCAAGACCUUAGCCAACUCACAGAAUCUUGUCAUCCUUUCCCAUGAUGACGGUUCCGACAAGUCUGAUCACGCUUGUGACCGUUGUCCCGCCACGCCCAUGGUAUUCUCCUCACCACACUCGUGGUCCUCUCCUUACCACGCUAGCUUGUGGUCGACUAUCAACAACGACCGUUGCCACUUGACUGUCACAGCCGUUGCCUCAUGAUCACUGCACCAUCACACUCGUGAUGUACUACAUGUCAUGACCAUGACUGUCAUCCAACCAUACCCGUCACGGACUAUUCGUCAUGCAUGUGACUAACUGUCAUCCACGACCGUGACGACCUUUUUGUCAAGCCCGUGAUGUAUCAUCCCUCACGCCUGAGGCCAACUCUUUGACAAGCCCGUGGCUGAGCUUCACCACGCCCAUUGCUUGUUGAUCAUCGUGACCGAGGUUAACAUCCCGUCACGCCCGUGACUGACUUCUUUUUCCUAGAACUACCAGAGUUGCUACAGCUGUUACAGUAACACGCCUUACUGUCUUUCUGAGACCAACAAAGACCUAUCUCUACUCUUGCCCUAACUACUCCAUCGGCCCUCAGAUGCUUCCCAUCCUUGCCUUCAAGCAUGGUUCUCAAUUAAAUACUAGAGGCUAACUGUCUCUUUGACGUUACACCUCAAGGAGCGAAAGCAUCCUUUAAACUCUGAAUUCCCUUCCCAUUGGGGUCCAAAAGGAUCAUCCGACUAAUGGCUCUAAUGAAGAGUUCCACUGGAUGAAAUUCCCAGAUUCCAUCCAAUGCAUCAUGUAACACCUUAGGCAAAUCGCACAUCGACAAAGUACGAGAGAGAUCAAUGGGUUAUGAGUAAUACUCUAUCCUUAACUGACAAGAUACAUUUUCGGGGUGAGAUGAAGGAGUUCGUGUAAAGAACUCUGAAGUUAAUCAUGCUCAAGUGGGAGCGGUUUAGAAAUGGGUGACCUCUUGGGAAGUCAUUGUUCAGCACCCGAAAAAAAAUCCGUGAGGGAUUAGCUAUACCCAAAGCGGAAAAUAUCUUAUCAGAAAAGGUUGGGGUGUUGCACUUCCCUUAUCACUACCCCUUGUCUUACUAGAAUUCUUAAAGUUCAACAACAAGCCUUUGAAUCAAGAAAGUAAGAUACUCUGCCCCUUGGUUCCUUAAUCCCUUUCUUUUCUCUUUCUAGAGCUGGUGAGAGAGUGGUCGUUCAAAUCCUGACAAACUAUCGCAAUGUUCCCUUUUAAAGCACCUGAAUCCUGAAAACUCUUUUCUUAAUAUCUUUUGCAAAGACUGACUCACCACAUCAUUUUUUUCUAGACACUCACCUACUGCCCCAUGAAAGACUAGUACCGUUACAUGUGUCGACUCACCUUCUCCCCUCUGAGGUUCGUGACGCCUCUGAGGAGUAGGUAGCAUACCGUUAGGGUUACAAGAAAACCGGGCUCUAAUACUAGUUGUCAAACCCCACCCUAGGAGUCCCAGUCAAACCACUAGUUCAACCGAUGAGUCUUACUCAGUUUUUAACUUGAACCACACUCAACUCUAGGCUACUAAUAAAAACAUUAAGACAAGCAUUAACAGCUUAAACUGAACACUUCAAUAAAAUUGACAAACUAGGAUCCGAAAUCCCAAAACACAACAAAUCAAAAAGAGAUGCAACUCCAGUUUAAAAAUACAUAAAAAUUAUAUCCUCUAAUAUAUAAAAACCAACCAGCUUUCUCCCCUCCAUCAGCUCCAAUACCUGUGACUGAACACAUAGAUAUGCCAAGAAAAACAAGUCUAAUGGGGUUAGUGAUAACCAUUGAGUGGCUAAACUAGGCUCGCAUAAAACUGCAACUAUACUAAGAAAAUAGGGCAAGAAUCAAGUAAUGUGACUCUGCGGUCCUGUAGGGAUCAUCCUAUCAAUAGUCACCCCUAACUAGUAGCUGAUAGCCUCAUGAAGGAUCAUACCAUGAAACCACCCGUUGAUACCGUGUGAGCAGCAUCUGUACGCAUACUCCACACAUCUUGCAUGACCGUAGAAACAUCCUGGGGGAUUUUGCAAUCCAUGGGUGGGUGACCAACACACAUAAGGAGCUAAUCUAGCUAAAUCUGAAUUUUGUCCUAAGCAUGAACUGUGAACCACAGUUCAAAUGUCAUGAGCUUAUGCUCGAACUUAAACAACUACCUGUUCAGUAGAUCACACGCUACUGCACAGUGUAUGAGCCCGACUCUGUUUCAUAACCCAUGUAUAGUAGAUGACACGCUAUUGCACAGUCUUGAGAGCCCGGCUCCGAAACACAACACAUGUACCGUAGAUCACACGCUACUGUACAGUCCUGAGAAUCCGAUCAUCGCAUUCCUGACAAUCCUAAUUACAGUUAUAUGCUUAAGUCAAAAAGUAAUCCUAACCCUCACCUAUUAAGAAGGGAUGGCAUUUCUGAUUCUCACUUGACAUGAUUCCUCUCACUGCCACUAAUCUAUAGCUUCUGACCGUGCAUCAUUUGGAGUUUAACCAAUUGAGUUAUACUCCAUUUACUUGUAGCAAUCUGAAACUUGCUAGGACAGAAACGUGGCGCUAAUCCUCCAACUGCCUCCAUUACACUAACUGAUCCAAAACUUCUACUCAUUGACAAAACUAACCCAAGUCCUUAACUAUAAAACAUCCAAAAGUUCAAAGUUGCUAAAGGUCCUCAACGCGUCCUACACACCACCAAAGCCGUUGCACCCUUGCCGAACGCGGAUGGCGCCACCGCUACUGCUAUUCCUAAAGCUCCGCCUUGAAUCUCCUCAAUCUCCUCCGAAAUAGUGAUCGGCACCGCCACAACUCCAUCCUCGUUUGCCCUCGAUCGAUGGAAUUCAAAAUCCUCACCUCUUGGCGUCAAAACUAAUGGCAACAAGUAACUUACCCUGCUCAUCGUCUCAGUGCAUCACCAGUUAGAUCAUGGAAGGGAAGUUAAACCAUUCUCCCACUUGAUGGUAAUGGGGCCCAACUCCACAAUCUGAUCCAUCAUACGGCCCAAGGCCCACCUCAACUUUAAUUGGACUCAAGGCCAUAAUUUAAGCCUAGGGUGGCAGUCCUCACCCUUCACUUGAAUGGUUCAAGUCCUAUCCAGAGCUAUAAAAUCAAUCUAACGGUCUAGAAAUCUUCGAGUUCAUAACUAACAAUUCACAGGCUUAACCCCUCUUCUGAUGGACUUAGUCAACCCAAUAACUAUCUCGAGCCUUACAAAUCUUUAAUACUUGGUCAAUUGCUGAGUCAACUCAUCAAAUUAAUUAAAUUAAUUCAUUUUUCAACUUCCGACUUCUACUCAACGAGUAAGUUUUGAAUCAAAAAAAAUUUUAACCGAACCAAAAAUUGAGGUGUCACAAUUGUCUACAGUAUGCUUAGCUUAUACAUGUGAUGGUUAGACAGUUAUGUUCAUGUUUCUACUUGAUGAUGUGAAAUUCAUUAAACUAAGAUAAGUUGUUAAACUAUAAUAAGUCCUUAAAUUAUGAUAAGUCAUGUUCAUGAGAUCCAUGUUAUGGCAUGUCUUUUUUCCAGGAUUAAUGCUCCCAUUAUGUCCAUCAUAUUCAUGUUACGGUUAGGUAGUUAUGUCAUGUUAUGUAUUAUUUAAUGAUGUGCAAGUUGUACCCUCGAAUUAUGAUAAGUCAUGUCAUGUCUCCCUGAUAAGGGUUUAUCUCAUUUUCAUGUGAUCCAUGUUAUGGUUAAGUGGUUAUGUCAUGAUAUGUUGGGUUAUUACAUGAUGAUGUGCAAGAUGUGCCUUGAAUUAUGAUAAGGCUAGACUACUUCAAGGUUAGGGUGUGAUAUGUCUACAUGACUAGUGAGUAGUGAAUAAGUACACGUUACUUAGACAAGUAAUGUGUAUUAGAAACAUGUAACUUUCUGGCUAGACCACCACCCCCUAUGUUGUGAUCUCAUGGUACCGUCUGAUGGAUACAUACUCACGGACUCUCACGUUCACGUUUGGGCCGGUAUUGCCCCUCAUGUUACCGUCUGACUGAUACGUACUCGCAGACUCUCACGUUCAUAUUUGGGCUGAUAUUGCCCCAUGUUUCUCACGUUUGGGCCACAUUUUUCCCCUUAUGUUACCGUCUGAUGGAUACAUAGUCCCAAACUCUCACGUUCACAUUUGGGUGUUGGACUAGUUAGUUGAGUUGGGGGGGGACGUCCCGCUAUUGAAAGUUCAAGUGAUAAGAUACCUCAGAUAAGUUCAUGUACAAGUAUGUCAAGUUCAAGGGAUAAGAUAACUUAGAUAAGAUCAAGUAUAAGAUUCAAUGUUAUGUGUUUUCAUGUUCGCUAAGUGAUGUUGGUGAUAAUGACCACCUGAUAUGAUAUGUUCAGUGAUUGUCAUGUGCUGAUGUGUUGUGAUAUGUUCAAAUGUUUCUUAGAUGUGAUAACUAUGUGUUGGGAUAAAUAUUCAUGUAAUGAUGUGUUCCUUAUGUUCCAAUGUGCCAUGGAUUUGAUGACUAGUUGUGAUCAAUAUUCAUGCAGUGAUGUGUUCCUUAUGUUCCAAUGUUCCUUUAGAAUGGAUUAGAGGUUCAACCUUUGAUGAUGACUAUGUUACUUGCCAUGUUGAGUUCUCAUGUGUUAGGAUUACACAAAGAUGGAUACUAUAUCUUAUAUGCCUACUUAGCUAGUAUCAAUGAUGCCUUAUACAAUGAUAUGUUUUUGUCUUCCCUAUGUUCUAGCAUGAUACUCAUGUUAUGUGUCUACAUAACUAAGUCAGAAUAUGUUGUGGUUAGAUAACUAGAAAGCAUGUCCCUAAGUAAAGGCAAUGUUUGAAUAUAGCAAUGUCUGAUUAAGGUGAUGUCUGAAUAAGGUAAUGUCUGAUUAAGAUGAUGUCUGAAUAGUUUGAUGUCUGGAUGAGUUGAUGUUUGAAUAAUUUUGAUAUUGUUAAACUUAAGUUGGAAAUCAUAUGUGUUAUAUUAGAGCAUAAUAGACUAACCCCAGAACCACCCACUAGGGUGUUUCUAAGUUGAUGCAGUAGUAGAGUUGAGCUGAUUCGGAUGUGCAGCGAUGGACUUGGUAUUCAAUGUCGGGUUUGAGUUUCAAGUGUUUAUUCUGAGACUUGAUUCUUUUCAUGUUGUCUUAUGUUGGAGCACUCUCCGCUUUUGUUAAAGCAGAUGAUCAUUUUCUAUCUUUUUGGUUGUUCUAUUUAAAUAAAGUUUUUGAAAUUCCUUUGAGUUGAGUCCCUAUAGGGCAAUUUGGUUAUUAAAUAAAUAGAAAGUUUUUGGGGUGUGUCACAAGCGCCCGCGACAAAGAGUAAAACCUGCGACCAUUGUAUGAGCGCUAAUGGAUUUAUUCAAACGUUGUCGCAGUCCGCCUAAAACAAGAGCUCGACUGCGAUAAACAUAGUGAAUGACUACCCUUCAGCAGCCGAUCUCCACUCAUUCCACACAGCUUCAACUCUCCUCCCAUCUGAAAUCCUCCUAUUCCUCUCAAUUUCCUCCAUCGAUUUUCUCCUCUUCUCUUCUCCAAUUUUGUCACCCCGACUUCCACCCUUUUCUCGAAAUCGCCAAUAUCAGCUUACUGUUACUAACAAGAAGCAUAAGAGUUCGAUUUUGAUAUAGUUGUGUCGGGCAAUCGCAUUGUGUUUGAGUUGAAGAAUCAGGGGGUUAAACCUGUAGGUCCACUUCAUUCCUUCAUGGGAUACUACAUAAGUGAGUGUACAAGAAAUUAUGCUUACUACCCGGUCUCUCCAAUCGAAUGGAAGAAGUUGUCGCCCCAAUUGAAGACACGGGCUUGGGAGCAGUUUGUGCUAGUAAGUAUUAUUUUAGUUUUUUUAAUUAGAUAUAUUUUUGUAGUUAAAAUUGUAACUAGUUAGUGCUUAAUUGAUUUAUAUUAUAAACCUCUUUUCACAUUGAGGCGAAUGAGAUGGUUGAAGCUCGCAAAUAUUGGGAUCGCAAUGUUGGAAGACUGUUGGGGGAAGUCAAGGAUCACAAUUUGGCAAGCUUAGUUGAAGCAUGCACAAAUAAACCAACUCCCUCCAUAGUGGAUUAUGAAUAAUUCCUUGACAGGUUGUCCAAUGGCUGAUUGGAUAACGUACUUGUUGCGAGUUAACGACAAGUAGUUCGAGAUAGUACAUAUAUUUACAGAUUUCUAAUUGUAUUUGAUUGUAGUUUUUAAUACCGACUCAAGAACUUUUAUGUGCUUGAGUCAUAUCAAAUCAAGCCGCUCAAAUGGAAAACCAUAAAGGAGGGAGAAGGCCAUGUGAUACAUAUGUCAAGGAAACCAUUGAGAAGAUGGGUAAGCCACCUUCUCUACGCCAGAAGUUCAUAAAGUUCUUCCACUAACUAGAUGGAAGUUACAAAUCAGAACAUGGAAUACUUGUGGUGGUAAUGACUAGUUUCCAUAUAUAUAAUAGAUAUAGCUUUAAACUAGAAGACAAUAGAAUUAAUUGAACAUCUGUUAUGUAGGAGACUAUCAGCAACUAGAGCGGGAAGGAGCACCGACUGAGGUUGGGCCUAAUGACUCAUUGGCUCAAACACUAAACAAGCCAAAGCAUCGAGGCCACGUUCGGAUGAUGAGUUUGGGGUUUACCCCACAAUGGUAAUAAUGUUCAAUUUCAAAUUUGUUCUUUCUUGGGUCGUUAGUGUUUGUACCUUGUUUGGUGAUAUUUGUACUGUUUUUUCUUUAAGGUAUUUGGUGGUGCUAGCACUUGUUCAUCAUCAUCAUCAGCUCCUUCUGCCUCUGGGAAUGCAAGUGUGUCCUCAAAUGCUGCUCCUAGUGCUCCCCCUCCCUUACGAGAAGAGUUUGAUUGGAUGUCGUAGCAGAUGGCAUUGAUGUUGCAACAGUUGGCUACAAUGUAUUACAUGAUGUCGUCGGAGCUCGCCGGUGCUUUUACCUAAGUUUUGACUCCUGGGAUAGUUCCUGGUACUCCAUUCAAUCCAAGUCCUCUAUAUCUGUAUUAGGAGCCUAUGCAGCAGCAACAACCAUCUCAACAAUAGCAACAAGCUCAUGAGACCAAUCUUAUGGGUUACUUCCCAUUCUCUCAAGAAGCCAAAAAUCAGUUUCGCCUUCAUGGGAUGAUGGCGAAGCCUUUUCUUCCCUUCUUCAUACAUUAGAAAGAGUGAGUUUUAUAAUUAGUUUCUUGAAAUUUCAAUUAGAAUUCAUGUUUGUACUUACUUGUGUUUUUUAUGUUUAUAUAUAGGUCCCCAUUCCAGACACGAGGGAGCAACGAGAUGAUGAUGAUUGUUCGUAGUUGUAUUUCUAGUUAGUUCUAGCUCUCUCCCCAUCCCUAUUCCCAUAUAUUAUGUAGUAUUUGAAACUUCUAAGAUAGUUUCUUAAGAUAAUUUCUUAACGUUUGCAUAUUAAUGUUUGUUAUUGUAGUUUGGAAUUAUUACAUGAGAUGGUAAUUAUGGAAUUAUUAUGUGUUAUUAUGGAAACCUAAAAACUGCUCUAAAUUCUAAAAUUCUGCUCUAAAUUCUAGAACAUUGAAAAAGCUCUAUAACUGCAAAGGUAGAUCAAUUUGAAAGUGAUAGGUGGCACCAUACCAGAAUAGACACAUCUCCAGCAUUAUUGUAAUAGGCUAGUCGCAGGCCCUUUCUCGCAAGUGUUGACUACGAUUGGCCGGUCACUGGUAGCGCCUGUGAUAAAGCGCCUACAACCAGCCAAUCGCAGCCAACGGCUACGACAAGGCGAGCUUUGUCACAUCAAUAAUUGUCGCAUGCCUAUUUCUAUUUGUCGCAUGCACUGUAUGUAACCAUCCUUCUAUUUUAUGGCAGGCUGGCCUGCGACAUUGUUUUGUUUUUGCUUGUGACUGUUUUCCCUUUUUAUUGCAGUGUAAGUUAUACACUUUCAUGCAUUAUUACGUGUUGAAGAUGGAUUCUAACGUGAUUUUGAAAGCUCCUAGACCGAAACGAGUGACCAUUUAGUUUGAUUCUUUUAGUAAUGUGUAAAUGAAAAGUCUACAUGCUAAAUAUAAAUUCAUAAAUUUGUUCUCAAUAAUAAAAAGUUUACUAGUUAAGAAUAGUUGAAAUAUUGAUGGACGAUGUUAAGUUCAUCCUUCCAUAAAUUUAAUUCACAAACUUAAAAUGAUUCGUAAGUGAAAUGUUAGUAUUAAGACGUUCACAGAUGAAAACAACAAAGAUUGAACAUCAAACUGUAAAGAUAAAAAUAAACUGUAUCUCAUAUUAUUUGGAAUUAAGNNNNNNNNNNNNNNNNNNNNNNNNNNNNNNNNNNNNNNNNNNNNNNNNNNNNNNNNNNNNNNNNNNNNNNNNNNNNNNNNNNNNNNNNNNNNNNNNNNNNNNNNNNNNNNNNNNNNNNNNNNNNNNNNNNNNNNNNNNNNNNNNNNNNNNNNNNNNNNNNNNNNNNUAAUAUAAUACUCAUAAGUGGACAUAACAUAGACAUAAUCCACCUAUAAAGUGGACACAAUGAUUAUAUAUAUAAUUUUAUCAUAAUAUGAACAUAACAGUGACAUAAUUUACUUAUAAAUGUAACAUAAUAGUGAAUUAACAUACUCAUAAGGUGAAUAUAAUAGGGACAUAAAAUGUUCGUAAACCAAGCCUAAAAGAUGCCUAAUAAACUUAUAACUUAGACAUAACAUAGGCAUAAAAGAAUUGCAGUAGUACUGAUAUUUAGGUUAUGUAGCAUAAUAGCCUAAAACAAGUGGUCUACUCAAAACACUAAAAAUUGAUAUAUAAUCGUAAUAUAAUUGUUCUAUGACAGUUAUCCGUUAUUAACAUAGAAGUUGUACAAACAUAUUGUGACACCUUGAUUUUGGGUUGAGUAUGAUUCUAGGAUAGUAUUGGUUUUUGUGAGUCGGUGAGAAUCACUGUCAGACGGUCCGUCACGGGCGUAUCGGACAGUCUCUCAUAGGCGUGAUCAUCAGGUAGAUCAUGAUCGUGGUCAAUGAUAGUCACGAACGUGGCAGCCGGAGGAUGACGGCCGUGACCAUCAGUAGGUCAUGGACGUGGUUUCCAUGUCACAACGGGUGAGGUAAGCAGUACGCCAUGGGUGUGGUGGACAACUUAUGAAACCUAAUUUUCUUCUUCCUUGCAAACUUCUGACGAGCGACGAUUGUUCCAGGCACAGGGGAAAGUCUUGUUGAUCGAUCCAGACCAGUAGGAGAGGCCUAGAGAUCAUCGAGGAAGCUUUAGGAGGUAAUCUACCUUCUUCCUCGUUCGUCAAUCCUUUUCUUUGAAUCCCAUGUAGGAAAAUCCUGACAGGUUUGGAUUUGGAGUUUUGGGAUUUCAAUUUUAUGAUUGUUCCCUUCAGGUUAUAUGGAUUAGGCAAGCAAACUCUAGGUUUCAGAUCAUACUCUUCAGAGGAAAGCUUUCAGAGGUAGGGGUUAGGAUUACUUUUCUGCUUUAUGCGAAGAAUUGUAAUUAGUUGUCAGGAAUCCUUGUUUGGAUUUUCAGAAUUGUACAAUAGUGUGCGAUCUACUGUAUAGAAAGAUUUGUUAUGCAGUUUAGAGUUUCGGGUUGUACAAUAGCGUGUGAUCUACUGCAUAGGCAGAUGGUUAUGAUUCGAGCAUAAGCUCACAACGAGAAACUAUGCAUUUAUACAGUUCAUGUUAGGAUUAAGAAUCAGAACUAGAAUAUACUAGCUCACGAUAUACGUUGGUCACCCACCCUAUAGAUUGUGCGAUCCCCGAGGCUACAUUUACUUUCAGGUAGGACUUGACGAUAAUGCCUUCAGUUGCUGCUCUCACGGUCUGAUCCACCAUGAGGUCAUCCGCUCAUAGCUAGGGGUGGCUAAUGUUAGGAUAAUACCUAGAGGACCACAUGGUCACAUUACUAGAUACUAGUUCAGUUUUUCAUGUUCAGGGUCAGCUGCUCAGUGCUUAUCACUGACCUUGUUACAUUUCAUUAUACAUGAUCAACCUUGGGACUUCAGGAGCCAAUGCCGCUUAAGAAAGGAGCAUGAGUAGUGACACCACCUCGCAGUGAGUCUGGGAGUCACACAGAGAGGUACCAUCGAGUACCUCAGCUGUCUCUUUCAGUGUUUUCAUAGUUUUAAGACAGUCUUUCAUGUUUUUUCAGUUGUUUGUGAGACUUAUUUUACAGUGGUUGUUUUCCCAGGUUUGGGAUGUCUUUUAGUGAUGUUCAUUUUUGAAUUCGAGCCAUGAUGCUCUGUUUAUUUUUUGCUGUCGUUUUACUUAAGUAUUGAGGAUUUUCAGUUCAGUUAAUGUAUGUCAGUUGUUAUGAUAUAAGUUUGAGUGAACCCAUGAGCAAUGCAUGGAUAGAACCGUGUGGUUUGAUCGAGUCAUCUAGGGGUGGGUUUCACACAUAUUAGUUAUAUUAUGUGACAUUAUAAUAAAUAAUAAAGGGAAUAUUGUCAUUUACCCUCUUUUACUUCACCCAACUCGCAUUAAGCCCUCUAUACAAUUCAAUGUUCCAUUAACCCCUACACAUUGCCCACUUUACCAUUCGUCUCCUUCCGUUACGCUUUCCAUAUGUACACCGUUAAAACCAUACAACUCAACAUGCCAUGUAAGUUUUUCGGCACCACAUCAGCGUUUAAUUCCUUUAACAAUUCAUGAAAUAUAAAAAAUUCCAGACACCCUUCUUUCUUCACUCUUCUCCACUCGACCCCCAACCUUUCUCACAUCCGAUGCAGCCGAACUUCGCCCCGAGGGUGAACACAAGGAGAGGAGGGUUGCUAGAUUUUGGGUGUUGUUUUUGCACUCAAAUCCGAUUCAAAAGAAAUAUUGGCCACACUGGAAAAAAGUUAUGGUUUGAUCAUCCUCUAAACAUUCGUAGCAGUGUAAUUCAAGGUCUUAAAUUGGCUACCACUACCAAUUGGAAAGUGAGCAAGCCAAUUUGUAGCGAACACCAAGUGUUCAACAAAAUUCUUAGAUGCUAAAAGACUCUUACUGGCAUCACAAACACUUGACAAGGGUGCUAAGUCACUAUUUGACACCCCCUAACAUUCCAAUCACCUAAAUUGUCACUACCUAAGUGAUUACCAAAAUGCACUCAAGGUGUUAGAUAAAAUGCCACUAAGAGAAUCCUCACACUAAUGGUUGAAUUGGGGUGUGUGCUUGGUCCACACACCCUUACCCCAAUCUUGGACUACACACUUACUCAAGUCAAGCACAAUUAAGUAAUUGAAAGAGUACAUUUGACCUAGAACAAGCCAUAGCACAUUCUAAGUUGCAAUAACCAUAGUCCAACCAUUCUCAAAUACCAUAAUCCAUAUCUAACAUGUAUCCAAAUCCUCGUCAUGAGGGGAUCAUCCUAGUACAUAGCAAUACCCUAAUCUAACAACUAAAGAGUCUAGCCACUCAUCAUGACACUAAAACUAAAGAAAAGGGAUACAAUCACCAUCAAUCAACUAGUAUGAAGAAGAUGAUGAGGGUAGGAUCCUUCCUCAAAGCUCUACUAUUCCAAUUCCUUCAAUCCUUGGUCUUCUCUAGCUCCGAAGCUUCUUCAAGGUCUUCAAUUGAUCUUCUAAGGCUUCAAAUUGGGUGAAAAUCGAGAGAGGAGUCGGGUCUCAACAAUUGUUAUGACUGUAGUGUGAAUUGUUCGUCCAAUCUCCAUGGACCAUAUGCCAUGUGGACCAACACGGGCUCCAGAUGCCAUGUGGCCUAAUUUCCAGCUUAGGACUUUGUUCUUUGAUCGCACAUAUCUCCCUCGUCCGACCUCCGUUUGAGCUCUGGUUGGUCUCAUUGGAAUUUUCUCGUUGUUCUUUAUGCAUCGGAUACCUACAGCCUCAUAUAUACAAUGAGAAACGAGGUCGAACGGACCAAAAUGAUCCAUUUGACAAAAUGAAACAAGAACCCCUUUUUUUCUUCCAACCAAUCACAAAGGAGGGUCAAAACUAGGUCAAACAAGGUAAAAAACAGUCAAGAUGUGGUCAAAUUGGCAACAAAUAAUCGUGCUAUCACAUCCCCCCACACUUGAACGUUGCUUUUCCUCAAGCAAAUCUACUAAUCACACUCAAAGAGAACUCGAAACAGGGUGAAAAGAAAAUAUUUCCUAGCAUUUCAAGCCUAUUUCACGAUGCCAAGAUUGCAAGUCAAUCACCAAACCACUCAAUUAUGUAUAAGACAUUGAAUCCCUUAAAAAAUUUCACACCAAACUCUAAUAUAUAGAUAUUAUGAUUAGAUACCUAAACAAGCGAAUGUACUAAAGUUUCUCCAAUGCACUUAUGUCAUAUGGUACUAGCGGAAGAAAUGGACAGACAGACGGUCCUGGCUGGGUAUUUUUCCCGUCUUGAGGGAGGGGAUGCCUGAUCUAACAUAAACAUAACUAUCACCAAGUAUACUAGCAUCUCCCUCUUCUUUUACUCUACUUUGCUUUCUUUUGUAUUUAGUUUUCAACUAUCUUUUCUCCCUCUUUUUUUUCACAUGGAUGCUUUUUCCAAAUGAGGUGGUUGUGAUUCCAAUUAGGCUCAGAUCCGGUGAAUACCGGGCACCAGUACCGCAAUCCACACAUCGAAGGGUUGAGAAGAGGAGCCCGAGGUGUUGAGCAUACGAGUGGCAGAUCGAAAUCUACCUUGCGUGUUUGAAUCACAACCUUCCUCCAUAUCAUUCUUAAGCACAUUGGCCUCCUGUCCAUUUUGACUUCAUAAUACCAUAGACAAGUUCAAAAAGGAGAAUCAAUCAUACAUAUCGAGCAAGUAAAGGUGAAAACUCAAAACAUCCAUAUGUGCGAGUUUGAAGCAAACUAAUUUCAGGAAAAUGGGAGGUAGUCCACAAAUGAUUACUCAACAACCUAUUCGUCCUCAAGUAGUAUGAAUAAACUAGGUAUGCAUCCAAAGAGAUUCACAUAUUCAAAUUUGAGAGGGAGUAUCAAAAUUCAAGAGCAAGUCAGAAAAAAUGCUACCAAGAUAUGCACAAAAAUUCUCAAACCCGAAUAGUAUAAAAAAAUCCUCCCCCCCCCCACACUUGUACAACACAUUGUCCUCAAUGUGAAAAGAUAUAAGGGGAAGAGGGGUACCAAACGGGGGUGAGGAGUGAAGCCGGAUGAGAAGAUGAAGGAUCAAGAUCGAGUACCUAGAGUUUCACAAAAGGCAAGAACAAAAAAAAAACAAAAAAAAAACGCAGAAACAAACACGAAUAAUGGUCGAGUCAAGAGAAAAGAAGAUAUCUCAAGGCCGUCGAGGAGCUGUCUCAACAAGAAUCCAAUCCACUUAGGCAAGAGUAUACAAGAAUGUGCACAAGUAGAUAUGGAAGAGGCAAGAUGCAUAAGAUAUGCAUAACCAAUAAAGAAGAUAACUAGUUAUUCUCAACCAAGACUAACUAGCAAUCCUAAACAAGAGCAUCCUAUAAUCCAUAAAUGAGUAAGACAAGGGUGAGAAAAAGCUAUGGAACCAUCUCAACUCAUUUAGAAUCAAUUCCAGAAAGUUAUCAUCACAAACGUGUACCAAGUCCAAUCAACAAGAAUGAGCAUAAAGAGUGUAUGCAAAGCAUCAAGUGAACAAAGUAUGCAUCAUUCAACUAUAAUCAAUUUGAGAGCUCAAUGGACUACUAGUAUGCAUCAUUCUUCUUUGACUCAUUAACCAAAACAAUGAGCACAUAUGGAUAAUCAAAAGUAGUGGCAUGAUCAAAAUUCAAGCAUUAGAAGCAAUGAGCAAAGUCACAAUCAUCAAUUCAAUAAUUGGACGCAUCAAAUUCACCUAGCAACAACCUAGGUUCAACCAUACAAGGGAGCACAAAGAUGCAAUUCCAAAUUCUCAUCGCAAGAAUUCAACAACCCACAUAAUUCUUGUUCAAAAAUAUCAUAUUGGCAAAGCUAGACAUUCAAGUAGGCACAACCAUCUGAAACUGGCAAUUGCAAUGUUCAAAUUAGCACAAAAGCAUCAUUUGACCAAAUUUGACCACAAUUCAAACUUUCCACACACUCCAUCAAUCAAACCAGAGCAAACAGAACACAGACGACACAGAUUCAGGCCACAUCAUCAACCAAAAAGUCGUAGGCAGUCAAACGAGCUUUCCAACGCCGCUGGUCUUGCGAAAAACAAACGCUCGAGCAAGAAGUUAUGCUCAAAAUACCGAACCACAGCAUUUUUUCGCACAAGGCGACCAAUCAACGGAGGGUCAACGUCCGGUGAACCGGUCUGGUCAAACUCAGGUUGGUUCGGUUUGAAAAUCGGUUAAACAAUGCACCCCCUUCUUUGAAUAGUGCAUCUUGGCACAUUUUUAACACAAUCGAGCACGUUUCGGAGCUGGAAAUUCAAGUUUUUUUUUAGAAAACCCAUUGGAACUGUAGAUUUUGCAUAAAAAGUACGCUUUAGCCUUUUGUUUCCAAAAUCAAGCAAAUUUUAGGAUCUGAAAGUUCAAUUUUUUCAGAAAACCCGUAGGAAGUGUAGAUUUUUCAUAAAAGUAAGUCUGAGCAUAUUUUUUAGUAAAACAACCAUUUUUUAGCUCUCGAAAAUAUAAAAAUUUCAAGACUGCUUUUUUUCUUUUUCCUAAUGCAACGAAACUUCCUGCUAGCCUUAGGCACACUAAGAUAAGAUCAAGCAAAUCUCCAAACACUCGUUCUCUCGUCCCGGUCAUCACAAGAACACAAGAAACAAAAACACAAACAAAACACGACAAACACACAAUCAUGCAAGUUUUAUUCAAUUUUCCUACUCCUAAGCUACACUAUUCAUGACGAGACACCUAUGGUAUCACCAACUUGGUAAUGUUCAAGAUGCAUCCCACAAAGUAGAAGAGGGUCAAGAUGAGUAGAGGAGGUUACCUCGAUCUUGGAAGGAACGAACUUUUGUUACCAUAAAGGGGCCGGAGAUGAGGACUCUAUCGCCCUCUUUGAGUGCUUGUUUGGUGGGGAGGUGCAAAUCAUGGAGUUGCUUGAUCGCUUUCUUGCAACUCCCAUCCUUGACCUUGUGGACACUUUUUUGGUGAGAAGAAGGAUUCUUGGGCUCAAGGUCUGGUGGUUCUUCAUGCAUGUUCCUCGCCUUAGCAUGCACUCCCUUGAUCGAGAUAGCUUCGGUUUCCUUAUUAUACUAUUUCACACACUCGCUCAAGGAUGGAUCCAAGGCUUCAUGAUGAAGAGAUACAUUAAUAGCAUAAACUAAAGCCAUUUCAACGGGCUCGCCAAUAUCAUUAUCAUCUUGAGGAUCCGGGUGCUCCAUACCCCCGAUCAAUUGAAAUGUGGCUUCCUUUUGACCCACUCUCAAGGUAAGCUUACCCUCAAACACAUCUAUGAUUUCCUUCGACGUGUUGAGAAAUGGACGACCCAAAAUCAAUGAAACGUCGGUGUCUCCGGUGUCAAUCACAACAAAAUCCACCGGAAACAUGAACCUUCCAACAUGCAUAAUAACAUCUUCAACUACACCACUAAGCAAUUUUGUAGUUUUUUCCGCUAGUUGGAUGCACAUCUUAGUUGUUGUAAGUUGACCUAGGCCUAGUUUCUUGUACAAUGAAUAUGUCAUGACAUAUAUACUAGCACCUAGAUCUGCUAAACCUCUUUCAAUCACAACUUGACUAAUCAUGGAAGGGAGAAAGAAACUACCCAGAUCUUUGCGUUUGCAAGGGAGGUCCCUUGAGAGGAUUGUCGAGCAUUGCUCAUUGAGAUUGAUGUUGGAAGCUUCUAUGAGCCUUCGCUUGUUGGUGAAGAUCUCCCUUAGGAACUUGGCGUAUUGAGGCAUCCUUUCGAUUGCCUCGACGAAAAGAACGGUGAAGUUCAUAUUGCAAAGUCGAAGCACAAGUUGCUUUAAGCUCUUCUCGAGAAGAUCCUUAUCCAAUUGGUUGGGAUAAGGUGGCUUAGGGUUGUAUGGAGCCGACUGGGGCUAGGAGAUAGGAGAAGCCUCAGUUGAACUCUUCGUAGCCUUCUUGGAACCAACUUCAGUUGACACCUUUGGCUUUCCAUUACUCUUUGGAGCUUUCGGAACUAAUGCAUGCGGAACCGGUGCACUUUCUUCGACCAUCACUUCAUUCUCUUAAUCACUAGAUGCUUCAUUUUUCAUUAACAUCUUUCACAAGAAAUUCAUUAUCAUGCACAAGCUUGCUAGGUACAUCGAUAGGAGGAUCGAUUAAAUUUAGGAGUUGUGGACACAUAGUGUCUCAUGCUCCUAGUUGUGAUAGAUCCACAAGUUUCCUUGCUCUUUGGAUUGGUUAUGAUAUUUCUAGGUAGAGUGCACGGUUGCCGACUUGAAAGAGCGUGUGUGAGGUAUCCAACUUGAUUCUUAAGAUCCACCAUUUGAGCUUGAGUUGAGGCAUUGUGGGUGUCUUGAAAUGCUCUUUGCUCUUGAGUCACCUUGUUGUGCUCUUGGAAGAACUUAGCUUGAUUCUCAAUCAUUUGGUUUCCUCCAUUGAAGCUCCCUUGAACAUAAUCAACUUCUUUAAUGAAGUGCUCUUCCUCCGGUGCGAAAUCGGGAGCAAGGGAUUGGCAAGUAGAGGUGGCAUGCCCUUCGUUCCCAUAACAUUCACAAACAAAGAGUUGCACAACCAGUUGAUUCACCUUUGGUUCUUGUACCUCUUUCUUUUGAGGUGGAGUGGCGGUUGGUCUCACCACCGGUUGAGCCAAGGCAAGUGCUUUGAUUUGAGCCGCCAUGCCAUCCAUCCUUGAUAGCAUCAAGUGAACAAGAUGGUUGGGAUCUUCCUCCUUAUGUCCCGGCAUCUCCUUAAGGACCUUUGGAGCUUGAGUGCGAGUACAAACAUAAGGAUCUAUGCUCACCACCUUAGCUUCUAUAGGACCUUGUUGCCUAGACCAACUCUUCAUCUUCACCGCCAUUUCCCGGAAGACUUGAAGCCAUCAUUUGGCGAGGAGUGAUCUCAAGUCUCCUCCCGCCGCUUGAUUGGUCAUCUUGGUGUCCUCAUAAGUGAGUCCUCAUAAGUGAGUCCUCUAGCAAAGGUCUCCGCGAGUUUCCACUCAUUGAAGUUGAAGUUGUGAUGAGGGCAAGAGUAGAGAAGGGCUUGGGACCUCUCCCAAGCUUCAAAGAAUGGCUCUCCAUUAAUUUUCUCAAAGUUGGAGAUUCUACUUUGGAUCUCAUCCGUCUUGUAAGGCAGGAAGAAUUCCUCCAAGAAGGCCUUUGCUAGAUUGUCCCAAGCUUGGAAGGUAUUGUUUCGUUGGUUGUCGAGCCAUUGAUUUGCCUUCCAUUGGAGUGAGAAGGGAAGAGUCGGAGUUGAAUGGCUUCUUGCGACACAUGAUUGAACUUCAUUAGAUCCAUGAUCUCGAGAUAGCUACUUGGACAUUCGUGCUCGUGCCCAUGGUAUACGUUUUGUUGCACCAUUUGAAUGUAGUUGAACUUCAACUCGAAGUUCCGGUUAUCAAUAAGGGGUGGAGCACACUUGAAGAAGUACCUUCAAGAGUUGGCUUAGGUAAUCACCUAGAGUUCUUUGAGGUUCUUGAGCCAUCUCAAAGAUGUUAACAAAUUCAUCAGCCUCUCCUUUGCAAGAUGAAACAAUUGAUGAGUGAUCCAGGGUUGUUAAAGAAGUUGCGAUGUGAGGUGGUGGUGGUGCUUGAGGUGGAGAUGAGAUGAAUCUCUUUGGUAGACGCCUUGUACGCUUCAAUCUUCUCAUGCACUAAUAGUGCAUGAACGGAACCUACACAACAAAGCAAACAACCAAGGGAACACAACAAAGGAAUAAACACACAAGAAGGGGGUAGCAAUAAGUAAAAUGGAUUAGGUAGAAUGCCUAAAUCGGUGUCUAAUCUACUCUUUCAAGGGGGUGAUUACACUCCCCAACAAUGGCGCGAUUUUGAUCCUCUAAAAAAGAACCAAACAAACAUGAUCGGCUAAGAAAAGGGACUAAUCCCAAACCCAAGGUCUCAAGUGACAAUUUUCACGAGGAACAGACCACCAACCCUAUACUCAACUAUUAAAGACACGGUUUAAGCUCACAAAAGUUCAAAAUGCUAGUUCCUUAAAUUAUCCACUAAAGUACAUAUCAUUCACAAGAGUAAUUGGAACUAAAUUAAGCUAACGAACUAAGCAAACAAGAUACUAAAGAGGGUGAACACAAGGAGAGGAGGGUUGCUAGAUUUCGGGUGUUGUUUUUGCACUCAAAUCCGAUUCAAAAGAAAUAUUGGCCACACUGGAAAAAAGUUAUGGUUUGACCAUCCUCUAAACAUUCGUAGCAGUGUAAUUCAAGGUCUUAAAUUGGACUACCACUACCAAUUGGCAAGUGAGCAAGCCAAUUGGUAGUGAACACCAAGUGUUCAACAAAAUUCUUAGAUGCUAAAAGACUUACUGGCAUCACAAACACUUGACAAGGGUGCUAAGUCACUAUUUGACACCCCCUAACAUUCCAAUCGCCUAAAUUGUCACUACCUAAGUGAUUACCAAAAUGCACUCAAGGUGUUCGAUAAAAUGCCACUAAGAGAAUCCUCACACUAAAGGUUGAAUUGGGGUGUGUGCUUGGUCCACACACCCUUAAUCCAAUCUUGGACUACACACUUACUCAAGUCAAGCACAAUUAAGUAAUUGAAAGAGUGCAUUUGACCUAGAACAAGCCAUAGCACAUUCUAAGUUGCAAUAACCAUAGUCCAACCAUUCUCAAAUACCAUAAUCCAUAUCCAACAUGUAUCCAAACUCUCAUCAUGAGGGGAUCAUCCUAGUACAUAGCAAUACCCUAAUCUAACAACUAAAGAGUCUAGCCACUCAUCAUGACACUAAAACUAAAGAAAAGGGAUACAAUCACCAUCAAACAACUAGAAUGAAGAAGAUGAUGAGGGUAGGAUCCUUCCUCCAAGCUCUACUAUUACAAUUCCUUCAAUCCUUGGUCUUCUCUAGCUCCCAAGCUUCUUCAAGGUCUUCAAUUGACCUUUUAAGGCUUCAAAUUGGGGGAAAAUCGAGAGAGGAGUCAUAUCAUCAUACAUCUUAAUAUUAUCUCUAAUUGGGACCACCUCAAUAUUAUCUGCAACAAUCUCAUCCUCAGUGUCAACCUCUAUGGCAAGUAGCUGUUGUAACUCCGUUUCUGAAGAUGAUGCAACCACUCCACUAGAGGAGGCAUCACAAUGAACAGCAAACCUACAUGAACAAACUCUAUACGAUUGAGGUUACCAAACAAAUCACCCCACACUUAUCUUUUGCAUAAACCAAUAUGCAUUAAUCAAGCUGUAGAAAAAGAGAAGAGUGGGCUUAGAAGCAACUAUUGAACAUCUCAUCCAAAUAGGAAAUCUGUCAUAAUAAAGAAUACUCAACAUCAUUAAGGCAAUCCACGUAAGGUUUAGGGCACUUAGAAACUAUCCACAAAGUCACACAAACAAUGUAAGACAUGUAAAAUUUCAUAAAUUCUUAACCCAGAAAAAUACCGAGCAAAACUCAACAUUCCUAUGACACCUAAUCAUAUAAUUUCAAAGUGCAAAGGAUGUCAUUAACAUCCUAUAUCAUACCCAAUUGAAUUCUAGCAUCAUCAAUUUCACAAAACCUCAUAUUUGAAAUUUCAAGUUCUUCAAGCUAAUCAUCAAUCUCAACAAUUUAACCAAUCAGGGCAAAGUGAACAAGGAGAAACUGGGCAAAAUUCAAUGUAAACUAGCUCAAAACUCACUCAAAGUUGAUGAAAAACGAAGGGGGGAGAUUGGGGGAGGGUUCGGCGGUGACCGACAACGGUUCUAUGGUGACAGGAGUGCGGAGUUUUGAAUGACGGCAAAGGGGUAGGAGGGUGGAGUCGGCGUCAGUGGAAUGUUUGAAAAAAAUAUGGUUCAAAAAUCGGCUAAGGCUAGAAUAUUUAGAAACCCGUGUCAACUAUUGCAUUGUAGAAGUGUCAAAAAUGCGGUAUGGACAUAGCGCAAUGUUUGACAAAUCAUAGCGCAAUGAUUGAAAGGAUUUCCAGAACUCAAUGUCAACAUUUUUUCUAUAGAUGGUCAAUUAUUGCGCUAUGGGCAUAGCACAAUGCUUGACACAGAUCCAUAGCACAAAGGUUGACAUCCUAUUAUGUGAACUUCCAUAGUUCAUGAAAGAAUCAACACUCUUUGCAUUGACGACUGGGGACAAGAAUGACACUCAAGUAUCACGUUCUAGACUCGAUCUAACUCCUACACAUGCAAAUUGACUCAAAGAAUAUGAAAAAUACUGACUCCAGACAUGGGCUUCCUUCCAUGAAGCGCUCUUUCUUUAACGUCUUUGAGCUAGAUGAUACAAGGACCUCAAUUUAGCAUCUUCAAAGUAAUGAACUUUUACUCCAUCGGUAGGCUUGGUACUGAGAUAUAGCUUGAGACGUUGACCGCUGAAUUUAAUGUUCCUUGGUCCGGAUGUGUGAUCUCCACAAAUCGGUAGGGAAAUGAUUGUGUGACUUCAUAAGGUCCCGACCAUCUUGAUUGUAAUUUUCCCAAAAAUAGUCAGAGCUGGGAGUUGUAGAGCAGCACCUUAUCUCCCUACUUGAAUUCUUUGACCCCUUGAAUAUUAGCAUCGUCGAUUCGUUUCAUCCUUUCCUUAUAUAUACAUGAGCUCUCGUAAGUAUGAAACAUGUGCUCCUCUAGCUCAAGGAGCUAAUAUUUGCAUUCUGAAGCUACGAGACUAUCAUCCAUGUUUAGCAGCUUCAUGGCCCACCAUGCAUUAUGCUCAAGCUCGACCGGUAAAUGAUAAGCCUUUCCAUAAACGAAUCGAUACGGGAAAGUGUAGAUAGGGAUCUUGAAGGCGGUUCGGUAAGCCCAUAGAGCUUCAUCGAGCCAAAUCGACCUGUCCUUAUGAGACUGAUCGACUGUGCUAUCAAGAAUCUGCUUAAGCUCACGAUUCUUCACCUCCACUUGACCGCUUGCAUGUGGAUGGUAAGCGGUCAUCAAUCAAGGAGCUAUGCUAAAUGUUUGGCAAACUCAAUAGAAUUGACCCUGAAAGUGAGUGACUUUAUCGCUAAUGAUAGCAUGAAGGCCGCUGAAACGCAUGAAAACGCAUGUAAUAAACUUUCCCACUGUCAGAACAUAGUUAGUAGACAGCGGUUGCGCCUCUGCCCACUUUGAGACAUAAUCCACUUUGAAAUGUUACAUGUACGUUGGCAGUUGAUUUUGGGCUUUAAUCUGAAUUCUGUGAAUUUUGGAAAUUGGCUGAUCAAUGGACAGUCACAGGCAUGACAGUCAGUCUAUCACGGGAAAGGUUGUCAGACAGACCACGACCGUUGUCAGCAAACAUUCAUGGGCGUGACCACUGGAAGAUCAAGGGCUUGACCAUCAGGAGGUCAUGGUUGUGACCAUCAGUAGGUCACGGGCAUGGUUUCUAUGUGGCCACGGGUAUGGUGGUAAGUUGGACAUGGGCGUGGUGGACUUAUUAUAUAAGGACAGUUGCAACUUACAACUCAGAAUUACUGAAACCUAAGAACUUUGAAUCCCUCUGCAAAUGGCAAUCAAUUUCAGGAGAUGGAGAAAUCCCAUUUGAUCUAAUCCCAAAUCAUUAGGAAAGGUCUAGAAAUCGUUGAGGAUGCUUCCAAAGCUACUCAAUCUUCUUCCUCCUUUCUCAAUCCUUGAUUGGAAAUCCUACGUAGGAAAUUCCUGACACAUUAGGAUUUGGGGUUUUCAGAUUUCAAUCCUAUGAAUUAAUCUCUACGGGUCAGACAGAACAUGAGGCUUGAUCUUGGGAAGGUAGCUUCAUAUUAGACUCUACUAGGAAAGCUAAUCAGAGGUGGGGGGUUAGGAUUUCUUUUCUGCUUUAAGUGUAGAACUGUAAUUAGGAUUGUCAGGAAUCCGAUUAUUAGAUUCUCAGACUGUGUAGUAGCAUAUGAUUUAUUGUACAUGUGUUGUGAUUUGAAGGGCUCUCAAGACUGUGCAAUAGCGUGUGAUCUACUGUACAUGUAUUACGAUUUUUAGAGCCAAGCUCUUAGUAUUGUGCAGUAACGUGUGAUCUACUGUACAUGGGUUGUGAAACAGAGCCAGGCUCUCAGACUAUGUAGUAGCGUGUAAUCUACUGUACAUGCAGUUGUUUAAUUUCGAGCAUAAGCUCAUGGUGAUUAAACUAUGCUUGUGAUUCACAGUUCAUGUUAGGACAGGAUCAUGUUUAGCUAGAUUAGCUCUCGAUAUGCAUUGGUCACCCGCCCAUGGAUUGCGCAAUCCCUUAGGUCAUGUUCAGGCUCAUGUUGGACGUGUCGAGUAUGCCUAUAGAUGCUGCUCACACGGUUUUCAGGAUGGUUUCAUAGUUUGAUCCACCAUGAGGCUAUCUACCAUAGCUAGGGGUGGUUGUUGUCAAGAUGAUGCCUACAACCUGUGAGUAAUGCAUGGGUCGAACCAUGUAGUUCGAUUGGGUCUUCUAGGGGCGUGUUUCACGGUAAUCUUCUAUAUAUGUCCCGAAAGCAAGGAUGGUGGCUAUCUCGGUAAACCACUAGCGCUUGUAGAGGUGAUGAUCCGAGACUUCCUUUGCUUCUUCCAAGAGAAAUAAUUGAUCAUCCAGAAAGAGCUCAUUUAUCUCUGCUUCAGCGAAUCGACCCAGAGAAGGCCCUUCAAGGUGCGAUAGGUGGUUAGCUGCAACGUUCUCUGAUCUCGCCUUGCCCUUAAUAGUCAUGUCAAACUCUUGAAGGAGUAGCACCUAGUGAAUCAAUCUCAAGUUCCCAUCCUGUUUAGCUAUAAGAUACUUAAGAGCAAAAUGGUCGCCGGAAUCUGGGCAGAGGUCGCCAGCGGUAACGGCCUCACUAGAGAAGAAGGGUGACCUCCCCACAAUCAUGAGGAGUUCAGUGACCAGAUCUGCAAAGUCUGAAAGAUAAGUUGCUGUUGUGCAUUUGAAUAUUCUAAAGUCUAGCUUCCGUAGCUCUGAAGUUUUGGAUGGUUUACAGUUAUGGACCUUGGUCAGAUUUUUUAUCAUUUGGAAGUUCUAGAUCAGUUAGUGUAAUGGAGGUCAUUAGAGGACUAGAGUAACAUUUAUGUCCUUAAAAUUUUCAGAUUAUUGCAAAUAAGUAAAUGGAGAAGAACUCGGUCGUUUGAGCUCCAAAUGACGCACGGUUAGAACUUACGGAUUUAUGGCAACGAGAGAAAUCAUGCCAAGUUAGGAUCAAAGGUGUCAGAUCUUCUUAACAGGUGGGGGUUUAGGAUUACAUUCUGCUUAUAAGCUUAGAACUAUAAUAGGAUGUUAGGGAAUCCGAUUAUUGGAUUCUUCAUGUGAUUCAGAGCAAGGGCUCUCAGGAUUGUACAAUAGCGUGUGAUCUACUGUAUAAAUGUUGUGAUGUGAUUCGGAGCAAGUGCUCUCGGACUAUAUAGUAGCGCAUAAUCUACUCUAUAGAUGUUGUGAUGUGCUUUGGAGUGUGGGCUCUUAGGCUGUACAAUAGCGUGUGAUCUACAGUAGAGGCAAUUAUUAUAAUUCGAGCAUAAGCUCUUGGCGUUUGGACUGUGGCAUGUGAUUCACAGUUCAUGUUAGGAUAGGAUAGGCCUAGAUAGACUAGGUCACAAUUAUGAUACGUCGGGCACCCACCCAUGGAUUGCACAAUCCCCCAUGUUAUAAUCGGGCUCAGGCAGGACGUGUUGAGUAUGCAUACUGAUGCUGCUCAUACGGUAUUCAGAGUGGUUUUAUGGUCUGAUCUACCGUGAGGUCAUCCACAUAGCUAGGGGUGGCUGAUGUUAUGUUGAUGCCUACUGGACCAGAUGGUCACAUUACUAGAGUAGUGACUACAUAGAAUUCCAUGUUCUAUUCUUAGUACAGGUCAGUUUCAAUCUCAGUUCUACGCGAGUCCAGAUAGCCACUUAGUGUUUAUCACUAACUCUAUUAGAUAUUAUUUUCUCUGGUGUAUAUGUGUGUUCGGUCACAAGAACUGGAGCUGAUGGUGGGGAGAGAGCUAGUCGGAGUUUUGAUAUCACAUGAUAUAUGUUUUGAUGUAUUUUCAGUACUAGAGUUGCAUCUCCUUUUAUCAUGUUGUGAUUUGGGAUCCGAGAUCCUUGUUGGUCAAUUUUAUCAAAGUAUUUCGGUUCAACUUUUAAUGCUUGUUUUUGCUCAUUUAUUAGUAGUAGAGAGUAGAGGUUGGUUCAGCUUGGAACCCGAUAAGAUUUCUUGAUUGAACCAGUGGUUCGACCAAAACUCUUAGGGUGGGGUUUCAGAGAAAAUGUGAUAGUGAAAUAUACAUUUCCCAAAAAAAUUCAUCUUCCCACCGAUAAGUUUUGGCUAUUUUCGUAUUUUCAUAAUUACCUUUAUUUUAGAUUGUAUGAUUCAAUUCAUUACCAAUUGUCAGAUUAUGUUGUGACAUCAUCAUUUCUAUCAAACGAACAACAUUGGCUCCAUUUAUAGGAUUUUAUCUAUUGCAUAUAAGACUAUUGGAUCCAUUUUGAUUUGUAAAAGUGGGUCCUACUUCCAUCUCAUUUUGUUUUGAAAUUUUGCAUACUUCACUUUGAAAGGCUUCUCAUUAAUGCAAUUCAAAAACAUUUGCAAAAGUGGACUUACAUGAAUAAAAUGAUCAUUUCUUAUAUAUUAUUUUAUUAGCAAAUAAUGAUAUGAGAAGGCCCAAUCCAUUGGGUCUUGAUCAGAAUGGCACAACCUAUUAAAAAUACCUAUUUUGGCAUAACAUAAUUAUAAUUUUACAAAAUAAAAUAUUUAAUUGACUUUUUAAAACUCAAUACAAAAAACUAAAAAAAUAUCAAAGUUCAUCAUAUUCUUCUCCCACCACCAUCCUAUCUCCACUAUCUUCUUAUCAUCCCCAUCAUCCAUUGCUAAACCCAACAAUUACUUUCUCUAAAUCUAUCACUUACCAAAUCCAAAAUCAUAUUCAUUUGUACACACAACCAAGUAUGCAAAUUUUAGAUAUGAUUUGUGUUGGUUUUUUAGAUCUGAUUUUGUCGAUCUCGAAGGUGAAGAUGAUUGACGACGGGGAAGGGGACUCUAAUACCCAAAUAUGCUACUGGAGAAUAAUCCAUCUUUCCAGACUAUUGCAAUUCAUACCGCUCCUUGAAUACUUACAGAGAAAGACGGCGCAUCGAGCUCAAAAGGAGAGGGUAGCGAGCAAUCGAAGGAGAGUAGAAAAAGCCGUUGCAAGCAAAAGAGAAAUCGACCACCAGAUCUCCUAGGAUUCCUCAUCUGAGGAAGCCAUCAAGAGAUUUUUUCCUAUAAGUCAGUUCAGCUACUAAAGCUACAAGUGGUGAUGAUGAAUAAGCUUCCAUAAGUGGUUCGCUGGGUAUCUCUACUUUGACCUCCUUCAUGGGAGCUCCGUCGUCGCCGCUGGCGACCCUAAAAAAGAACAUGCAUUUAAACGCGUUUACACACUAAACUAAAAAGGAGAAUGAAAGACUAUAAUUGGAAUUUCAACAACAAGAGAAAGUUAACUUCUUUUUUCUAAUCCACCGUCGGGAGGAGCAGCAGCAAGCUUCGCCCGUCUUCUUCCCUUUUGGGAUUUUUUUGAAUUAAUUAAGAAUUUUAUUAAUUAGAAGUUUAAAAUUAUAUGAUGUGGAGCCUAUAUUGAAGUCAAGUGGGAGGUACGUCAGGGGUGUUAAGUUUGACUGUUAAGUUGAUGGUCAAAUUUCAAAUAUGUGCCACAAUAAGUAUUUCUAAUAGGUUAUGCCAUUCUGGGUUUAGACCCAAUAGGUUGGGCCUCCUUAGAUCAUUAUUCAUUUUAUUAACUACAUAUAUGUUAUAAAAAUGUAUAAGUGACAAGUGGGUCUCAAAUGAUUAAAAAAUAUAAAUGAAAAAAUGGGCCACAAGUGAGAUUAUCACUUUGACUUGGAACGAGUACAAAUUUGCACUUAAAAUGAUCCUUUCCCAUCAAUAAUAUUCUCAUUUAAAUUUAAAAAUUGCCACAUAGGCUCCAUGUUACUUAACAAGUAGGGAAAAUCUCAGUGAUAAGAUGCUAUAAUAACAAAUAAUCUUGAGGCCAAAUCCAAUAACUGAGCAUGCCUUCUACAUGUCGGACUCCACCAUAUAAACACGGCCCACGUUAUAAUUGAUUCAUUAAAAAAAAGAAACAAUUUGAUGAAUUGAUGAAAGAAGCGAAAGGCAAAAGAUGGAAAUUGUCGUUUCUCUUCCUAAAACUAGGGUUUUGUUUCUCUCACUAAAAUUAGGGUAUCUCUUCGUCAUGAAGACUUCCUACACCCCCAUCGCCAUCAUGCUCAAGCACAAACCUACUCCUAUCAUCAACAAACCCAUCCCACCUACCGAUGUUGUCAUCAAAACAAGACCGACCCUUACUGCACCCAUGGCCUCCCUAUCGUUGAAGGAGAGUCAUGGCUCGGAGGACCUGACCGGAAUGACAUGGCUGACGAUUGGAUACCAGAGCUGCAGCAAUCUGGAAAGCCCCACAAAGAUUCUCCGCCGACAAAGACCAGCAGGUCAACACUAAGGAGAGGCGGUGUUCCUCCGAUCUUCGAGCUACAGGGGAGCGAGACGACUCUACCCCAUACACCAUAGUGACAUCGCCGGUGUGGACAUCCGAUCAUUCCAUUCAAAGCUCAUGAAGAUCGGCUACACUUGUGUUUGGCUUUCUUUAUUUUUGUUUAGUACUCUCUUUUUAGACAUUUGGUUGAUUUUCAGUCGUACGUUGCACUUCAUUUGUUUCCUUCCUUGAGUCGGGGUAUAGUUUUGUUAAUUUUUUUGUUUAUUUCGUUGCAUCUAAAACCGUUGAUGGUCGAAGAGAUUAAAACUGUAAAUAAAAUAUUCAAUUACCUACUUUCCCCUUACAUCUUUUCUAAAAAACAACUCUCAAUUGCAUUUCUCAUGGUCAAUGUUAUAUCACGCCUCCCUCUAUAAAGAAAUUAUAUUUUGUAAAAAAAAAAAGCGAAAGGCAAAAGAUAUCGCGAGACCUAGUUCUAUAUAAACCCAUUCCAUUCGCAGGUUACGAGCGGCCGUCAUCGCUGUCACAGGGCCAGAUAUGGGAAGCGCUAAAGCUGGCAAACCCUCAAAGAAGUCUCUCAGAAACCCUAAUCCGCUUCGCAUUACCCAUAGGAAGAUUACGAAGCACAAACGGCAAGACAUUGCUGUUGAUACAGUUCCCACCGCCCUGAAGUAGAAACACAACCUCAUAUCGGAGAAGAGGAGCCCCUUCCUUCAGCUUCCCAGCAACUCAGCUUUUUCCUCAGCAAGUUCCAGUCAGCUAAUGGUCUUCAAGGUUAGUCUCUACCGCUGGAGCUCCACAAUAUUGUAUCCCAUGACAUCUCUAUUUGGUUGCUGGACAGAGGGAUUAUUAACAAUUUGUGUAUUGUAUUUGCAGAAACAUCCUUUAUUCAGUUAUUUUGAGAGCUGCCUCAGGAUGUUGAGGGCCUAGGCCAGCAUUUGAAGACUGCUUUCGGAAAGUCAUGGAAAGAAGAACGCUGUGAUCGAAAGCUCGUGGAUAGGUAAACUGAACCAGAGAGUCCUGCUGCUCUUUUCAUUUCUACAUCUGCAUUGAGAGCAAUAGAACUUUUAAGGUAUAGAUUCUCUCAGUUCUUGUUAAUGAUCUUUGUUUUGCUCGAUUUAAUCAGGGUUUGGGCUUGAUUCAAUCUUCUUCUUUUAGGGGUGUGCGUUCACUGAGCGUUCACUGACGAAAGAAUGCCAUGCUGCAAAGCUCUUCUCUAAGCACAUGAAGGUUGAAGAACAUGUGAUAUCCUUUCCCUUUUGUCACUUGUUGUUCCUAUUACAUCGUUAAACAAAAUACUAUCUCUUUAUGUUUCGAGGUGUUGUCAUUUGUUUUGGAUAUCAUUCAGUUCCUUUUAUUAUUACUGCUGCUCGAGUUACGAACAUCUGAGGAAAUAGCAAUGCUUAGGAUGUUAUUGUCCACUUCACUGUCUCGAGACACCGACAUUGUCUUUAGUUAUUAUUUAUGGGUCCAACAAGUUAUGACUUGAACCAUGGUCACAUGGAACAAAAUUAAUUUAUAAAUUCGGACUUCUGUUUCAUCAGUGACAUUUUCACUCUUCGUCAUCAUAUACAUUUGGUGUUUGUUUGUUUUUGGUAAAAGGAUUUGAUAUUACCAGUUAUAAAGAUCAAAGGGCAGUAGCAGUGCAGGAUAAGCUUUUUUCACAUCAGUCUGCUUCUAGUUCAGUAUCUUAGUUUCAAUGAUUUAUGGCUGGAAGCAUGGAGCAGUAUGGAAUUUUUGCAAACAAUUGUUGGAUUAGGAAUUUCAUACUUCUUUUCACUGCAUUUUGAUGUUGGGAUAUGAUGAGUUACACGGAUCAAAUGCUCUAGCAGUGCUGAAUAUGUUUUUUGCACGUCAGUCUGAUCCCAACUUACCGUAUUUUUACUGCCCCUACCUUUAAAUGCAUGUCCGAGUUCUAACAAUAGAUGACUUGAGACAUGGAGCCUAUGAAUGGGGGUUCUCUGUUUGAUUUUAUGACAUUUUACAAUAAUUGUCACAAAUUUUUUUGACAUUGGAUAUGAUGAUGAGUUAGAAUCAAAGGCACUAGAGAUGCUGAAUAUGAUUUUUUGCACGUCAGUCUGAUCCCAGCCUUUCGAUUUCUGAUUACUGGAAUUUAAAAUUUUACUUUGUUUUCGUCAUUUUGACAUUGGGAUAUGAUGAUGAGAUGUAGAUCAAAGGCAUUAGCGGUGCUGAAUGUUUAUUUUGCACGUCAGUCUGAUCCCAGCUCACUGUUCCGAGAUUGUGCUGCCUUCUUGCAUUUCCUAGUUAAAAAAAUGUACUCCUUGGACAUGGAUCUAAACGAACUUCAAAAUAUGAAUGAUUAAGAUUUCGUGAUCAGUGUCAUUCAUAGUUUAUGAUCACUAAUUUAAAUCUCGUGGCAUAUCUUGCAGGGUGUUUAUAGCCAAUUAGAUGCCACACUCACUGAAAGCUUAACUUACGAUUUAGGUUCUGGUUGUGUAUCCCCCCCCCUGUCCACCGCCUUUAACCUUGUACUUCUAAGCAAUUGAUUGUAUUUCCUGAAUAAUGGCUACAUAUUUCGUAAUUGUUCAUGCUCUGCUGAUUAUAUUUUUGCACGUCUCUGUUCCUAAUAAAACUGCACACUAUUUUACGAAAAAAGACGUGCACGCUAAUAUCGUACACCAAUGUAAUAUAACACUAUUAACAACAAAAAGUUCUUAGUACGGGUUCAAUGUCAUCAUGCAACAUCCAUGAUGCCGUUCCUUAGUCUCUCUACGUGACUCUGUGUUGCAUUUGGUAAACUAUUUCUUAAACUUCUGGCUCCGUUUACUGCAGGUCACUUUCUUCAAGAAUCGUGUCAAUAUUGCCAGCGGCACACCAAACAGGUUAGUCACCAGUCAUUUCAUCUCGAUAUUGAUGUUACAAUGGGUCGUUUGGAUGAGGUAUUUGAAAGUGGUAUUUUGGCUCAAGUAACUCAAACUAAAGUUAUAACUGAGUUAUUUGGGCCAAAACACUUCGUUUUCCAUCCGAAAUAAAAGUCGUUAUAUUUCAUAACUGUGAUAUUUGAAAUAAUUAUGGAUGUGAUAUUUGAAAUAACUCAAUUUAAAACCAUAACUCAAAAUGAUAGCUAAACGAAUAAUUCUUAUCCCCCAAAUUCUUACAACUGAUCCAAACGAUUAAUGUUUACUUGCUCAUCCUUUUCGUUCUAGCUGAAUAUUUGCAUUUCCGAAAUAAUGCGCCCCACAUGAGUUCGGUAUACAUUGGUGAUUGCUUUUGCAAGUUUUCCGUGCAUGAAUUGUUGUGGUAUUCAUCAGAAAAUUACCAAUAGGAAAUAGUUAAGAGGUCGUAGAAAAUGCAUCGGGAGUGUCAUUUUAUAUUGUAGGGGCAAAAAUUGAUUUUGAUGAAUUUGAACUUUCUUGACUAGAUUCUUGAUAAAAAAAACUAUCUUGACUAGGUUGAAGAAGUUGAUAGAUAUAAAAGCAAUGGGGCUCUCGCGGUUUUAAAGUUAUCGUGCUAGAUGUCCACCAUGAUGUAAAGGGUUAUUCCUUGCUCACACUUCCACAAGGGGGAGAUAUAGAGAGAAUGUCCGGUCUCUUUUCAACACAGCGAGGAGCAUAGUCGAUUUUGUCAUGUGAAGAGUUGCUGUUGUACAAGUGUUAGUUUGUUAUUUUGACAGGACACUUUUUCAAUUAUUCAAAACUUAUAUUCUAGCUAAGCUAAGGGUAAAUAUCCAUUUUGUAAUUUCACUUGUUGCUGCUUCUACCAAGAGACAGCACACAAGGAAUUAUACUCAUCGGCUUCCUGGCCGCAAUUGAGUUAAAUCUUCUUUUCGGCCCCUAGCGUUUAAAAUAAAAUAAAUCUUUCACCGGCUACCUUCAAAAUCCUCUGUUUAUCUUUCCUUUGAUCUUAUCAAAUUUUUAUAGUGACAAAGUUUGUGAAAUUACUUAAUAAAAAAAAGAAAAAAUUAUUAAACAAUUGCUAAUAUUUAGGCCCGACAUUCGAUAUAGCACAUGUUUUUUAUAAUAUUUUUUUUUGCCCAAAUUUCAAAUUAUGUUAAUUCCUUUAAGUUAAAAUUAACGGAUUGGUGACAAAUGCUGACAAGGCAAACAAUGUGUCUGAUGUGGAUGGAUGAAAAGAAGUCAAUCGGAAAUAAAUACACAGUCAACAUACAGUUAAAAAAUUUUAUAACAAAAACCACCCACAUUCCUUAUCCUCUUCGUCGACCAGCCUUUUAUCACCCACCUGUCACCUCCCUUCUAAAUUAAUUUUCAUCAGAUGGGGAGAAAGAGUGGAAGAAGAAGAAGAAGAAAGAAAGAUGGAGCAAGGUGCAUUUGAUUUGAAUCCCGACAAUGUCGACAACAAUCUUGUAUCUAAAUUCUUUGUCGAUUUGAAUUUCGAUGAUGCCAACAACAACCUCAUUCUUGAACUCUCCGUCGAUUUGAAUCCCGACGAUCCCAUCAACAACACCAUUCCUGAACUCUUCGACAAUUUGAAUCCCGACGAUGCUGAUAACAACCUCAUACCUGAAUUCUCCGUUGAUUGAAUCUCAAUGAUGCCAACAACGACUCUCUAUCGUUGUCGAUGAAAUGCCCAAGCUUGUGGAGAGAUGGAUACAGGGAGUAGUAGCAGGUACAUGUCCAAAUAUGGAUGUUGAGAAAUCCUCCUCGGCUGUCGAUUUCGAAUGGUCCCCACGUUUCAAAUUGAUUUUAGUGUUCUUGCUGGGAGUAGGUUUGCACGCGGCUGAGAUUGGGUUUAUCUGUUUGUUGCAAAUGAAUGAAUUGAAUUGGUUGGUUUUUUAUUGGGGGUGGGUUUUGCAAGCAAGUUGAGUUGUUUGAUUGGUUUGAAGUUUUUUUUGUCUUGAUUGGGUUUUGUAAAAAAUGCUAGCAGAAUACUGACAAUGGAGGAGAAGGUGGAGGAAGGAAAAAGAAGGUGGAGGAGAUGAAUGAUUUUUUUGGUAGCUGAGUUAUUAUUAUUUAAUGAAAGGAGGUAAAUAAAAUUUACCUAACUAAGCUGACGUGACCAGUGAUUGUUAUGUGGCGUCGGACAUGGUAUCUUGAUGAUUUUCUUCUUACGGCGUUUCGUGUUUGGUUAACUAUAACGGUCAACGACAAAGUCAACUGAUUUUCGUUAGUGUGAUUUGAAUUUUGUCAGAAAAAAAUGUAUUUCGGAAAACAUGUGCCAGAUCAUUUGUCGGGUUAAAACAUUGCCAAUUGUGUUAGCUAAUUUUUCCUAAAAUAAGUUAGUGACAUUUUAUCAAGUCGAUCUACACUACAGGAAACUAGAUGUUUAACAACAUCAUUUUUUCUUGUUGACGACAACCAUUUCCUGUUGUUAUGUAUCAUAACGGCGGCUUUGAUUGCGCUAUUAAGAUUGCCAAUGCAAAGAGAUCCUACCAGCGAAAUAUUGGCCGCGGUUAAGUGGGGAAGCGUAACAGCGAAUAGCUGGCCGCUGUUAGGUUGCAUCCUAAUAGCGAAAUAUGACCGAUGUUAGACGAAAUUCUAAUAGUGGCAUUGUGUCCGUUGUAAGGAUUUCGCCUAACAGCAACUACAUAUCCUCAUAGUUUUCUUAUUAUUUUAUUUUUUUCGUUUGGCUAUUUUCCAUAUAUAUCCAACUUGUUCAAGUAAUUUUUUCGAUAGGUAGAUAGAAAUACAAAUUUGGGAAACACUUUGCUAAAUAUAAAACUAGUCAUUUUGAUUAAAUAUUUGAUUGUUAGGACACAUACUAAUUCCUUGGCUUAAACUACACCAUCCUUCUAAAGUAACUACUUGAUUCAUAGUUGUUCAUCCAACAUGUACAAUCCACUAAACAUAGACUACUCCUCUUGGUCGUAAUCAAGCUCAUCGUCCCUCUCAUUUGUUUCCAUCAUAGUGCUCGUUCACAUUUGUUUGCAUCAAAUGGCUGCCAUCAUACAUUUGGAUUUAGAACAUCUGCCUCAUCUCCUCCAAAUCAUGAGAUAAGCCAACUUGAGAGUUGGCAAGAUGAGCUAUACACCUACAAUACACCAAAUAAAAGUUAGUUUUUUUAUCCAAAAAAAUUUGCAUGACCAAUUCGAAUUCACGGUUUAACUUAUACUCUUUGAUCUACAAAAUGAACAAACGAUACUAGAUUUGGAAGGACAAGUUUCGACAGCUACAAUGAAUCAAGGAAACCUUUUACAUCUACAUUAUCAAAACAUAAUUGCAGAAUUAAAAGUAUAAACCAUGAGUAAGGUUGAAUGAUAAAAUUUUCACUAUUUAGAGGUGUCGGUUAAAAUGUGCAAAUUGGAUAAUAAAUUUGCAUGGGAAGGAUGAUUAUGUAGAUUACGUAAUAAACUAACAAAUACAUAUAUACUUAUGAUUUGAAUGGGACUUGUAAGUUAAAAUUGGAGGCGCCCCUCUUAAUUUGUACCUAUUGUAUGUUCACUAACCACCCAUAAUAAAAACAAGCAAGAAAAAUUGGAUUUGGUGGAUCACUCGAUGAAGAAACAAGAUUCGAAACUAGCCCUCAUAACUUGAUUAGGUGAAGUUUCUACCUAUAACAGUCCAACUUAGUGGUAGAAUUAAUUUAGGAUUAAUGCUGAAAAAUACAAAUACUUAUUCAUUUUGCUUUCACUCUAAAUCCUAAAUGGCGCACCACUGUUCCUGACUUCUCUUUUUUGUUCUUCGAACGUAUACGAUAUGCCCUCGCCAUAGCAUCCUCCUUGCUAACCCCAUGUUAGUAUUUGGUUCCUUCAUAAACUGUUUGACUUCAACCUAUAUUCAAUCUCAAAAUCUUAAAUAUAUUAGAAUUGCAUCUUAUCAACAAAAGGUCAAAACACAAUAAAAUUAUAUGCAACUUACAUAAAAGUCUCAAGUAACAUAUGUUUCAUCUUCUCUUUCAUAACACUUGAAAAAGAACUCAGAUCUUCUUACUUCUUUUCCUUUCGCUUUCUUCUACAUUAUACGUUCUACAAUCAAUACAAAUUAACUUCUCAUGACUUUUGGAACAUAAUAUAAAGACGAUUGAUGAGAUGCUUACUUACCAUCUCUUCACGAAUUAUAUUGAAAGGUUUUGACCCUUUCGUAUGAUAGAUGUCUUGAUUAGAACGAUACCUUGUUUCUUUGCAGAUGCAGUCUAUAAAACUGCUAGUAAUUGACAAAUGACAAUAAUAAAUAUCAUUAUAUCAAAUAUAAGUACAAAUGUAAAACUUACUAGAGUUGGCUUCCCCUCCUAUAUCUGCAAAACAUAUCCCACUCACGUUCAUCAAUAUUUGGUGGUUUCCUGUCUAAGUUGAGCUGAAGACCUUGAGUAGCAUCGAUAUUUGGUGGUUUCCUAUCACGUUCAUCGAUACUAAUCAAUUUUCUUUGGAUAUGACUAAUGUAAUGAAGAAGAUAGAAGAGAUUAAAUCUAAAACCCUUAUGAUUACCCUGCAUUCAUAAAGACUGCAAUGCAAUAUGUACAGAGAGGCGUGGACACAUAGCAAAGUCCUUACAAUUUUGACAAUUACCAUCCAAUACAAUUUUGUAAGCUACAGCUAACAUUCAUGAGCUAAUAAGUUUUGUCAGGUCGGUUACGAAAGAAAACACACUUAACUUCAUAAACAAUAAUAAAUUAUGAAAACCCCCAAAUCAAAGUUAGGGCUCAUCUAAAUCAUUAACAAAUCAUACAAACUGAUUUCAAUCUCAAAAUUAAACUUAGACCCAGCACUAUAAAUAAGAUGUCUAACCUAAAGCUAGAACAAAACACUUCCAAUUCACUAAACGGAAAACAUUUCAAAGAUCUAGAUUUUACUAACCUUUCAAUUUUCUUGCUAACACAAGAUGACUGAUUGAGAUGAUGGACAGGAACCAAAAUGAGCCGCAGCUGGAAGGCCGGAGCAAGCGACGCCGGCACGAAGAAGAAAAACGCCAGCGAACGGCCGUUGGUGAAGAUACUAUCUGGCUGUGUCCUUUGUUCAAUUUGGGGAAAGUUGGGUUUUUACGUGGUGUUGGGGGGUUAUAUGUAUUUGGAGUUUCGUUUAUAUUAAUAUAAUGAAGAAUUAAGUCUCAUUUUGUUUGGGGCUUUAAAUUAAUAACCCAACGUCGGCUUGAUUCUCUACAUAGCCGCUGAUAGGAUUACUCUUAGCAGCUGCCAUCUAAAUAAGAGCCACUGUUAAGUUGUUGUAUUCCAUCAUAUUUUUUAAUUAUUAUCCUAACAUCGGCCAAUAUUAAUCAGGGCCGAUGUUAGGUAGUAAUAACGUAUCAGUAGCCUUCCAUUUAUUGUUAGGAUAUUGACCUAACAUUGAGACCAUGUCCGUUGUUAAAUUUUGUAUGUUAAAAUAUCCUAACUGCAGGUCUAUGUGGCUACAGUUAAAUUGGCAAUAUUAGGUAGUCAGUUUCUUGUAAUGCUACCUUGUUUAUCAUAGAAAAUUUGUUAUGACAAACGUGAUUGUUGUUGUUACAUAACAACACUCUAAUUUUCCAUCUAUUUUUAAUUUUAAAAAUUUGACAGUCUUAAUUUGUUGAAUAUUUUUAAUCUUUUUUACAUUUUUAUCUCUCAUAAAUAUGUCCUAAUUUUUAGUUAAAGAAUCCUCAUUCAAUUUCUAUUUCUAUUUCUAUUUUUUUACCUAUAUUUAAUUAAGUUAAUAACUUAAUAUUUCCUUAAUUGCUUUUUACAGGUUGUCAACGGAGUUCUGGUACUCCCAACAAGUGAGAAGAACGAUCAGAUUAGUAACAGAGCACAAACAAAGGUACAAAAUAAAUUACCAUAUCACAGUCUCAGGUAUAUAACUCCAUACAAUAGCACAUUCAUGGGUACAUAACUAGACAAAAAUUAAUCAAAAAUUGAUACUUCAAUACACGAGGUAUAAAAUGCAGUACCAUAUCACAAACCCCUUUUUUUUUUUUUUUUUUUUUUUUUUUUUUUUUUUUUUUUUUUUUUUUUUUUUUUUUUUUUUUUUUUUUUUUUUUUUUUUUUUUUUUUUUUUUUUUUUUUUUUUUUUUUUUUUUUUUUUUUUUUUUUUUUUUUUUUUUUUUUUUUUUUUUUUUUUUUUUUUUUUUUUUUUUUUUUUUUUUUAUUUUUUUUCUUUUUUUUUUAUUGUCUGUUUUUUUCUUUUAUCCUGUUUUUCUUCCUUUUCAAGAUCUUGAAAAGAGAGAGAAAAUGAGAGAGAGAGAAUGAGAAAGAGAAAACGAGGGAAAGAGAAUGAGAGCAAGAGAGAGAGAGAGGAGGAGAAAUUUUUGGAGUUUUUUUAUUUUUAGUGGCUUUGAUAUUGAAAAUACUAUAUAAAGAAUUUUAGAUGAAAUCAGUCAGUUGAUACAAUUAUUGUUGUUAUGUGCUAUUAUCGUAUGAUAAGCGGGUGGGGCUUUUCUUGUUUUCGUAAACAUCAAGAUUUUAUUGGUUGGGUCUAUGAUUCCAGCCUACAUGAUACUCAAAAGGGCCCUGGUUCAUCUGGAAAUGAAAAGUGCUUUAUGAACGUUUGGAUUGGUGCUUCCUUGACUCGGUUUGGUAACUUCAAUUUCUACCCACCUAUAUCGUGUUAAGUCGGAUCACCGACCUAUUUUCAUGGUUGCGACCAAGCUCAAGAAGUCAAAUCUUCCUCAUACCUUUCGCUUUAUGGCUUCAUGGUUGUCACAUGUUGAGUUUAAGCCUUUUUUUGUCGGAAUGGAAUCGGUCUUUUACCUUUAUUCAUCAGAUGUCCAUUCGAGCUACCAAACUGAAAAAAUGAAAUAAGGAAAUUUUUGGCAACAUCCAAACGAAUAGAAGGAGCUUAUCUUUAAACUUGCUGAUGUUUAAGCUCUCGCAGCUCCUCUACUCAUUCAAGACACCACAAUGGACAUUGCAAGUGACCGGAAUACUCAUUUUUUUCACGUAUCCACCUUCCGUAGGCGUGCUCGGAACCACAUUAUUAAGUGAAGGAUGACUGUGGGGUGUGUAUUCAUUAGGUUUGGGAGUCGGUUAAUUUGGUUAAUAACCAUCGGUUAAUGGUCGGGAAGCGCUUUGAUGAUUGAAAUUAAUUAACCAAAUUAACCGACCGAGCAAAAGCCACGGUUAAUCUUACCGACCGAUAACCGACCAAUCAGUUAAAUGAUCGAUUAUUAACAGACUGACUCUCGGUUAACCGUUGUAACCGGCUCUGACCAAUUUAACUCUCUUCUCAUAUUGCAACAAGAUUCUAGGCUCUGGCUCUAGAUCCGUCGUCGAUUCAAGCCUUGGAGACCAUAGCUUCUCUUCUGGAAACAAUCCGGUGCUCUACAACUUGAUCCUUCGGGACUGGAAGCUUUCCGAGACGGCGUUGUUGCGGAUCAGUAAGGAGAGGAGGAAGCUUCAAGCCUAUGGUGUUGCAGAUCGAAGAAUUGAGAGAGUGGAGGAGGAGAGGAUUGGCCGUGGCGACGAAGGAAGCAUGUGGUGUUGCAGAUCGAAGAAUCGAGAGAGUGGAGGAGGAGAGGAGCGCUUGCGGUGACUCGUCGUGGUCGUCGUCGUGACUGCCGGCGAGAUGCUGAAAUUGAAUCGCUUGGAUUGAUAGAGUUGUCGAGAUGGAUUGAUGGAGUUGUCGAGAUGGAUUGAUGGAGAUGGCUCGGAGUUAACCUAAUUUCAGAAUGAGAGGUUGUGAUGGAGUGGGAGGCUGGGAGGGGAGGGAGCGAUUCUGCGAUUGUGGUGAGCAAAGCUUGAUUUCCUAAUUGGGGACCUUGGUUUUUUUAAUUACCGGUUAACGUUGGUUAACUCGAGUUAACCAACGAUUUUACCCUGCUCCAACAAGUACUCCCAACUGUUCCCCGACCGACCCCUACCUCGGUUAAACCGACACUCUAACCGAGUCGAUCAGUUCAUCUGUUUAACCUAUUAACCGAGACUGAUGGCCCACCCUUAGUAUUCAUCCAGCUUGUUGCUGCAAUUAGUGUCGUAUUGAUAUGGUUGAGAGAGGAUAAAAUAUGCUUGAUUUCAAGUUCUCCAACUUGAAAGGUUUAGCUGUUAAAAAUGUAGAGGUCAUGACUGAGUACUGAUUUCCAGCAAGGAGAAGUUGGAUAUUUGCUUGCGAUAAAAAAGAAUUUGGACAGUCUAUCUUAGGCACAAAAUCUAACGGAUGAGAUGGCAACUUUACUUCAGGGGCCUAUUGGUCAUUUUAAAAUUUUCUUGUUUUUCAGUUUAUUUUUCCAUUCUGUUUAAUAUUGGUUCAAGUAAAAUGAUUUCUUGUAAAUUGGGUCUAUUGAGUAACGUGGGUGGGUAGACUUUAUUGCUCCCAUCGAGCUUGACGUGAUAUUUUCUUCUUCGUUUCUUUAACAUGCAUAAAUUGUAUAUAAUACGAAAGGUUGGAAAUAUAUGUGAAGCUCGAGGUUUAUUAUAUAUGUUUCGAGGUUUAUUAUAUAUGUUGAACCUUUUUGCCAAUUGGUUAUUUUUAUCAUGUAGUGCCUUAUCAAGUAAAGGGAAUGGUUGUUUUUAUCUACUGUCACUAGCCAACUUUCUUUCUCAUGUGAUCAAUUAUUUGAUCACGCAUGAAUGACUACAGUACACAAAAGAUAGAAAUAUUAUAAAAACAAAAAACAAAUAUUAAAAAAAAAUACCUAAAAAGCAGGUACAUAACAACAAAAACAAUAACCGUAAAUAUCAAGUACAUGAAAGCGGAUGCUCAAAAUAAGCACGCACACAUUAAAAACUUUGGUACAUACAAGGCAAGAAAAUCGAGAACAUAUUGGAACUCGAGUACCGGAAUUGGUACGGUAUUAAGUACAACGUGAAGAAAUAUCAAGUACAUUAAAAAGCGAGUAUAUAACAAUAGAAAUAAGUACACGAAAACAACUCAGAGAAAUGAUAAUUUGAUUGCCAAAAUUGAGUAUGAUAAAGUAAAAUGCAAGCACGUAGUACAUGAAACAAAUAUGAGUAAGAGUACAUAAAUUUUUUAGUACAAUACAAGACAAAAACUCAAAUACAUAUAAAAACUGGACACUAAAAAAAAUAAUUAAUUAUUCACAAUUUUAAAUAAUAAUAGUCACGAUUUUUAUCAUGAUUAACAGAAGCUAGUCACGAAAAUAAAUCCGUAACUAACCUAACCGAUGCUAGAUGAACUUGUCACGAAUCUGAAUAACCUGUAACUAAGUUGUCACCGAAAUUUUCCGUGACCAACUCAUCACGGAAGAAACCGUGAACAUAUGUGUUUUUGUUUUUGUUUUUUAAAUUAGUGGCACGGAGCCAUAUGCUGUGAUAAUUGAUUUAUUAAUAAAUUAAUCCCACAUCUCCGUGGCUACUAUAUCACCAGAAUUUCCAGAUUCCGGCAACCACAAUUUCCAGAAUCCGGCAAUAAGAUAGAGUUGAUAAUUGCUUUUUUAUUAGAGUAAAAUGUUCUACAUCUAUACAUUAUGAUACCCAUAUCAAAAUUCCAGAAUCCCAAAAUUGAACAUAACGUCAACGAAAGGCACCAUGCAACAAUGGUGACACUAAGGGUUACAACAACCAGCAAAACCGAAACACAGACUGGAAAUGCUACCAAGAGAAGGAUGAGACUAGAUGAUGAGAUUGAGAUUGAGAGAAGAAAAAUGAUAGUAAGAAAUUUUGUUUUCGAGAGAGAUCAAAUGAAGAUGAGAUCUACUUCUAAUUUAAUAUAAUGGAAAUGGAGAUAUGGUUGUUUAAUGGCAAAGAGAGAAGAAAGGAAUAGCCCAUUAAACGAGGAUAGAGUCUGCAUCAUUUCUUUUUUCGACCUUUUCCCACUAAAAUGCUAAUUUUAAAAUUAUAAAUAAAAGUUGGUCACGGUUCCAACAUUUACCGUGAGUAGUUGGUCGCGGUAUUCAACAAUCCAUGACUAGUUAUGGAUUUUUUUUUAUCUAUAAGUAGUUAGUCAUGGUUUUUAAAGCCGUGAUUAAUAAAUCGUGAUUAAUCGUUGAUUUUUUUUGUAGUGCGAGUAUGAGUAUUGAGUAAAACGUCAUGUACAAAAACAAGUACAUCAAAAGCGAGUACAUAAUUAUCAAAACAAGUACUAAAACGAGAGGAAAAGUACAUAAAAAGCGAGUAUAUAAUAAUAGAAACAAGUGCAGUAAAAAUCAAGUGCAUGAAAGGAAAACGAAACUCAAACUAAACACUAAUACAAAAAAAACUUUAGUACGCAAAUAAGUAAAUACAAGAAAAUUAACAUACACAAACGAAUACAUAAGAGUAUAGUGUUUAAACAAAGCGAUUAUACGGAUCAAUACGAUGUUGAGUACAAAACAACAACUUGAGGCUUUAUCCCUCAUUUUUAGAUGAUUUUGUACUAAGUUCUUAUAUGUAUUAGUUUUUAUUAAUGUAAUCCCUCGUGUACUUUGUCUUUGGAUUUAUUUUUAUGCCAUAUCUAUUUAUUUACGCAUUUGUGUAUACUUAUAUUUUUAGAACUUUAUACUCAAAUCAAUUAAUCAAACAAUAAAACUAUUUUCUCUUUACACGAACCAACAUAAUAACCCAUCACCCCAUACAGGGUUGUGAAGGAGGUGCAGUGACCAGAAUUUUCUAGUUGUUGCUUUUCUAUAGUUUGAUAAGGGUAAGCAUCUUGUUCUAGAAUAUAUGUUGUUAGGUUAUAACAAUGCAUCUAGUUGAGCAUGAUUCUUUGGUCAAGUGUUACUGGGAUUCUUUUUGUUCCACAUCAAUGCUCGGAGGUCGAAGAGGCAACGAGGGUGACGAAGAAAUCGGCAUCACCACGUGAGAGAAGAUGAAGAAGAGGUCAGAGAGUGGAGCCGGUGGAAAAGAUAUACUAGAAGAGGUACUUAAAGUUACUUGUACGACAAAACUGCCCUUAUUCAAUUGGACAACCCCUAGAUUAAAAUUUAAAAAUGAACGGACGCGAUUCGUUUGCGGCCAGCAAACACAUAAUAUCAUGGCUGCCUAUCCGGACUCGUCAUAACUGGCGUCAACAUUACGUAGUGUUGUCAAAAAUUAAAAAGGGGAAUAUAUAAUAAUAAUAAUAACAGACGUAAUCUUGUGUAUAUAAUGAUAUUAAAACGUUUUUCAAUCGACAAAGCCAAGUCUGCGGGAGGAACAGCUAAUGGACGAACAGCCUAAGCAUAAGCCGCCUUCUUCGUAUUCUUCAGAUUCUCUGAAUCUCUACCCUUUUUUUUUGUUACGCGGAUUCCCUUCCCUCGUCUGCAAACAAAAAGCUCUUCGUUGACUUUUUAGCAGGCUUUUUUAAAAAACCUUAAUUGAAAAAAUUUGUACAUGGUUGUUGCCUUUGUUGGCGUCAGCAUGACCCAAUGCUGUUGUCAUGUUCAUGAUUGCUCCAACUCACCUGGCUGCGCAUCUGCCUUCUGACCUGACCUGCCCUCCUCCUUUUUUUUAAAUUAUGUUUCCCCAAAAUUAAAUUUAAAUCGUUACAAAAUUGGUCUCUCCUUCUCCUAUAUAUAACGUGGAAGAGCUCCUGCCAAAAAAGUCAUUCAAACUCAAAGCAGAUAAAUUAUCAAAAUAAAAAAGAAAACCCCAGUGCUCUGCCUGCCGUUAAGAAAUUAGUUUAUUGGGUUUGUUGUGUUUAUGAAAGCUGUGUUCCAGAGACUGAUAUCGUCAAGCACCCAGAUUGGCUGUAGGAAGAAAGUUGCAUCUUUUCCAUUAAUCAGAAGCGCUAAUAUGUCUGAAUCCUCUGCCUUUGAUUCUCCGAGAUUGGUGACCAAGAAGGUCCUUGCUAAGCUUCAGCGUGAAGGGGAUGGUGCUUCUGUCAGGAGAAGCAUUGGAAGGUAUAAUAUAAUAUAUCAUGGAUGGAUGGAUGGAUAUACAAUUUUCUUCUUGUCAAAAUUGAAUUAACUGUUUUCGUUUCUGUGGUGAAAUUGAAUGAUUGAAUGUUGAAUUAUUUUGGUUCAGGAGUGAGCUCAGGUCUCUGGACCCUUUCCUCAUGUUGGAUGAGUUUUCAGGUCUGCUUUGCUUAAUUACUUGAAACCAAAUUCCUUGAUAUUUUCUAGAAUUAGGAUGAUGAUGGAUGAUGGAUGGUAUUUAAUUUGUUGUUGCAAAUUGCAAUGCAUGAAGUCUCAGCUCCUGCUGGAUUUCCUGAUCAUCCACACAGAGGUUUUGAGACUGUUACAUACAUGCUGGAGGUACAGACAGUACUGGAGUUAAUUAUUUAUUAUGAAUUGAAGGCUGUUUUUUGUCCUUGGUAGUCUAUUUAUUGAUGUCUGUGAAAUUCGUGGGUGGCACUGGCAGGGAUCAUUCACUCAUCAAGAUUUUUCUGGGCAUAGAGGGACUAUUCAUGCCGGGGAUGUUCAAGUAAAAUAAUUCACUCAAUUACAAUACUACGACGUUUACUUAAUUAGCUAGCUUUACUUGAUCAAAGUCAAAAACUCUUUCUUUUUUUAAAGUAAACAACAACAACAACUUGUGUGUUUUCCUGUUGGGCAGUGGAUGACAGCAGGUAGAGGGAUAGUCCAUUCAGAAAUGCCUGCAGGAGAAGGAGUCCAGAGAGGCCUUCAGCUUUGGAUAAACCUCUCUUCUCAACAUAAAAUGUAUGUUUUUAUUUCCUUUUUUGUUUGUACUUUCCAACUUCACCAUUCCAACAGUUUGUAAUAUGGAACCAACAGGAUUGAGCCAAGGUAUCAGGAACUUCUGAGGCAGGACAUCAAAAGAGCAGAGAAAGACGGGGUUGAAGUCCGAAUCAUAGCAGGGGAAUCAAUGGAAAUCGAGUCUCCAGUUUAUACAAGGACCCCAACAAUGUACCUUGAUUUCACACUGCAACCAAGGUCCCAAAUGCACCAGCCCAUUCCAGAAUUAUGGAACGCAUUCAUUUACGUCAUUGAAGGUGAGGGAGUGUUUGGGAUCCCAAACUCCUCACCAGUUGAAGCACAUCAUACACUCGUUCUAGGCCCUGGUGAAGGAAUGAGCGCCUGGAACAACUCCUCUUCCAAACCCUUGAGGUUUGUCUUGAUUGCAGGCCAGCCACUUAACCAACCAGUGGUGCAGCAUGGUCCUUUUGUCAUGAACACAGAAUCUGAAAUCCACCAAGCAAUUGAAGAUUACCACUACUCCAAAAAUGGGUUUGAAAUGGCGCAGUAUUGGAGUUCCCAAUAGGGAACAAGUAAGUGCUUGGAUCACUCAAAACCAAAUCUCCACAUUCCCUCUCAACUUUGAAGAAGAAAAGAGUAAAGAAUAAAAAUACACAUCCACAAACACUAAAGGCCACACGCAUAUGUGAGUGAUACUCAUUUGUGUUCCAUCAUGUAUUAAUUUAGCUUUUAUCCUCUUCCAACCUUUUACUAUUCCAAAUCAAAAGGUUGAUUAUUGCAUUGUCACACAAAACAAUGAUAAUAAAAAUACUCAAUUCAUAUAAUCCUUAGAAUUAAUUCUUUUCAUAACUAUAGUAGAUGUUUGAACAAGUGAGAACAAAAUAUAAGCUUAAUCUUAAUAGUAAUAUCAACGGAUAAUAGCACUGUGUGUCACUUAAUUAUUACCCAUGUCGCACAUAAACUACUUAACUUUCUACAUUGCACAUAAAGCCACUUAACUUUGCUUAUGCUUGCAACAUCCAAAUUUUCAUUCAAUUUAUGGAUAGACUGAUCGAAUUGAUGAGUUCUUAUUCGAGAUCUUCUGUAUGAAUAACCUCCAACACAUUAAAGAGAACAAUAAUUUAUAAGAACUGACAGAAUAACUUAUUACUUGUUUACAGAAAAGAAUGAUAAAAUAAAAAGGCAAGAAUAGAUUAUAAUCAUGCCUUGGACACUGCUUUCGAAAAAAUAUUUCCCGAAUUUAGAACACCAAUACAACUAAAGGUUAAUCACAAUAUUCACUCAAACUCUAGUGUAGGGCUUGAAUGUUGGAACUUGGAAACUUAUGCUAUUUUGAUUCCGAUUUUGAGAGUGAAAACAAAGUUUUCUGCCCAUAUUAAUCAACUAGGAUUUCCCUUUUUAAAGAGAACGCAUCCACUAACCAACAUCAAAUCCAGAUUCUCCUUUCUGAUGAUCAUCAAUGAUAAGCAGAUAUGGGGAAGGUGGAGUUGAGCUCCCGAUUUCUAGGAAGCCAACCAAAUACUUCUGUUAAGCAUAAGUCUUGAGUAUAUGCGGUAUGUAACUGAUCAUUACUGUUACUUCAAGUGGUUAGAUAAUGGUUACAUCAUCUUGCUGUUGUCCGUUGAUGACAUGUUGAUAGCAAGUUCUAUUGUAAAAGAAGUAAACAAGUUGAAGAAACAGUUAUCUAACAGUUUACUAUUAAGAAUAUAGGAGACGCUAAACAGAUUUUGAGUAUGUGCAUUGAUCAUGAUAGGCAAGUAGGAAAGUUUUAUCUUUCGCAAGUUGAAUAUAUCAAGAAAGUCUUGAAGAGGUUCAAAAUGCAGGAUGCAAAACUAGUAAAGAUUCCUUUGGGUGGCUAUUUCAAGCUAUUUGAGAAGGAUAUGCCUAAUAAUGAUCCAGAACGUGCCCAAAUGCACGAAACACCAUACAUUUUUGUAAUUGAUAGCUUGAUGUAUGGAAUGGUGUGCACAAUACCAGAAAUUGCACAUGUAGUGGGAGUUGUCAAUAGAUUCAUGGGAAAUCGGGGGGAAGCGAUUAAGUACUCCUGAGAUAGUUGAAGAUUACUACUAAAAGGGUCUUGGGCUUUGAGGGCAAAGUAAUGUAGUUAGAAGGAUUUGUCAUCAAGUGACCUUGAUAGAAGAAGAUGUACAACAUGGUAUAUUUUUACUCUUUGAGGUACCAUGGUUUCUUGGGCUUUUAAGUUGCACUGUCUAACACUCAAGCUAAAUAUGUUGCGGUAACGAAGGCCAGCAAAGAGAUGGUAUGGUUUUAGAAUUUCUUUGGUGAAUUGGGGAAGAAGAAAGAGGAUAGCAUAUUGUACAUUAGUCUUAUACACUUGCAAAAAAUUCAGCAUUUCAUUCAAAAUCGAAGCUCAUAUUGAGUUGAUGUAUCACUUUAUGGGUUGAUCUCUUGGAAAGGAAGAUCUUACGGCUUAUGAAGAUUCUAGGAAGUGAGAAUCCUAUGGAUAUGCCGACUAAGGUUGUAAAGUUGGAGAAGUUGACACUGUGUAUGACUUUAACUGGUUUUGUAACUGAAGUUGAAGGUCAGAUGCUGCUUGUAGUAGGAAGACGUUGAACAUGGAGAACCAAUGAGAGGAGUAUGUCUUCAGGUGGGAGAUUGUUGGGUUAUGGUGCCUAAGAAACUGAAGGCUUGGUCCAGUUAGUUUGUUUAGUUAGAUAAAAAUUAAGAUUAAUCUUGUCUAUUCUAUAUAGGAUUAGAAUUAAUAUGGUAGCUCCCUAUAAAUAAUCUAUAUUCAUAUCAUUGUAAUCUGUAUCACAACAAUAGUAGUCGAAAUCCUAACUUGGUUUGUAAAAAAAGAAAUUCUAGCGUGGUAGCGCCCUAGACAUACUCUUCUCGUGAAGAGGAACUAGGUUCUUAAUUUUUCAGUUUAUGAUUGCGUUUCAUUUUUUACAGGAACGACCAGAUCCAGCUCAGAAACUUCCUCAAGAUGGCGACGUUGAAGAAGCUCUGUCUCGCUAACGCCUAACAAUGGCUUCUCUAGACUGAUUCAGACUGUCCUCACCGCUGGAAAAGGAGAUUAGAUAGAAAUCCAUCUUUUAUUCCUCUUCAUUGUUUUUAUGACAAUUUCUUCUUUUCUUUUAUAAUAGAGAACUAUUUAUCACUUUUGUUGGACAUUUCUUGUUUGUUUCCCUCAAGAACUAAUAAUUUUGGUCAAUGGGUGACCACUGAUGAUGUUGAUUCUAUAAGCUUUAGUAUUUAGUCAAAUUCUUGAGUUUUUUUCAACUAGAAAAAAAAAGAAGAGAGGUUACAGUUUCAAUUAUUAAGUUUGAAGAAUUAAAGAAAAAAAACUAGACUACAGAUAUGAAAAGGUAAUUCUGAUAAUUUUUAUUGAUGAAUUUUUUUUUUGUAAUGAGUAAGAUAAUUUUUUAGGUUUUAUAAAUGGGUUUUUGGUUAAAAAUCUCAUUUAGAUAGAGUUUUUGAUGGGUAAUUAUGAAAUUUGACAUAAAGGGUACAUGAUUAAAAAGGUGGGAAAGGAAGAUGCGAAAAGAAGGUAAGAAGGAAUCAAUUCAUGGCAAAAAAGAAAAAUAAAUAAGAGGGAAGAAAGAAGACAUAUAUUGAUGGGAGGCGGAGGUGGGAUAGGGAGGUGAGAGAAAGAUGUAACAACAAAGAAGGGUUUAGCGAAAGGUGNNNNNNNNNNNNNNNNNNNNNNNNNNNNNNNNNNNNNNNNNNNNNNNNNNNNNNNNNNNNNNNNNNNNNNNNNNNNNNNNNNNNNNNNNNNNNNNNNNNNNNNNNNNNNNNNNNNNNNNNNNNNNNNNNNNNNNNNNNNNNNNNNNNNNNNNNNNNNNNNNNNNNNNNNNNNNNNNNNNNNNNNNNNNNNNNNNNNNNNNNNNNNNNNNNNNNNNNNNNNNNNNNNNNNNNNNNNNNNNNNNNNNNNNNNNNNNNNNNNNNNNNNNNNNNNNNNNNNNNNNNNNNNNNNNNNNNNNNNNNNNNNNNNNNNNNNNNNNNNNNNNNNNNNNNNNNNNNNNNNNNNNNNNNNNNNNNNNNNNNNNNNNNNNNNNNNNNNNNNNNNNNNNNNNNNNNNNNNNNNNNNNNNNNNNNNNNNNNNNNNNNNNNNNNNNNNNNNNNNNNNNNNNNNNNNNNNNNNNNNNNNNNNNNNNNNNNNNNNNNNNNNNNNNNNNNNNNNNNNNNNNNNNNNNNNNNNNNNNNNNNNNNNNNNNNNNNNNNNNNNNNNNNNNNNNNNNNNNNNNNNNNNNNNNNNNNNNNNNNNNNNNNNNNNNNNNNNNNNNNNNNNNNNNNNNNNNNNNNNNNNNNNNNNNNNNNNNNNNNNNNNNNNNNNNNNNNNNNNNNNNNNNNNNNNNNNNNNNNNNNNNNNNNNNNNNNNNNNNNNNNNNNNNNNNNNNNNNNNNNNNNNNNNNNNNNNNNNNNNNNNNNNNNNNNNNNNNNNNNNNNNNNNNNNNNNNNNNNNNNNNNNNNNNNNNNNNNNNNNNNNNNNNNNNNAUGGGUUUGUGGUUAAAAAUCUCAUUUAGAUAGAGUUUUUGAUGGGUAAUUAUGAAAUUUGACAUAAAGGGUACAUGAUUAAAAAGGUGGGAAAGGAAGAUGCGAAAAGAAGGUAAGAAGGAAUCAAUUCAUGGCAAAAAAGAAAAAUAAAUAAGAGGGAAGAAAGAAGACAUAUAUUGAUGGGAGGCGGAGGUGGGAUAGGGAGGUGAGAGAAAGAUGUAACAACAAAGAAGGGUUUAGCGAAAGGUGAUAUAAACAAAAUUAAUUUUGUAAGAAAAUAUUUUUUUUAAUGCCAUGUCAACUAGUUUGUAACUUUUAGUGUCCAUGUCAACAAACAAAAUUUUAUAAAGUUACCAAAAUUCAAAAUUUGUGUUACGAAAAGUAUUUCUAAUAGAUUGUGCCAUUUUCGGUAAAGGCUUAAUAGGUUGUGCAUUUAAGAAAAAAAAUAUUAUUGUGUUUCUACAAUUAACAUCAAUUAUCACCAAACCAUUAAAUACUAAAAACCAAUUAAGAUAUAGUCAUGUUACAAAAAAUGACUCUUGUUAUGAUUUUUUUGUUUAUGCAAUGAUAGGAUGAGAUUAAAAGGUUAAUUUCUUUUUCGACAAAACUUGUAAAAUAUUAUUAAACUCAAUUAGAUAUAAUAUCAUCUACAGUUGGUCAAUCAAAAAAAUUGAGGGUCUAUCCACCGAAACAAUCGUGGAGUUCCAAUGAGUCUGAUUAUACGCCAUAACAUGGGUAAGCUUGUUAACUUAUCUCCGGCCAUGACGCCAAUUACCACAAUCAAACUUUGCCAAAAGGCAACGAAUUAUGGACUAAAAUCCAUGUUCGGUAUGAUGAUCUUCCACAUGAUGCAAAGUCUCAACCAUGAUCAAGCUAUCACUUUCAAGAACCACAUUAGGAUACCUAUGUUGCAAGGCCAAUUGUUAGCAAAAUCUUGCCUCGACCGCCUCAGUUAAAGUAGGCUCAUAGCAACCCUACAAUUUCAACAUAUCCGCCAUUAAGUAAUGCCGAACGCCAUCCCAGAUAACCACCCCAAUACCCAUUCUGGAUCCUGUAAUGAUAGUUGCGUUUAAGGUAGUGAAACUGGUGAGUCAACAUGGGAUCGAAAAGGGACCUAGAAUCGUAAUCGUAAAAUCAAAUCGCAAAAUCAUAAAAUUUCACGGUUCUUCAAUAAUACUAAAUAUUCAGAAAUUCACCUUAGCAUAAAGACGUAAGUUCAUUAUCCAAUCUAAAAUUAAAAAUAAAAUCUCAAAUUCACCUUAAUAGGUUCUUCAGUUGCACUACUUUGAGCUGAUUUUCGAGUCUAGGAGACCGGAGACAAAAUCUGUGAACAAAAUUGUACAAUCUUACAACAAAAAACAAAAUACCUUCGAACAAAGAACCUAAACACCAAAAAUCCAAAACUAAUCUAACAAAAACAGAAUUAGAGAAAGGAAUGGGAUGAUGAGCAAAAUCAUGGAAUGGGAUGAUGAAGAAUCAUGGAAUCAAGGAAACAGAGAUACCUUCGAGCCGUAGGAGUGGCUGGAGCGAUGGGGACGACCAAAGAGGCUAUGACGAGGACCAUUGACUCCUGGUUCUGGUCUUCUAGACUUCUGGGGGACGACCGACGGGGGAGACGACAAGAGAGAAGACUGAGGAUCGAGCAGAGAUCGAACGAGCAAUCGACGACUUGCACAAUUUUUUUCAGAAGAUAAAUGAAUUUAAGGUUCGAUUUUUUGCCCAAAAUUGAACUCGGAUUUCCGUUUCGGUUCGAACCGAAGCAUAAAAACCAGCGGUCAGCACAGAGUAGUGGACUCGUGAAUCGUUGUAAACUCGUUCGAUUCCACGAUUUUCACGAUUUUGCGAGCGAUUUCAUGCCAUUAUAAGCCAUUUUGAUUGCGCGUGAAAUCUGACUCGACGGACCUAACAAAACUCGUAAAAUCGUCGAUUCCACUUCCUUCGUUGUGUAUGUACUGAUAUGGGGUUCCUGGUUUAGUGGUUGAACCGGGGUUGGACCGUUUUUAAACCGGGUCGGCCAUUUUAAAUAUUACAUAAAGUUAAAUCGGACCGAAAAAAUAUUGGAUUGAACGAAAUCAAACUGACAGUACAAAUAGUCAAAUUUUGAGAUUUAACCUUUGAAAAUUGAACAAUUUUAAAAAAUUUAUGUACAUUAUGAUGUUAUUCUUUUUUAAGUUUAUGUAAUAUAAUGAUAUUAUCUAUAGUUGAAGUCUUCCACACAUAUAUAUCUAGAAUGCUAAAGAAACCCUAAUGGAUCUUUCAAUCUUUCUUUAAUUGGGCUCCAACUACUCAAUACCCUCUCUCACACUUUUUUUCUCUAUAGAGAAACUCUCUCCCUUUUUCAUCAGAUUUUUUUCUCCUUGUAAUCUAAUCUUAUUUUUCUAAUAUUUUCAUUCUAUUUCUUCCCUAUUUGUCUCUUUUACUUUUUUCUUUUUGGAAGGUUAUUAGAAAAAGAGGACCACUAAAUAAUUCCGUCGACGUCCAGCAAUAGGGUUUUCCAAUUUUUUCACAGAUGGAUCCAUGUUUCCAAAGUUCUUUUGUUUUUUUUUCUGAUCUGAUAGUUGGUUCUUUAACUAGUUGAAUUAUCUGGUUUUCCGGGGAAAUCGGGUCAAUCCUCAGUUUUGUUCAUUCUCCUCAACCGCUAACUCAGUAUUGAUCAAAUGAUCGGUUCACAGUCGGACCGGCCGGGCUGAUAUGGUUUUGCUAACAUUGAUCUUAGUAGAGCCGACUAGAGGCCAUUCCAACCGAGCCACAAUGGCCUCAUACGAAAAACUCCUAGUUACCCUGAGUUCUUGAUAAUAAAUAAGAAUUGGAGUGCUUGUGCUAUGAUAUCACACUCCAAUUAGUGAAACUCAUUAAGCAUACACACAUUCCUUUCUUUCCAUCAGAAUCACAUAAGCAUUACCCAUCUUUCCAACUCCAAAUUCAAAACUUUGCGGUUGCUAAGUGAGAACCAAUCGCAUCAGUCAUUAGAAUCAUCAAAAUCAACCAGUGAUCAUGUUUAGAGUUACCUCAAAUCCGCCAAGUCCAUUGGCAAUCUCGGAAAUAGUGAAUUUGCAGGCAACCUGCAAAAUGGGCAUAUAUCACCAUGUCGAGGAUUAUGCUUAUACAUAUUAUACCUGUAGGUAAAAUUUACGAUGAAAUUUUCAUAAGAACUGCUCACCUUCGACGGAAUCUACAAUGACCAAGAACAAUUCCAAACAUCCGAGUUGCAAUUUGGAUUAAGACCCACUAAAAGAAAACCGUGUCCAUUAUUACGGAUAAAACCGGCCGUUGUCACUGAUAUUUCCAUGUCCCUGCCUCGUUGUCGCGGGAAAAUCAUCCGCGACAACGGGCGCCUUCAUAAUGAGGGGUGNNNNNNNNNNNNNNNNNNNNNNNNNNNNNNNNNNNNNNNNNNNNNNNNNNNNNNNNNNNNNNNNNNNNNNNNACGGCCGCCUUCAUAAUGAGGGUUGUGGGGACUAAACUAUCCGCGAAAAAUAGGGUUGGCGCGAACCCGUUAUGACCGGUUUGGUUCAAAUAGUUAGGUUGAAAGGCAUUUUAACAAGUUUAUCCGCAAAAACGGCAAGAGAUAUCCGCGACAAUGGCUAACAACAUUUGUUUUGCCGUCAUAACGGUUCCCCUAACGACGUUGAGUUUAUCCACGGCCAAGGUUGACAUUGUUAGUUUCUCCAUCCUACCCGUAAUGGUUGUUGUGCCAAAUACUAGGCCAUAAUAUCUGCGACAACAGCUCAAGUACUGCCUAAAAUUUUGUUAUUUUUGCUUGUUUCGUCCACUGUGGGCGCCUAAAAUAAAAGUUUAUAUAUGCACUAUUCUACACAUAACACAAUAUAUACCAAUAUCAUUAGCAUAACGAUAACACAUAUGAUCAUCCAAGAGUUAAUACUAUAACAUAAUCCAUAGAUCUACUCCAACAUAAUUCCUUGAUUUUUUACCUAACUAAAGUCAUUAGUUCACUAGACUACAUCACUAUCAACCUAGAUAUAACUACACUAGAGACUCGUCAUCCUCAUCCUCGUCAUUAUGACCAAGAUCCUUAUUAGCUCAAGUAUACAAAAGAAGAUAUAUAAAAUUGAAAUUAGGUUAAAACACAUAAAAUUAAGUAACAUGAACUUUAUAACAUAUAAAGAUUACUAAUAAUUUACCCGCCACAUCGUAGUCGUAGUUCUGUUGGAUGUGGUUAUAUUAUAUUAACCGCUACAAUCGUCGUUACGGAUCAUUAUCCGUGUCCGACGAUGACCUAACCGUGACACCCGUUAUCGCGGAUAUUAUCCCCCAUAACUAAUCUACGUCAGACAUCAAAUUUUGUUGUAGUGGCCAAGCUAUUCUUUAAAGCUAGUCAGCCAGUUUUAAUACCCCUAUUUUUUCGAAUAAACAGCUUUACUACUUGAAAUCCAAAUAAGCAUUCCGAUUCUUGAACAUCGCAAUGAAUAAUUUGCACGAUAGAAGUUGAUAUAGUUGACCAAAAACAGCUUUCAAUAAGAGCAGUAUUCUACUGAUAAGUCGUUCGAUUAACCAACUCACGAACUGUAGCAUCAACAUCAAACCUCAUCGGCGUAGAGGUCACAAAAUUACCGGGUACUAACGGAAGCCAUCCGUCUCCCCAAAUUCUAACGGACAUACAAUUUCCCACCCACCACCCAAGGCCACUCCAUACAAAACAUUGAGCACCAAAAAGGCUAUGCCAUAUAAAGCUAAACCCAACUCAGCUUUAAAGACAUAAUAGAAUUUUUAAAAUACUUAGCUUUCAUAAUUCUUACAAUAAGGGAAGAUGCUCUUGAGUGUAAGUUCCAAAGAUGUUUAGCAAGUAAAGUAAUGUUAAAGCCUAAAAAAUCACAUAAUCCCAUCCUAGCUUCGGAUUUCAAACUCAAUAGAUAUUCUUGACAAAAUGAGGGAUGAGCACUGGGUCGGGUCACCCAUCAAAACCCACCCGCCUAUAAUCACUCUCUACCACUACUACCCUUUUCCCCAUCACCAUAAAACUUUGCAUGCUUGUUUGUGUGUUUUUGUAGUUUUUUUGUGUGUUUUAUGUCGCUUUUCAUCGUUUGAGUAGAGAGAGAGAGGGAGAGAGAGAGGGAGAGAGAGAGAGGGAGAGAGAGUAUUUCAAGGGUUGCAUGUCAUACCAAUGAUUAAGAAUGCAUGAUAGAAGGUCUCGAUUCAAAUUAGGGUUCGGUCGGUGUCUGAUCGAAGGACGAAUGAUGCUUGCAUUAUUUUAUUUUUACUGAAAAAUUGGGCUUCUGGAGCAGCCUUUAGAUCAAUCUCAAGGUGUGUGGCUUUGCAUAGUGUGUGUCGUUUCCUUAAGUUUCUCUCGAUAGAAAAUCGAGUUUAUGGCGUGUGAUCCCACAUGCCAUGUGACUGAUUUUUGACAAAACGAACCGACCAAAGAACAACCAAAAACCCAACCGGCUCAAACCGUAAUGAACCAGAUUGAUUUUCAAACCGAUUUUCAACCAAAUCAAACUGAGUUUGACCAGACGCAUUGACCCUUCGUUGACCGGCCGUUGCCCCCGUUGACCGGUCACCAUGGAAGAAAAAACAUGGCAGUUUAGUAGUAUUUUGGGCAUAACAUUUUGCUCGGGAGUCUGAUUGACACAAGGUCAGUGACGUUGGAAACUUGUUCAGUUGCCUACAACUUUGAUGUCAUGAUGUGGCCUAAAUCCAUGCAGUUUGUGCUCAUUUUUCUUGGUUUGGAUUGAUGGAAUUUGAGAAAGUUUGAAUUGUGGUCUUGUUUGGUUUGAUGAUUUGGUGCGAUCGUGAUCAAUUUCUUGAUAGUAUUAUAGUGAUAUGUUCAUUGCAAAUGCUAACGUUUGGGAUGGUUGUCCAAAAUGGAUAAUUCUAGCUUUGCAAUGUGAAGAUUGCUGGAUGUUGAGACGUGAUCACUUUGUCACUCUUGUAUCGAUGGCAUGUUGUUGAUUUUCAUGAGAACUUGGAAUGGCAUCAUGAUGCUUCAAAGUGUGGUUGAACGUAGGUUGUUACUAGGCCUGAGAGUCGGUUAAUUUGGUUACUAACCAUCUGCUUAAUGUUCGGGGAAAAUGAUUUGGAGAUUAAAGUUGGUUAAUCGGUUUAACUGACCGACCAUAUGUAAUGGUUAAAAAGCCGACCAAUAACUGAUAAAUCGGUUAAAUAACCAAUUAUUAACCAACAGAUUAGUCGGUUAAUCCUAUGAACUGACUUUGAUUGAUUGACCGACUAUACCGACUUAACCUAACAAGAUCUGAAUCUCCAUGCUCAUCUCUGCCAUCGAGUGAGCCACGUUCUGCUCAUGAUAACCGUUCGUCCAAGCAUUCAUACUCUACUAAGAAAGCUUGCCAUGGCCGCCACUCUGAACACCGGUCAAAGAACUGAAUACUUGUUCCAAGAUCCGAACUUCCAGAACCGUCUCCAAUCCAUCUUCCCAAUUGUAGUUUGGACAAAGUUUCCUCAUCUGAAUUUUUACUCAAUCACACAACUACAACCUACACGACAACCAUAAUCAAUAGAGUGGAGGGGGAUAGGAUGAAACAGAGGACUGGUUGAAAUUAUAUGGGCCUAUGUUGCAUCCUCAAUAGCUCGUCGUCGCCAAGCCUCACUGAGCCGUCCCCGAGAGAGGAAGAGACGUAGAGUCUAGAGAUCGUGCUUUACUAGUGCUCAACACUCAUGGAGCCGUCACUGAGAGAGGAACAUAAUCCCUAAUGAAUCGUGAAAUCGAGAAUGAACGGGGAUAAGUGAAUAUGUUUGUGUGUGUGUGAGUUUGACCUAAAAAUGGGGGGAUUGGGAAUACGACGUAGACAUUUGGGUUCAGACUUGGGGUUCUUUUGACCGAUUAAUGUUGGUUAACACAAGUUAACUGACGGGUUUUAACCGAUUCACCGUUUAACUGAAGUCAGUUUUUCUCUUUGACCGUCCCCCAACCAACCUGUAGCUCGAUUAAACCUUCCUCUAACUUAUUCGGUCGGUUAAUCAAUUUUAAACGAUUAACCGAAACUGAAUUCCUACCCUUAGUUGUUACUAGGUGCUUUUGUUGCUCCCAAUUGAUGAUUUGUGAUUAUUUCCAUGCUCAUUUAAUUUGCUUCCAUUGCUCAUAUUUUGUCCUACCAUUACCCUUGAUGACUCAUUGGUUACUCACUGUUUUGGUAAAUGGUUCAAAGAAGCAUGAGGCAUAUUACUAGUCCAUUUGUUCCUGUAAUGAUAUAUCUUUGACCUCACCUUUUGGUAUAACUUGAAUGAUGCAUACGUUGUCACUUCAUGCUUUGCAUACACUCUUUAUGCUCGUUCUUGUUCAUUGGACUUGGUCAACAUUUGUGAGGAUUUCUUUGUGGCAAUUGAUGAUAAAUGAGUUAAGGUGGUCCCAUAGCUUUUGCUUACCCUUGUCUUACUAAUUUAUGAAUUAUAGGAUGCUCUUGUUUAGGAUUGCUAGUUAGUCUUGCUUGAGAAUAACUAGUUAUCUUCUUCAUUGGUUUUGCCUUUCUUUUACAUCUUGCCUAUGCCAUGUCUACUUAUGAGCUAUUUAUUGCCUAUCGUUGCCUAAUUCGAUUGGAUGCUUAUUGAGGUGGUUCCUUAGUGGCCGUAGGAUUAUGGGUUGACACCUCUACAUGCUUGAUGUGUAUGAUUAUUCUCCAUUUCGAAAUUUUCAAUGAUACUUUAAAGUCAAAUUUGAAUGCUCUUUACAAAUGUGUCAAUUUUGGCACAGUUUUCAAGGAUUCAUCAUUUAGUGUUUAUAAUUCAUUUUCGUUUUAAAUUUUCGUUUCCCACAUUUACUUUUCAUGUUUUGUUGCUUUUAUUGUUUUAAAUUUUAUUAUUUUUAUUUUAAUAGGCUUACUUUCCUUGUAUAUCCCCAAUUGUAACUUGGUAUCCGUAUUCUCAACUAAAUCAACAAAUGACACCAAAUAACUUAAAAUUGAGAACUAUAAGAGCUCAAAAGAAGGAGAUUUAGCAGAGUCUCUUAUAGGUUUCAAAAAAGCGAGGAAGGAUCUUCAAGUGGAGAGGACCCUUUCUCCUCCCUAACUCCAAUGGCGAACAAAACUCUAGCAUUAGACCACCUAAAGUCAGACGAUAAGCCAUGCAUUCAUCUCGUGGACUUUAUCUUCUAUUGCGACACCAUCAAGCUACACGGUGUUUCUGUUGAGGUUCACAUCGUGUUCCCCUUGAGUUUCAGCAACCAUCCACUCCAAGCACCUUAAAUCAUCCGUCUUAGUUUCUGCUUGUCCCCAAACACCGUACAUCGCAUGUACUUCGUGAUUUUUCCAUUCUUUGAGGCAUUUAGCUCCUCCUUGUACAUCAUACAGUUAUGAAUAAUGCCUCGACGUUGUUGUGUGCCUGAAAUUGAUAAAAAACACAACGCAACAACAUCAAAUGGACCCCAAACGGGUAUGAGACACUAAAUCGAGAUAGAAGUUACAAAUGCACAAAACAUCAUGUCGUGAAUGUUUCGAUCCGCGACACCGAUGGCUUGAAAUAUUUCAGAGUCGCCACCAAUCUGUUGAAGCGGAUUGGACGCUGUCGACAUAACCCAGGUCCUUUUGGACGUGAGUUAGAACAGGUCUGCGGAACAGAGAUCCUGGAUUCGAGAGGCGGUUACGUGCAGGGAAGGAUUAGCACCCCCAUAGCGCCCGUCAAACCGGUACUACUAAAUUUGAUAAGUUAUGUUUUAUUUUCUUAGUUUAGUGGUUUAAUUAUGCUUUAGUUUGGACGCAUAAGGUUAUGUAAAUUUUUUAGAGAAUAUUUUUAUUCAAUUGUAAGUCUUUAUGAGUUCCCACUCUUGUGGAAAUUUUUUUUUAUGUUGAUAAAUAUUUUGAGUUGAACAUUCUUAAUUUAAUUGUUUGGAUUUACGAAUUCCCAUUCUUGUGGAAAUUUUGUUUUACGCUGGUGAAUAUUUUUAAGUUGGUUAUUUUUAAUUUAUAUGUUUGGACUCAAGUCUUACGACUGCCUACGUACCUAAUUCUUUGGGAUCAAAGAUCAUGUAGUUCGUUAUGGAAAAGUUGAUUUGAGGAUUUUUUGUAAUUUUUACUAUUAUAAAAACCACGUUAUCAUGCUCAUUUUUUAUUUGAAAGACAUUUAUUUGGUUAUUUCAAAGUUGGAACUUUAUUUGCCCACUUAUGAUUAAAUGAUAAUUCUACAAAAUUCGAAACUCUUGUCACGGAUACGAAAUUCAUAUAACAUUGCUAUAAUAUCUUUAAAGGAUUAUUAUUAAGGAAAUUUCACAUUUUUUGCCAAUCGAAAAAUUAAUUGGUUUAUAUCAGUUAACUUAAUUUGACAUAAUUAAAAAUGCAUUACAAGACGGUUAACGAACUUACAUUUAAAUAAAUAUGUCACAAGUAUUUUUGGUGAUUUGACAAUUCUAUUGUGGUUAUGUUAAUGUUAAUUAAAAUGAUACGUUGAUUUGAAUAAUUGUAAAGUUUUGAGUUUUUAAGUUUACAACUUUAAGGUAUAAAUAUCAAAUAGGAUUAAAGAAGGUAUGACGUUUAUUCUGUUAUUCUUCCACACUUAUUUCACUUUUAUUCCACUCUUAAUAUGGCCUUAAUGAUAUAUGAAUAUAAUUGAAUCGACUAAAGGCUUGGCCUUUCUAAAUUAAUUGUGCCCAAGCUCGAGCUCGGCCCAACCGAACGAUGAGCCGAACCGGCGGGUAAGAGGAGGGCAGCCCGCGUGCCAAACUGGUCGAACCGGUUAUCCACGGUUCGAUCAGAAAACUCAAAAAGAUGAAAUUGCCCCUAGCGUUCCGUGCGCUGAAGAAGGGUGGCAGGGGAAAUUUUGUAACUUCACCUUAAACCUAAUCGGCCUUAUAAAAGGGCCUCUUAAAUCGAGAAAUGACUCAUUUGCAACUUCCCACUCUCUCUUUAUCAUCCCUCUUUCUAAACCGCCGCCCUUCUCCCCCCCCCCCCCCCCCCCCCCCCCACCCACCUUUAUCACGGAGUGUGCUGUUUUUUUCUAGUUCCUUUCUCUUCUUCUCAGCCGCCCUUUUUUGCCUCCUCUUACCUCUCAGGACCCCUCUUUCUACCUCCGUUUUUUCGAUUUUUCCAGAUUUGGACUUGCAUGUCAUCGGAGGAUACUCCGGUGAGUCCUCCGGCAAAAUGCAAGUCUCGAUCUGUAGAUCUAAUGUUUUAUUUUGGUAUUAAACAAUUUUGGUUAUUUGAGGGUGGUACCGACGGGGGUGGCGGGGAGGUAGAGAAAUGGAAAAAAGAGAAAGUUAGGUAAGUAAGAUUUCUUCCCUAUUCCUUUUGAUUAAUGUCUGGUUAAUUGCUAACGAAGCUAACUACCGGUUUCUUUGAUGACUUUUUUUAUGUCUUUGAAAAUGGGCAUAGUCGACAUGUUUUGGAAAAUGAGAGGAAAAGGAGAAGAUUGCUUUUAGGAGGUAAGACAGCUAAUUUUGAACCCAUUCUAAUUUUUCUAGGUAGAAGUAACAAUUCUAUUUGUUGAUAAGUUGCAUAAGAAACUAGGUUUGUUUUGUUACUGAAGUUGUAGUAGUAGUCUAGGUGUUUUAAAAAGUUUUGUUUGAAAAACUUUAUUUUUUUUACUAUUGUUUAAAUUUUUUUAGCAACAUUGUUUAUUCCAAAAAUCCGUAUUUUAACUCGAUUUUACUAUGAGUUUCAUAGUUCUUUAGGUCUUUGGUGCGAAAAUGAUGAAAGAUGGCUAUAGGUUUCGUUGUUAAUACUUUCCAAUAACUUUUAGUUCAUUUUUGAAGCUUAUUUGAUUGAUUUGUUGGUUGUUUAUUAAAAUGAAUCAUUUAUUUGAUUAGUUGCAACGAAUCAUUGGGUUCAAUAGUAGUUUAGAAGGUUGCUAAGUGAUAUAGCAUAACAAUGUAUAUGUAUGAAUGAUGUGUGAAUGCUUCAGAAUAGGGAUGUUUUGAAUGAUUACCUUCAUUCAAAAUUUCUCUUUUAUCGUAUUUCAGGUGGCGGCGCCUAUCGUGAGUGACGUCAAACCGAUUUGGCGGCUUCUAUGUGUAUGGCGACAAAAGAUGUUGUAAAACUUAUUUUUUUACAGUUUUGUAAUUAUUUCCCGGGACUUUGAACGAGUGAUGUUGGUGUAUUAUUUUUGGGGGUUUUGGGAAGAACUGGGGGACGAAUUUUGAAAACUGUAAGCUCCUCUUUUUGCUGAUUUUUGUCAGUCCAUUUAAAUGCAGAAAGGGCUACAGUCACUUCUUUUAACCAACCACAUCUUGCAAAGUUUUCUGACAAAAAUAAAAGGUGGCAGCUCCCCAAAUAAUAACCGUAACGGGCCCGAUAUUGGGCUUGAAAUAAGGCCUGGAAUCGGGCCCGAAAUCAAAUUGGGUCUAACACAUAAAUAGUUUCGAGAUAAGGGAUUUUGCCGAAUUUCGAGAUAGCGGACUUGAGGUCCACUCAUUUCGGCCGUUUCCGUUUAAAAAGAUCUAAAACAAAAUCGGCUUAGAACAGUCUGUAACAUAAUAAUUACAUCUCGAAAAUAUGCUAUUUGGCUACCAAGUUCUCCCCUAACGUGCACUUUGAUUAAUUUAACUGAAUAAACUUCGCAACAAGUAAAAUCUCGACGCUAAAUCCUUCCUAGAGAUGCUACGACUAUUUAGUGAAAUGACACUGGCGUGCAUUCUUCACUCGAACGAAAUUUGGUUACUACAGUUGUCCCUCUUUGUAUUACUUUCGCUUGGAAGUGGAAAGUGGUACAAAGACAGAAACCAAAUUUCGGACGAGCGCCUGAACUUCUCACGUCAAGUCCACUAGGGUCCAAGGAUCUGCCACAACAUCGGGUAGAAAACAAAAUUUGCAACCUGACCACACAAACAACAUGCAAUGCAUUUCCCUAUGGGUGUUAGGGUGAAUGUACUAGGGACUCAGCUUGACUUAUCUCCCGUUCCAUGGGUUGACUAUACUAGGGACUCAACUCGACUUAUCUCCUGUUCCAAGGUGCAAUCCGCUUUCCCCAGGAUGCUAAGGGUUGAUGUACUAGGGAUUCGACUAGACUUAUUUCCCGUUCCAACGUGCGAUCCGUUUGCCUUAGGACGCUAAGGGUUGAUGUACUAGGGAUUCAGCUUGCUUAGUUCCCGUUCCAUGACUACAAAUGUGUUGAUGAUGAAUGGUUUCGAAAGAGUUUGAGUAAGGCUCCCCCUUUUUGAAAAAAACAUGCAUCUGAUGGCAAUGCUUGAUUGAUAUUUUUCAUCAUUUUCACUCCGACGAGAUUCACUGUUUUGUUUUCUUGUCGCUUAGUUCGCACUACGUGCUAGCGCAAUGGUGUCAACCCUGCUGAUAGCUGGGUAACCUUUAAUGUAUGUGCCCAUUUUUCUUUGUUUUUCCCCCGACGUCUUCAUAUUAUUCCCAUGCCUUGGGAUUUUAAGGAUCUCUUUCCUACUUUGUCUCUACUUCUAGAUAUAAUGGUAAGAUAACGACGACCUUUGUAAAUUUCUUUCUUCGGUUAGGAAUAAGUGGAGAAAUCCUGCCAUCCGGGCUUCUUUUCUUUAACCCUUCCCUUUUACUAAUUUUUUCAUUCUUUCAACGGUUUUCAUUAUUAUUACUAUUAUUUUUCUCCCUUUUGUCUUCACUUUACCGCUAAUUUCAUUUGAAAAGACCUCCUAAUGAUUAAUUAGAGCGAAGGUGUUUGCACGAACGCAUUUGCCUCAAGUUCCUGUGGGGUGUUGUACCUCAUCCAUUUUGUUUGGUGAUGCGUGAACAAUGGUUAGGAGAGUAGUAUUUGAGAAUUCAUGAAGUAUCCAAAACUUAAAGUUGACUUAAAUUAUCACUUUAUUGAUGGAAAACCGAUCACGUAGAUCUCCGUCAGGAACUUUAAGCAUAGUACUUGUUUACUGAAUAAGAGUUAAAUAGGUAAGGGAGCUUGUCUCCGUCCAUGUUUGCCAGUAUUAAUGCCCCCCUGAGAAAGCCCUUUCCCCUACAUAGGGCCCUUCAUAGUUCGGCUUCCACAUUCCUCUUGGGUCCCCUUGUCAAAUGGAAAUCUUCUUCGUUACCAACUCUCCUUCGCGAAAUUCCCGUGUUUCACUUUUUUUUAAAAGAUCUGAUAAAUCUGCACUGAUACAGGCGUUAGUGGUGGAUAGCUGCCAACCUUUUCUCAUCAAUUUAAUUUAACUGGUCGUAUGCCGCUUUUACCUACUCAACUUGUUCUAACUUCGCCUCCAUGAUAACCCUUAGUGAAGGCAUUUCUACGUCCAUGGGAAGCACUGCCUCCAUCCCAUAGACCAAUUGGUAAGACGUCGAUCCCGUUUAGGUUCUUACUGAUGUUCAGUAACCGUGCUGGGUAAAUGGUAGAAUUACGUGCCAAUCGCGGUCGGUAACGACCAUUUUCUGUAUGCUUUUCUUGAGGUUUAUUGUUUGUCAGCUCGACCGCUCCGUUCAUCUUUGGUCGGUAUGGUACCGAGUUGUGGUGCUUAAUCUUAAACUUGUUGCAAAGCUCAUGCAUCAUCUUGUUGUUGAGAUUUUUCGCAUUGUCGAUUAUUAUUCUUUCCAGGAGCCCAUACUAGCAAAUGAUUUCCUUUUGUAUGAACUUUUUGACAACGCUCUUGGUAGUGUUUGCAUAUGACACAACCUCGACCCAUUUCGUGAAAUAGUCGAUGGCUACUAGGAUGAAACGGUGCCCAUUAGAUGCUUUUGGUUCAAUCAUGCCUAUGACCUCAUGAUGCAAAAGGCCAAGGCGAUGCCAUAAUGUGCAACGAUGAUGGAGACACGUAUUUCUCACCGGCAUAAACCUGGCACUUAUGGCAUUUUCUCACGUGUUUUACAUAGUCAGAGUUCAUCUUCGUCCAAUAGUAACCCAUCCUUAAUAUCUUCUUAGCUAGCGCAUGACCACCGACAUGUGUGCCGCAGACUCCCUCAUGGACUUCUUUUAUUGUUCUCUGAGAUUCAGGGGCAGCUACACAUCUUUGCAGCACAAAAUCAUGGCUUAGUCUGUAGAGGGUAGUCCUAUGAACAUAGUAACCCAUCUCCAAUCUCCGUAGAGUCCUUUUAUCAUUUUCAGAUGCCCUAGCUGCGUACUCCCUUUUAUGUAGGUAGGUCUUUAUGUGAUGGUGCCAGGGAUUCCUCAUGCUCUUUUUGGACUCUACCUAGGUAGGCAGGUGCAUUUUUCUUUUUGAUUUUGCUUCAUGGGUUAACCUCGGUCUCGUCCAGUUUGUACAUCGAGGACAAUGUGGCGAGAGCAUCCGCUAUUUGAUUGUCGACUCGCGAGAUGUGCUCAAACUGUAUCGACUCAAAUUUUGCGGCCAUUUCCCCUAUGUAUUUAUGGAAUGGGACAAGCUUAUGACCCCUAGUUUCCCAUUUUCCUUCAACUUGUAUAUUACUAGCGCUGAAUUACCAUAUGCCUUCAAAUUCUUAAUAACCAUUUCGAGGGCUCCUCGGAUCCUGAAAGUGCACGAUUGGCACUCUGUUAUGUUGUUGGUGCAAUCGAAGCAAAUUUUGGCAGUAAUAGGGCACACCCUCCCUUCAGAAGAGACAGAAACGACGCCGACGCCCUGUCCCAAUGAGUUUGAGGCCCCGUCAAACUUCAUCACCAAUGUUUUUUGGACGAAGCCUUCCACUAAUUUCUCAGUGUUCAGUAUAGUUUCAUCCGGAAAUUCCAUUAACAUCGGAUUCGUGUCCGAGAUUGCAUGCUCCGCUAGAUGUUCUGCCACUACACUCCCUUCAAUGGCCUUCCUUCGGAUAUAAACGAUGACGUAUUCUGCCAGCAGCACUUGCCAUUAGCCUAUCCAUCUGGAGAGGGCCAACUUUUCGUGGACAUCCUUGAUAGGGUUCAUUUUUUAUAUUAGGAGCUUCGUGUGAUAUAACAUGUACUAUCUCAGCCUUAUGGCUACCCAUACAAGUGCUCCGCAAGUUUUCUCGAGCGAUGUAUAUCGAGAUUCGUAGUCAUGAACUUCUUGCUGGUGUAAUAUAUUGGCGCGCUCUUUCCUUCCCGAUUCAACAUGUUGGGCCAACAUCGCGCUUACCAAAUUUUCAAAUACCGUGAAGUACAAUAUUAGUGACCUUCUAGAAGUUGGUGGGGCCAGAACCGGAGGGUUUAAUAAACACCCUUUGACUUUCCGAAAGGCAUGAUGACAACCUUCAUCCCACUCGACAUUCCGGUUCUUCUUUAAAAGCUUGAGAAUGGGUUCACACGUUAAGCUCAAAUGCGAUAUGAACCGACUAAUGUAGUUCAAGCGUCCUAAGAAUCCUAGCACCUCUUUAUGCAUUUAGGGAGGAGGUAUGUCAACCAUUGCCUUCACUUUGUCAGGGUCCACUUCAAUCCCCUUUUGGCUAACCACGAAACCGAGCAGCUUCUCCGAGGUGACUCCGAACGUACACUUUUCUGGGUUCAGCCAGAGCUGGUACUUCCCGAGUCGCUCGAGCAAUUUUCAUAGCACAGUUACGUAGUCGUCUUCCUUUUAUAACUUUGCUAUAAUGCCAUCCAGAUAUACCUAUAUUUCUUUGUGUAUCAUGUCAUGAAACAGUGUGACCAUGGCCCGCUGGUAAGUUGCCCUAGCGUUCUUCAGCCCAAAAGACAUAACUUUAUAGCAAAAGGUUCCCCAUAAAGUGAUGAUGGUCUUUUUUUCUCGAUCAUCCGAAACAUCCUGAUAUGGUUGUAUCUUGAGAAACUGUCCAUGAAAGAGAACAUAUUAGUUGACGGUAUUAUCAACGAGGACAUUUAUGCGAGGCAAAUGGAAGUUGUCCUUUGGGCUUGCCCUAUUUAAAUCUCUGUAGUCUACGCACAUUCUCAUUUUUCCAUUCUUCUUAGGCAUAGGGACCAUAUUAGAGAUCCAAUCGGUGUAUUACGCCACCUGUAAGAACCCGAUUUCGUAUUGUUUCUGCACUUCUUCCUUAAGUUUGAGUAUCCAUUCCGGUUUCAUCCGCCAUAACUUUUGCUUUACUGGCUUGCACUCCUCCUUUAUUGGCAAGUGAUGUGUUACUAUUGUUCAUCGAGGCCCAACAUAUCUUGAUAAGACCUUGCGAAAACGUCCUAGAAGUUCUGGAGUAGUUUGACGAGCCUGUUCUUUUCUGCUUGGUCUAAACUGUCCCCUACCUUAACCUGUCGCCGAUUGUCCUCUGUUCCCAAAUUCACGACCUCUACUGACUCGUAGAAAGGUUUCAAGGAUCGCUCUUCUUAUCCUGCCAUCCAAUCUGUUUCUAGGUUAGAACCAUCACUGGCUUCCUCGGUUUCCAUCUCAUAAACUGGGUGGUGAAAGUCAACUUUAGUGUUUCGUACCUCUUCAUUGUUUUCAAACACAUCUGUAACCCUGUUACGUGACGGGAAAUAGAAAAGGGAAAAAGAAGAAAAGCGGAAGUGAAUAAUAUAGACGAUGCACGGAUUGAGACUUAUGAAAACAUGCUUUAUCAAACAUGUGAAAAUGUGAUACAUGCAUUCAGGAUCACUUAAAAAACACUAGGAAGCCCUUGCUUAUUUUAUUUAGUAGUCAUAUUUUAGAGUUAUUACAUCUGCAAUGGCGAAAGUAACUCCAAAGCCUCCCAAUUGCUUAGCUCUUCCUUUGGACGGAGCUGCCGCACCCAUUUUAUUCCGGUCAUAAUUCCCGUACCCAGCAUGCUGAUGAAGAGAUCUGCAAAAUCCGACUGUAACUCUUUGGUGGUCGGAUCAGUGUAGUUUUUCCUCACAUUUAUCUUUCCAGCAUUCUUGCUUGUGAUGUGAGGUAUGAAAGUCAGGCCUUCAUCAUCUUCUGUCCCACUUAACCUGGACACCCUCCUCCUUAUCCGUUCCUUUUGGAUCCUCCUUAUAUCAUCAUCGUUUAGAAUGUAUCGCAAUCCCGCACGGUUCUUAUUUUCUUUGACCUGGAUGGGUUCUUUCAGCACCUCCUGCCAUUAGUAUCAUAGAUUCCAUACUCGAUAUUAAUCUAACCGAUGUCUCGAGACUAAUUAGAGUUAAUUACCAAGUGCAUUAAUAUAGUACAAUGAUUAAUCUGAAAAUUAAUUCCAAAGCGGAUCGACAUUCCGCCCCUCUCUCAAGUGUAGCGGAGACGACGAUAGACCUUGGCGUUUGGGGAUUUAGUCUCACUUUCGUAUCUAAACCAAAUCCCAACAAUAAUCUUACAACUGGAAUUCGACAAUUACAAAAUAAAGCAGUAGCUAUAUGCAAGAGAAAGACAAUAACGAAAUUAAUGAUAGUUCCGCUUAACACAAUCGAAAUUAUGUCGUAUUAACACAUAAUCAAGGUUUCAUCAAUUUCGGACAGACAGCUUAGUUACACAUGGUGAUCAAAUUAAAAACACAGAAAUCAAGAUAAUACAUGAACCUGGAGCUCCAUGCUUCAUGAACGCUCUGCCGUCGUAAAAUUCAGCAAUGUAGGCGGUCCGAACGGAAGUUCCGAAAUGGAUUUCUUCACCUUCGGAGCUCGAAAUUGCAUGCGGUUUGAAGUGGCAUGUUCCUGGGUUGAAGAAGGACGUCUUGGGGCAGAGUAGGAAGGCUUGCGGGUCUGAUAUGGUGUGUGUAUGGUGUGAUUUCGAAGUGGACAUGACUUGCCCUUAUAUAGGCUCGAAAAAUGGCGUAUUAAGGCCUCCGACAUGGGCAUACCAACUCCAUCAUCUGUAUGCAAGCUGUAGCUGUCCCUGGACUGAUGAUGGACGGAUCUACAUGUGCUGGACGUCCUCAACCAUGCCCGGUUAUCCUUCCGGCGAUCGGUUGAGCGGUGGAUUGUAAAACGGGUCGUAACUUCUUCGUUGCAAAUCUGAUUUAGCUCCGGUUUGUAUCGUUGGAUUUUUAAUUCAUCCCUUUAUAAUACGUGACCUGAAAUUUUAUUAAACACACUAGAAGAAAUAUAAAAUUGGACCAUAAAGGUCCAAGGGUUGAAUUUACGGAAUUAAGUGCAAUAUAACUGAUAUCCGUCGAAACUUUUGUUUGCAAUUGAUAUUAUGACUUGAAGUGUAGAAAGUUUAGUGCCAAAUAUUACGGUAUGUUAUGAUGUGAUCAAAAUACCCCACACUUAAACUUUUCUUGUCGUCAAGAAAACUGUAACUUAACCCACACGAAAUACCAAAGAUAGUUACCAUCAUUUAUACAAGGUUUAGGAAAUGUAAUUUUACAAUUUACGAUGCAACAGAGGUUAAAUGCUUGGCCACAUCGGUGAGAUAAAUCUCUAGUUAGAAAUUCACGAGACAGUGCACACCAGAUUAAUCAAGAUUCAAAUGCUAAAAAUAAAAGGGUUAAAUGCAUUUGUUGCAACUAUAAGAUUCAUUUUGCGCUUCCUUACGAAAUUAUGAAAUUUUAUUUCUUUUUUAAAGUUUCAAAAUUUUGAAUAACCCGUAGCCGAGCAAGACUAGUGAGUACUAUACUCAACCUUUUAACACAUUUCAUUCUUCCCACACACACCUCAAUUAAGUCCCGUAUGGGAGGCAUCUAAACUGGCUGCCUAAUUGGCAGGGCAGCUAAUGCAGAGGUGCUAGUCCUCUACCACACGCGUUAAGUUAAUCAUUGAAUUAUUGAGACAAAUUAAAGAAGCAUUUUGAUUUAAACAUUUUUUUAUGGCGAAAGUUGAAUCCAGUUUUGAAUUUGCAGAUUUAAACCAAACAUUUUAAGCAUUUGCAUCAAUUAAUCCGAGAUGUACUAAAUACAAAAAUGAAAGUCUAGUAAAAACAAGUGGUCAUUCCGCAACAACUACCAUGUCACCCAUAAUCGUUACAUUCCCAUUGUCUAUUUUAAUGUGAUCCCUAAAUUGGUAGAUGUGUAACCGCUAGUACUGUUUGUGAGGAGAUUAAAGUAAAGUACGGAUGAAAUGUUGAAAAAAAUUUAAAACACCUCUCGUUACACCAUCACCCAACACUUGAAUUAUACAUUGCCCUCAAUGGACUAUGAAUCUGGGAUAAGAGGGAAACAAGUAUACCGAGAUAUCGAGAAUGACAAUGCCAAAGUAAACUGCUCUAUAAUACCUGUCUGUCGGAUGAUAACGGUAACACAGUGAUAACAAAACAAAACAAAACUCAAAACACAUUUGGCAAAUGCCACAACUAAAAAUCAUACUAAAUCACACCACACAAUGAUGCAGAUCCAAGAUAAAUAUAUUCGAAAAUGUUAAUAUUUUGAAAUACAUCAAAAAGAAGAAGAGAAAAAUACACAUCCUAGAUCGAAAAAUCAAUCAUAACUAUCGGAUCAUAUUCAAAAUUUUGGGCAGAGUCAAGAUGAUUUUAAGGGUCUUGGAUGAUUUUAUUGAAUGAAAUAAGAAACUUGGGUUGUCUCCCGAGGACCACUUUUUUAUCGUCUUUAAGUUAGAAGUUUCCAAGAAAAUUAUUUAAUUAGCCAGGUGAAACACCUCAUGGAUGGUGAGAGAGUCGCUCGCAAGGUAGAGUUUCAACCGAUGACCAAUAACUUUAAACAUACCAUGAUCAGGGCUCGAGAUUUCAACAAUUUCGUAAGGAAGAACUUCAGUCACUGUGAAUGGGCCCAACCAAUGGGAUUUAAUUUUCAUGGAAAGAGGCGAAUCCUAGAAUUAUAUAGGACUAUGUCUCCCGGACGAAAGUGUUUUCCAGGUUUUAACCUUGCGUCAUGAAGACGCUUUGUCUGUUGCUUAUACAAAUUGCCAUUUUAAUAGGCAUGAAGAUGGAAUUCCUCCAGUUCAUGUAUGUGGAACUGAUGGCGAGGUCCAGCGACACUCAUAACAAGGUUUAGAGAUUUAAAGGCCCAUAAUGCCUUAUUCUCUAACUCAACAAGCAGAUGUCAUGCCUUUUCGUAGAAGAGACGGUAAGGGGUAGUGCCGAUAAGAGUUUUAAAAGUGAUAUGCCCAAAGUGCAUCGUCCAACUUUUUUUACCAAUCCUUGCGAGUCCAGGUGACAGUUUUCUCCAAAAUCUACUUAAGUUCUCGGUUCGUUACUUUCGCUUGACCACUAUUAUGUAGGUAGUAACCAGUGGACAGACGAUGAGUGAAACCAAAGCGGCGACACACAUGAUCAAACUGUCCCUGACAGCGGGUUCCUCGAUCGCUGAUGAUAGUGCGAGGUGCUCCAAACCGAGUGAAAAGUAGUUGCACAACUGGCUUAUAAGCUAGCCUCUUCCAUAAGAACUUUGUGGGUAAAAAAAGAGGGAGAGAUGCUUCGAAUAUCAUAGAUUUUCCAAGAAAUGGCCUUAAUAUGCUCUUUUAAAAGGGUGAUGAGACGUCCCUUUUAUUCCGGAAUGAGGGAGGCAAUGAUACUGACUAGAAGCUUCGAGUAAUCCAUCAGAAAAGCAUACUUGAGGUGCUCCGGUAGUGCUUUCAUCUUCAAUAUUGGAGGCUCCUCAUAUGAGGGUUUGACGGGCUCAAUCCUUGAGAGCUUGACAGGAGGUUCAGGAGCAGAGUCUUAGCAAUCUGCUCAAGUUGUUGUACCUCAUCAGAAGCAUCCCAAACACCAAAAUAAAAGGCACAACUCGAGAGGGUCUUAGCAAAUGCCCUCAGAUAAGAAGAAUACUGAUCCAACCUCAAUGGAGUCAGCAGGAUAGUUUCAGUCAUCCUGGACAUGGGCAUAUUUCAUCCUGUCAGCAUGGCGAAAUGUGGCCUUUCCUUGACCUACUUGAAGAGUAAGCUCGCCUUCAUGGACAUCAAUGAUGGUGCGAGCCGUAUUUAAGAAUGGGUGGCCAAGAAUGAGGGAGGCAUCUGAUUCAUUGGUGUCAAUGAUAACAAAGUCCACCGAAAAGACAUAAGGUCCCAUCUGCAUAAGUACAUCUCUCAGGAUUCCACGACAAAUUCGAGUGGACUUGUUAGCCAACAGGAUGGUCAAUUGAGUCGGUGUUGGUUCUCCUAAAUCGAGCUGUUGGGAUAUCUUGCAUGGCAUUAGAUUGAUACUUACCCCAGAGUCAGCCAAAGUCUUAUCCAUGCAGGUGUUGGUGAUAUAGUAACAUAAGGUGAAAGAAUCGUGAUCCUUAUGUUUCUUAGGUAGCUGGUUCAGAAUGGCAGCAUAACAUUCAACAUCAAGAGUAACAGACUGAAUCUCAUCCAAUUUUCUCUUAUUGGUCAGAAUCUCCUUUAGAAAUUUCGAGUACUAGGGCAUUUUGGUAAUUUCCUCAAUAAACAGGAUAAUGCCAUUUGCCGUAAUCAUAAGUUCAAUGAACCUUUUGUAACUGGCACCCAUCAUAUCACUCCUUAGACGAGAAGGAUAAGGAGGUUUUGGUUUGUAGGGUGGUAACUCUGGCUUAGGGGGAGAUGGUUACAGUAGCCUUUGGAUAGGUGGCCGAGGUGGCUUUCUCAUCCUUCUUCUCGACGCUAAAGUCAAUGAUCAGCGUUGGAGGAAUGAUGACAGGUGUGGACUAUGGAAUGGGAGGAUCCUUACUGGUGGUUCCACUCUUGAGGGUGACACCUUCACAAGAUUCCGAAGUGUCAAAUCCUUCAUUAGUAACAAAGAUUGCUUUUGAUUCUUCUUGCAUAGAAUUGUUUUCUGUGUUGCUAGGGAGAGAGCCUUGUGGUCUCUCACUAAGAAUUUUGGAAAGAUUUUUCAAUUUCAAUUCAAUGUUAUGGAAAGUGGUUUGUUGCCCACGGAUAAUCUUUUCCAACCUCUCGAGUCUGGAAACUUCAUCAGACUUGGAUGUAGAAGAGGCUUGAAUAGGCGGUUAUUCAGGCUUUUGCCCAAAACCAGGAGGUCAUUGGUUAUUAGUAUAGUUCCUCGAUUGAUAGCCUUGAUUAAGACGAGAGGCAGAGUUUCCUUGGUUGAAGGUUGAUCUGUAAUAGGCAUGUUCAUCUAAUUUGUGAAUGUUUUGCUGUUGUGACGGUCCUGAGCAUUGGGUAUCAUGGUUGGUUUGGUAAGAGUUUUGGAAAGACUUGGAUUUAACUUGAUUUCAAAAGUUUGAGUUUUAAUUUUGACCAAAAAUUUAUCAAUCUUGUGGGUAACCACCACCCAAAAAGUCAACUUCUUCUGUCUGGUUAAAAACGGUAUCCCCAGAGUAACAGUCAGUAGAAUCACAUCCUUGAUCCCCUCAAGCAACAUAGACAAAGAUUAUUGCCGUCGAAUUCUAUAGGGUCCUGACGUUCAGCUUGCUCACUUUUUGAGAAAGCGCAUGCAGCUGAGAGAGAACGGGAGAAAUAACCGUCCCAAGGGUUUCAUGACGAAUCACAAAGGAUGAAGUGGUAGGCGGGGUGCUAUGAUGCUUCCCAUGUUGCCUAGUCAAAGUAUGACUACACAUAUCACAUCCAGCAGCCAGGUUGAUCAUUUGUGUGCUUUCCCGAUUGAGCCUUCAAUUGAAAAUAUCGGCUUGGUUUCGGUCAUCGAAGCUGUGAUGAGCGCAAGAGCGGAGGAGGGCUUGGAAUCGAUUGCAUGCUUCAUAUAAUUGUUCAUUAUCUCAUUGCAUGCAAUGGAUAAUUCUCUCUUUUAUCUCACCGCGCUUCUAUGGAGGAAAAAAUACCUUGAGAAAGGCUUUAGCGGGACCGUCCCACAUGGUAAAACUCCCUACUGGUUGAGAAACAAGCCAGAUUUUUGCAGCUCCCUUGAGAGAGAAAGGGAAACGCUAGAGGCGAAUGGCAUCAUGGUGCACCUGUUGGAGUUGUAAGGUGUCGCAUAUUUUGAGUAAGUAUUUGAUAUGUUGGGUGGAGUUAUCGUCCUCUUUCCCCAAGAAUUGGACUGUUUGUUGGACCAUGUAGAUCAUAGCGGGUCGCAAUUAAAAAUUGUUGUCUUCGACGUGGGGUCGGGCGAUGGAGGACCCCAGGUUCUAGAGACUUGGUUUGGCAUAAUCGCCAAGUGUCUUCUCUUCAGCCAUGGUGAAGGAUCCUUUGGGGGAAAUGCUUACGUGAUCUUCGCCAGAGUACUCAUCCUUGGAAUCCGUUCUACCGAGAGCCGGAGGUGCAAUUGUAAUUCCUUCAAGGACAUGUUUAGAAAAUUACCAAGUAAUCCGUCGAGUCAUUCAUUUGACCGAAUAGGAGUUUGGAAGAUGGGAGGAGAGAGGGAAGCAGAAUGAAUGAAUUCGUUGAGUUUUAGGUUUUGGAGGUUUGAAGAAGAAGUUUCGAGAGAGUGUUAAAGAAGGUGAGUGGGAAGAUUAUGGAGUACUUUACUUAGAAACGCCGCCUUGUUGCCAAAACCAAAACUUUCAUUUCAGUUCCAAGGAAAGUAGGGGAGUCACUCAGACUACUUAAAUCCCUUUAAACUUUAGGUAGCAUCUCUUUACGAAAGCCAAAAUAAUCCUCUCAUCUUUUUUAAUUCUCCUUUCUUAUGAUUUUAAAUUUUUUCUAUUUUUCUAUUUUUAGUGUUUAAAUUCAUAUAAAUGAUUGGUAGCAGAUUUUUUUAUUUUUUAAUUAUUUAUUUGGAUUUUUUUGUGGAAUAGGAAAGAUUCGGAGAUGAGUGGAAGAUAUGGAAAAGAUUGAGAGUUCAGUUGAGCAAGAUAAAAUAUUGAAUGGCUGAAAUGUAGAGAGAGAAAAGUUGAGUGACCAAGAGGGGAGCAUGGGAAAUAGUAUCUAGAAAAUAAAUAUAAAAUAAUUUAAGAAAAAGUAUUAUUAUUAAAAGUGAAAAUUUAGUAACUGUUUCGUACAAAAGGAACGAGGUCCACGACAACGACGCCAAAAUUUGAUCACCCCCGUAGGCAAGUUUAAAGAUAAACUCGGAAAAACCGAGGUCGUAUUCACGCGGAUUCAUUCCGAGUAUUACUCCUGAAAGUGCGAAGAUGAAAGUCUAAUCGUUGGAAUAGCGGGUAUGAAAGCACACAAAUCGCAAUCGAGUAUAAUGGAUGAGUGAAACCUGUCCGGAAAUGAAUUCACCAAGAAUCAGAGCAAGGAUGGUCAUUGUAACCCUUCUUCCUUGUUGCAGUUUCAUCAUGAUAGGCUACACCUUUUGUUGUUAGAUUAGGGAUGAUGUGGAUGCAAGGAGAAUCCCCUCAUAAUGAGGGAUUGGACAAGAUUUGGAUGAUUUGUGGGCUUGCUUUGGAUGAAUGUAGGGAGAUUGAUGCAUGUACACACUUGAUUAAACUAGGAGUGUAUCAUUGAAUGAGAAAUUGGUAGUAUACGAGGACCUUCCAUACCCAAUUCAUCCAUCUUUUUUUGUAAAUUGCAUUGACGCAUUUAAUCAAACAUUUGGCGUGCAUUUUGGUUCUUUCUUAGUGGACCAAACUAGGUUUAGAUAGAGUCAUUGGGUGUUGAUGUGACCACAUUAGCAUCCUUCAUAGGUGUUUGGGGUGCCUUAUUUCCUUGUGCAUCAUCAUAUUAUUCCGAUUGAACAUCAUUGAAUGCACUUUUGGCUUAUAAGUUGUUUGUGACCACAACAAGUUAUAAGGUCCAUUGGUACUGUUAGAUAUGACCAUGCAUAUAGACUUUAACGAAUAGGAAUGCAUGGAAGCUUGUAUAGUUUGGUACCUAACAUUACACUUUGGUCAUAAAAUACCCAUCACAUAAUCAUAAAAUAUUCAUAACAUUUGGUUUAUGUUUUUCUCGCAACUCUUUUUGUUGGAUUUAAUAAUCACCACCAGGAUGCCGUUUUUAGAGUCUGUUUAAUGUAUGAUGAUAGAAUUAAAUCAUUUGAUUGGUUAUUCCGUACAUUUUUACAGUGCCUGUGAGGGAAGGCACCCAAACCAUUUUCUCAAAUCAGGACCCGACCAUGGAUGCGGCAUUGAAGAGUGCCAUGCCAAAUACAUACCACGCGACGGCGGUGGGGUAUGAUAGGAAUCCUCUGUCGACACACCCUAACUGUGAUGCAUGUCAUCGGGAGGUUUGAAAGCGAGAAGUUCAACACACUUCCCGCAUAUACAUGUUGAGGAGAUGGACUAGAGGAGCCAAAAUUCGGUUUCAUGACAUAGUUAUUACGCGGCUCCUCUCUCAGGAUGGUGAGGAUGGUGAAAGACUUGCUGAAGUUUGUUUCUAUGAUUAGGGUUGUUUAUAGGGUCGAUCAGUUUCAUAAUAUGUUGGAUGUUGUGGUAGAUGGGUUGGCCAUUCAGGUAUGCAGUAAUCAAAGUAUACUUAUUUGUUAUAUUCACCGUACAUGACUUGUAUAUGGUCAUAAUAUACCUAUUAUGAUAGUGGUAUUUCUGUAGGUUGAACAAGCAUUGACCUUGUAUGAUGGACAACAGCCAAGGGAAACUGUGGUGGCAGAUAGAGAUACCACCAGCGUUGCAGUCGCUACGUGUUGUAGUAGUGUGAUCAGGAGAGAGAUUGCAACGAAGUACACCCCGCAGAGCAGACCAAGUAAGAACAACCAGCGUGGGAAACAUAUCACAGAUACGGUCGCAUGAGGCAGUGUAACAAGUUUAGGAAGAUUCGUGCAAAGGAAGUUCAAUCCGAACAAGCAGUCGCAAUGGACGUGGAAAUGGAGGACUUACUCAAUAAUGAUGUUAUACAUCAGUGCAUCGCAUUUUUGCAGGCACAGGAGAGCACCACUGCUACUGGCAACCCCCCUCGAUUGAGAGUGGCCCUUGAUAGGGUAAUCGUUAAUUAUUUAAUGGUCAUUAUGGAGAAAAGCCUACCUGUAACGCUAGCAGAACUGUAGCAUUAUAUAUGUACACUAGUCACGUAGUUAUGUAAGAACAUUGCCAUAUUAUGGGUAGAUCAGUGACAUAUUUUUGGUAAAACAGUACCAUAUUUUGGUAGCACAGUCUUGUAGUGUUGGAAGAAUAGUGGCAUAUUUUGGGAUGUAGAAGAAGACACAUUGUUCGGAAUUAUAAUAUUAUAUGUGGUGCUAGUAUUGACAUAUUCUGCUACAAGGAUUACACCAUGUGGUAGGUCCACUUCAAGGAAUACAACAAGGAUACUACUGUUACCCUAAACAAUAGGCAUAACAUCAAUGUACAAUAGCCAUAACAACGUUACACAUACUUUCUUAGGUUCAAACUGCCAACCAUUGUUCUUCAAAUGGAAAAUGUGACCUUCAUCGCCAUGGCACUCAAAUGGAAGGCCGUCUGGAUGCUCUGAUAUGAUAGUGCGAAUGACGUUCCCUGCUUCCUUGAAAUUGACUUUAGCCUUCCAAAAGGUAUCCUUCCACAUUUCAAUCCGACUGACCAAGUCAACGUGGCUGCUCCUUUUGUCUCCAGAGUGAAUGAUACCUUGGUCCACGAGGCUCCCCUAUCAAUGAUUUCCAUGCAUAAUACAAACACCCACUACUGUACUAGUAUCAACCAGAACUGAAAGUAUACAUAUCAUUUUUCAUAUUCAUGCAACCUUACUUUCCAAUCGUGACAUUCUAGUAAGUCUCUUGUAAAGCUCCCCAUACACAUAAACUAUGCUCUUAAAUAGGGCAUAAUUCAGAAACCAUUUAUAACGAAACCGUAAGAGUAACAUGGUACUAGCAUACCAUACACAUAUCCAUAACAUAACAUAGAUAUCUAACUAGGAGGGUUGGUCGAAGUUCCAGCUUCUAUGAGGAGGUCCACUACCCCUUCAAUUAAAAUAUGGGGAUGAAGUCGACUCCAUUGUGAGAGGACCAGGCGACAGAAGUACUUGAGCAUGUCCUUAAUCAUAACGUUCUCCUCAUCCCACCACUUCGUUUGGUCCGUUGUAAAACAACCAAUGUGUUGCCCCAUAAAACGAAGUGCCAUACAGGCCACACCUGUGAAUGUCAGGCUUUUGUGGCGCAGACACCACCCUCAACUUGAAGUCCUUGAUAUCCACGUGAGUGUUAAGAAGAACAAAUGACCUCGCAUAUUGCAUUAUCUGUGUUCUUGUCGGCUUGUUGUAUGGCUUGGUCUCAAAGUCCUUCUUAUAGAUAAGGCUAUUGAGAAUAACUCUUUCCUUUUUCUCCAUGUCCAACCCAAAGACAUAGAAGUGCUUGAAACUAUUUCCCCUUAUGUUGGGAAGAAGACCGAACACACAAAUAUAAUAUAGUAAUCACAUCAGAUUGUAUAUCAACUGCAUACCACAAAUACAAUACAUACAUAUUUCACGGAACUCAAGCCCUGGAGGUACUUCUUAUUUAAGAAAUCCUUGCAAGUUGGUGGGAAUUUAGAUUGAGUUAGUGAAAACUCAAUCUCAUUUUCAACUUUUGUCCUAGCAGGAGUUUGAAGCCAUAACACAGUCUAACUACACACAUAAAAAAUCACACUUACUAACAAGGAAUAGUCAGAUUAUACUCAUAACACAGUUAAAUUGGCAACAUAACAGAGGCAAAUUGUAUUCAUAACACACACAUAACAUAGAAAGACAGUUAAGUAACUUUGACGAUUCAAACAAUACUUGUAGUAAUUGAAAUAAGCCCAUAUAGUCUUUUUAUUGUGUUGUUGUUAGCCAGUAAAUUGUCAUUAUUGAACUGGUUGCAGAAUGCAUCAAUCAGUUUUGAUGUGCACCUGGUUUGAAUAAUAGACGGUCUCCAACUCAAGCUUCAUGACUUCCAUGCCUUUUUUUCCGGAAAGUCGCAUAUAAUGCAGCUGUUGAUAGGAAACAAUACUGCACUAGUUGUAGCCAUAACACAAAUGUAACACAAACGUAACAAAACGUAACACAAAUGUAACACAAAAAUAAAGGAUAUAUAACAUAGUGAGAAAUGAUAUGUACUCCCUUUCAACACUAGAUAUGGCAUAAGUUACUAUCUUGCUCUCAACUAGUGUUAAUUCAUGUUGAAGUCUAUUUGUGAGAACGAUCUUCAUGCUAGUCUUUUGUCGGUAAUAUGCAAUUGGAAUUGGAUUCUCUGAAUCACCUACCAAGUCCACUACAACUUGUCUCCACCCGGAGUUGCCUUUGUCGAUCCACCCACUAACUCCAAGAUGGCUUCUUUUGCGGUCAUUCUGUUGGUCCACUUCAACUUCCUUCUAUUUUCCUUGGCAACCUGCUCCUCUUCCUUUUCCUUUUCGGCUUCAUUAUCUUCAACCUUCUCUUCUUUCUUUUCUUCAUCCCUAUCAUCUGACUUCUCAUCUUACUUUUCGUCUGCAUUUGCAUCCUCCUCACAGUCACUACCAUCACAAUUUUCACCCUUGUUGUCAUCAUCAUCAUCAUCAUCAUAACCAUCGUCAUCUUCCUCCUCAUCUUCACCAUUGUCUUUAUCAUCAUCAUCACCAUCGUUAUUGUCCAUGAAAUCACCGUAGCUCUCGUCUUCAAACUCAUUACGAAACUCCACGUCAACAACUCCCUUGCCCUUCCCUAGUAAUAGGUUCUGGACAGACGCACUCCUAUCCAGUCACAACUAUAAUUAGCAAGGCAGUUGUCCUGCAUUGCACCUCGAUCGUCGCAACCUCUGCUAACAAUGUUUGCUGCAAUCAUGGUAUGAAGAUGCCUUCAGAUUAACCCAUAUACGAGAUAUAUAACACUUAGGUAAUUCAAAUAUACCACCAUCAGAACAGUACAAUAGUCGUGAAAAGCAGUUCACUGGCACAUAACAGAACAACAACAUAUCUUACGUUUAACGUCCAUAGAACAUUGUAAUAACACCCAUGGAUCAGUUACCUGUUAUGAAGAUGCAAGUUGUACUAUCGCCGUCUACUUGUCCAUUCUAGGGUUCGUUAAUCAUGUUCCCCUAUGCUGAUGCACAUUCACCCCAAAGGUAAGGAAAUCUAGCUCGAGACUUUGUCGAAAAUGUCUUGAGCCUAAGUGGGAGUAAUAGGUUUCAAGCCAGCUACAAGAGACGCCCUCUCACUCAACAUGAAUGACCAGCUGCCGUUAGGAGUACUUAUCCUUCUCAUCAUUUUGAUGACAACAUCGCAUCUUAGUAGGAACAAGUGGGAUGCUCUUUCGGAUCGAUACCAGAAAGAUCAACCAUGUCCAGAAAAUGCAGCUGACACAAACAACCGAGGAUAUCAAGAUUAGACAAUCAACCAACAGUAGUCUGCAUCAACAUAAGAACACUGUACAACUAUUAUAACACAACGAUAGCAUAAAUAUAAUAGCAAUAUAACUUAACAGUAACACUUACCACCAUGAAGUUCAUGUCCCUGCUGGGAUAGGACGCCUUCUGAUUCUUAUAGUAGUCCUCCAGACCUCUUAGCAGAUGAUUUGAGACGUCAGCCGCCCAAUUAGGAUUAGCAAUCUCAAAGUUGUGAAGGUGAAGAUACUUGGAAAACUUCAUUAUAACCCACCGGGUAUUUGUUGGAACAAGCAACGACUCAAGGGCAAGCAACAUGUACAACUUUGUAUAAGCCGUGGGAUCUUUACAAUUCUUCAUUGCAGCUUGGAGUUGAACUAUGUUGAUGUGAUUGUACUUAUUGCUCUUUGUACCGGUCACCCUUUCAAACUGCUUCAAUACCCUUAGCCCGAAAUGUUGGACAUCCACGUCGGCUAGACUUGUAUACAAGGGCAGACCAUAUACAUGGUGCACGACCUCUGACGUUACGCCCAACAGCUGACCAUCCGGGAACUUGAAAAGACCAAGUUCAGGAACAAAGGAUUGGAGGAGGAAUUGAGGAACCUCCUUAUUAAUCAUCUCUAGUUGUAGAUACAACAACCCAUAGAAGCCAGCGUCAUUGAGACAUAGACAGAUGUUAGUACGAUGCGGGUGGUCGUUUUCAAGUAGAUCAUUGGCAGCCACCAACUGUCCAAUUUUGCAACAGAAUGGCUUGCCAUUUCCCUUCUUUUUCUUCAAGCCAAUCUCCCCUAGGGGGCCCUUCUUUACAAUUGGUUGCUUUGUGGCAACUGCCUUUUCGUUAGCACAACCCUUCUUUGUCGGAUUAGUUUUGGCCACCAGACAAUCAAAUAACAUACUCAUAUUCAUAAUGUACCAAUGUCAUUAUGAUUCUCAUAACAACAAGACCAAACAAAGAUCGACAAUCAUACACAGGUACGUGAUCAUAUCAUAGUAAUAUCAUAUACGUAACAUAGGCAUUACGUAAUACUAAGAAAUACAAAUAGAUACACAAUCAUAUCAUAGACAUAAGAUAGGAAUAACAUAGGCAUCUAAUAUGCAUAACAACCAUAAACAGAAAGAUAAAUUGUAUUACACACAUAACAUAGGAACUUCAUACUAGUAAGUAGCAUAAACAAAAUAACAAUCAUAUCAUAGACAUAACGUAUGCACUUCAAAAUUGUAACAAACAUAGGCGGUCCUCAAAUCUCCCUUUUCUUGGGGGUUAACAGACACUAAUGGUGUUUUGUAGUUAGAGUCAGACUCCAAGCUCUAAAAGGAGGACGAUUCUUUCCGUUUCUGUUUCCACUUUUUGUUGCAUGAACCUUUCUGUACCCCACGUUGAGAUUACUGUAGCUCUGUGAGCCAUUUUAAAGAUUGAUGAGGGGAGAUGAGAACUCCUUUGUUAGUCUUCUCUAUAGGAAACUACGAGAAAGGAGGAAAACUUAUUAGAGCCUUAUAAAAUACCCUAAAAACCAAUCAUAUAUAUACGAAGCCUUAAGGAAGGUACAACAUAAAAAAAAAGUUAUCAGGUUUGGUGGUUCUAACCGUCAAUGUAUAGGUGGAUGAGGAUGAAUGUAACUGCUUUGGUGGAUGAGGACGAAGGUAACUACAACUUCACCAAGAGAGAGGCCUACAAACCUGAAGCCACCUUCAAAACUUCCACCCAGUACUUUGGAUCUACUGGCGGAUGAAUUUGAUUCCUCCAUGCAACGGCUUCACCGUCGCCGGUGAGAGGAGAGAGAUUAACAGGAAGAGGGAGACACUGAUGUUGAAGAAAGAGAUGGAGAGAAUGAAGAAAGAGAUGGAAAAGAGGGAGAGAAUGAAGAAAGUGAUGUGAAAGAGGGGUGACAGAAUAGUGAUAUGACCGGUCUGACACAAGGAUUGAAAAAAAUCGCAAAACAUUUUCAAUUUCCCAUUCUCGAUAAUGAAAUUCGAAUCUACGGAUGAAAAAAAGAAUUGAAUAUUAAAUAUAAAUAAAUAAAUUCUCGUUCCCAACCCCUAGAAGAAAGAUAGCCGUCUGAUCGAAGUCAACGAGGAGACGGAUUCCCAGUCGUCAGAUCAAGCUGUCUAGCCGUACAACUUGACUUUCCAUGCCAAUCAUUAACAUUUUUGCCCAACCGAGGCACCCUGUUUGUCUCCAGUUUGAUGAGUUCUUGCCGGUGAACCAAUCAACAAUGAAGAAGCUCCGAUGGAGGGCCCAUAAACUCACUAACAACUAGGUAAGGAUCAUGAAUGUUUUCAUAAGCUUAAUUUAAUAUUUUCUUAAGCUUAACCAGAUCUAUACAACCCUCCAUUGCCAGAUUCAAGUUUCGCCAGAGCCGCCGCCGUCUCUAUUUCUCAAUUUAAUCUCCUUUAUUUUGAAACCAGGUGAGGAGAGUUUCCCCUAAGUUAAUUUGGGGCUUCACAAUGGUUUGAAGUGGGAUUGAUCUCACCUGAGUUGACCUCCAGAACCCGAAUUUUGGAAUAUGGGUUUCGGCUCAUCGGGGAAGACGACUGGAAAACAUGUCAUGACGGUGCCUGAAGUUCCAGUGAUUUCAAUUCAGUCAUUGGACUUCUUGAGGCCAGAUCCGGUCACCUAAAUUUCCUAGAUGGCAAGCGUAAAACAAUACUUUAAAAUGUUAACAAAUUGCUUAAUAACGAGACCUAUAUAUCUGUUGUGACUCUAAACUUUAGGAUUAUGACAUUUGACCCAAAUACAUAAAAGAUAUUUAAGUGUUGAGGGUUAACCCUAAUUGAUCUUGAUAUGCUAUUCAAGGACAUUAAGGAUAAAUACAGGAUUUCUGAACUCGUAAAAGGAUUAAGGAAAAUGGAUUCUUUCGUUAUAAGGGAUCAUUAGUAAAAAGUAAUCAUGAUUUUGGAAAAGCCUAGUUUUUCCUUAUCACUUUAACAAUGGAGAUAAACUACAGAUACUUUGAGUCAUCACUCAGAUCUUUUUAUUUCAAAUCAACUCUGAGCCUAAUACCUAAAUUCCCGUAAUCAGGUUCUCAGAGUCGAAACCACUUUCAAGCGUGGAUCUCGACCUUUUUUUUGGGACCCUCACCACUUCACUUUUCUAGGCAAGUGGUUUAAGGGGGUAAAUUCUUACGUUGCUGUGUUUAGGAAUGAACCUAGAAUUAAAUGAUUACUUGAUCUAUUUGUUACUAUGUGUUUUGUAGUGAGUUAUGAUUGGUCCUAUACUCAUGUUGAUGUUAUGUAUCAUGCUUGCGUGUUACUUCCUGAUUAGUUAUGUUACUAGUAAAUCCUCAUCGUUGCUAAAUUCAUGUUGAUGCCAUGUGUCAUGUUUCCAUGUUUUUUCCUUGAUAUGUUAUGUUUACUUUUAAAUUCUUAUCCUUACCAUAUUCAUGUUGUUACCAUGUGAUAUGUCUUGGUUAUUAUCAUGUUAUGUUAUAAAUCACCUAAACAACAAGUAAGCCUAUGAUAGGCAAUAUAAUAACACGUAUCUCGCUAACUAGACCGCCACCCUCUUAUGUUACCUUCAUGUUUCACGUUUGGGCGGAUGGUAGGAAUCAUGUUUAUGGUUCGAUGAAUACGUACUCCCGGACUCUCACGUUUACAUUUUGGUGGUUUGCUAGUUAAUCAGGAGGCCCCUAGAUGUCAUGUCAAGUAAGCAAGCCAAGUAAAUAAUGUCAAGUAAACCAUGUUAAGUAAAUCAUGAUAAGUGAAUCAUGUCAAGUCUAAUCAUAUGUAAUCCCUAAUAACAUUAUUGUUUGGAUUGCUAACCUAAUGUGAAUGUGUACUCAAGAACUAAAAGCUUAUGUAAAACACUAAUAGUUAAGCACGCAAGACUGACCCCAAACCACUCACCAGGUCAUACUAGAGAUACCGGCAUAGAGACUACCUAAAAGAACUUUAGUGGAUGUUGAGGAUGUCACAUGAGUUAGAGUGAGUGAUUUUGGAGGAUGGACUACCAUGUUUACUCUCUUUCGAGUUUCUAGUACUUGAGACUUGGGUUUUGUUUUUUAUUUUUUCAUACUUGAUUUCAGAUGUUCGGGUUGCUCACUUGUAAGAGCCGAUUUACUUUGGAUUUAUGUGUAGUUUUCAAAAAAGUCUAUACCUUUCUCUUUUGACUAUCUUGAGUCUUGUGAUCUCUCC